rnacentral:lncRNA from 1 species
CCUUGAUGAGCUCAAAGCAAGAGUCUCCUGCCUGUUAUACUUGAGGUCCUUGCCUGCUCGCGGUCCAUCUGGUAGGCGUUGGCGAGGACCACGUCGGGGAGUGAUCGCAAGACGGAGGUCCUGCCAGCUAGAGUGUUGACCAUGGCAUUGUCAUUGGUCUUGAAGGCAAUGUACUCGUACCCGUUGCUCUGGGCUUUUUGCAACACGGCGUGGUUUUGCGGCACGAUGAAGAGUUGUCCCUGGCGGACCUGGUCGUCCAAGAUGGUCUCACCGUUGUCGUUCACCACCUGAACCCUGGCGCUACCUCUGAUGACAUAGAUGAUCUCAUGAGCAUUCAAGUUCCAGCGGGGGCUGUGGAUAGCAUUCUGCAUGUACCAUUACCAGAUAAAUUUCAGGAUUAAUUGAUCAAUAGGUAACUAAAUUUAAUUAUUAGAAACAUACAUGCUAGAAUACUCACGUUGUAGAAGAAACCUCUCUCAGCGCUGAGACGGAGGUGCCUGAGAAUAGGCAUGCUGAAGCUGUUGAGGGUGCUGAUGCGACCGGCUUGUGGGCUGAAGACGUCAGCCAUGGAAGGCUUGCCGAUGUUCUGCUUGAUCUGCAUGUGGCAGAAUACCUCCUCAAAGCCAUUCUGGCGGCCCUGUUGUCCUUGCAGUUGUCUUUCCUCCCUCUGUGACUCUGGUGGCUCGACAAAGUCGAAACGUCCCUCAACCCUAACAAUUUGUGGCCUGUUGUCAUUCUGUCCCUGGAGCUGCUGGACAGUCUGUUGGUCAAUGUUGAGAGCAUCGGCGAGGAGCUGGGUGUCGAAGCCGGCAAAGACAUUGUUGUUGUUGUUACCCUGCUGUUGGCGCCUGCUCCUUCCUUGUUGUCGGCCUUGCUGUCCCCGUUGGCUUUGGCCUUGUUGUCCUUGUUUCCACCAUUGGCUUUGGCCUUGUUGGUUGAACUCAUCUUGCAUGCGGGUUACCAGCAAGAUAGAAUCGCUACAAAUAGAGAUCAAGCAGCAAGCAUUGAGUGAGUUAACAAUGUAAAAUAAGUUGUUAACUUCAUGUUUAGAGUAAAAUUGUCAGUAAAAAGGUGUACCCUCUUGGGUUUUGGUCAAGCUGGUUGUGGUUGUUGCCGAUGUCUAGAAGAGUAACAAAAACAAGAGAUUGAUCACCAUCGUUGUGAGUCCAGGUUGUGGCUCCGGCGGGGAUUGCGAUAACAUCACCUUCCUUGAUGCGUCGCACCCUCUGGUGUCGGUCUAGCUGUUCAAACUCUUGUUGGCCUUGCUCUCCGAAUUGCCCUUGUCGACGUCCGUGUCGCUGGCGGUGGCCUCCGCCUUGUUGGCCUUGCCAUUGUUGUUGCUGUUGUUCUUCAACAGAUUGCUCAGACUCCUCAAAUGUCUCCGGACAGCCAGGGAAUACCAUCCCUAGAUGACCCCUACCUACAGUAGUGUCCAAAAAUAGCAAGCUAAACACAUGCUUAAACACCACUAGGUGCAAUUUACUGAAUAAUAAAUAACGGACUGUUUUGCACUUUACCUUGUACAACGUAAACAAGCCUUGGUGUGUUAGUGUAGGAAGGCAAGUGAAGGCCAUUACGCUCAAUGGUGAUUCUUUGAACAGCAACACCAGCGCACUAGAAGUCAUCCUGGUUGUGAUCCCAAGACUCGAUGCGACCUGCUUCAGUCUCAAUACGGUUGUCAGGCUCGCGGGCUUGGAUCUGGUUCAGCAUGCACACAUUUUGCUGGCUGAACUGAGAUUGUUGCCGACUGGCUAAGCAGCCUUGGAAGAGAACGAGCAAGCAAAGAGAAAAGGCAAGAGCUAAAGGCUUGGCCACCAUUGUAACAAUCAGUGGUAGAUAGCUAGCUGUGGGUUGUGGUGAAGCGGCGAGUAGAUGGCGUCGGUAUUUAGAGGAGAGAGGAGGAGGCGAGGAGGAGAAAAAUACAAGGGAUGAGAUUCUCUUUGCAUGCUAUUAGUAUCUCAAAUUCAUACACCUCAUCUUUAUACCUGGGCAGGUGGCUAUUGGCUUCAGAGGAUAUAUAUACAAAGUGCCGAGAACAAUGUGGCAAACAGGUGGGGGGUGGUCAUGAUUGUCUGCAAGUAAAGCAAAUUGUACUGCCUUGAACCUGGUCAAGUUCAUGAAAAAGUUCAUUCAAGAUAUCAGGUCUAAUCUGUUUCAUGUUUGGUAAAGUAAAUAGAGUAGCAACCUGGACCAUAUAUAAUCUACACAGGUGAGAUAAAAAAACCUUAAUUUACCAUCAUGCAAUAGCCAGAAUCCAUCUUCAAUCCUCUAUGAUUCUAUUAAGACUUAAAGCACAUUUACCCUCUUCAAGAAUUCACAUUCCAGCACUCUUCUAAAUGACUCUACUUGAUGAAAUUCAAAGUACCUCUCGCUAUAUUCUGGGAAUUACUGUGAUCAUCAGAGCAAUUACCUCACCUAUUAACUCAUAGUAUGCUUGAGCUAAUGUGAGAUCAUUCCUUAUAUAAAUGAGAAUGCAAUGCCUAACAUAAGUUUUAUGUGUAUAAUACAAUCAUAAGAGACUCACUGAUUACAAUUAUAUGAAAUAUAUGAAACAAAAGCACAGAAAAUAGACUUCUGGAAAAAGAACAUAUUUCUACAAGUGAAGGCUUAUUAUUUACACUAGUCUCACUGAUUUCCAUUUGGCUCUUCUGACCAAAUAGACUUCUGUAAAAAGUACAACAUUUGAGCCCAUGAUCACCCUCUACUUGGAAAUACCAUUGAUUCUAAAACAUAGUCCUUACAGUAUUUGUGGGAACUAGAUUAUUGGGUCAGUUUAGCUAAGAUUAAACUGUUAACAAAACCAAGCUUUAGAACCCAAUUUAGCAAAAUGAACAUACAAUAGUGUCACACCCCGGACCGUGGUUUCCAAGCACCAGACGCCGAACCCGAGGCGUGAGCGGGAAAAAUAAAAGAAAAUAAAAUAAUUUCAAAUACUUUUCCAGAAAUUGUUAAAAAAAAAGAAAAUAAAAUGUUUUACAAUAACAAAACAAUUACAAAGACAAUAAGAUGAGCCCUUGCGAUCUAGCUCAUUUUUAAUCUUUCGUAACUCUUUUCUACUCUUGUACACGUCUCCUAAACUUCAUAGUCUCGAAAUACGUUCCUCGUACGUACCUGAACAAAAGUCUAUAGGGAUGAGCUUACGCUCAGUAGGGCCAAACCUUUUUAGGUUAUACUUAACUAGGUUGCACAAACAAGUUAUCAAGCAAUGUCAAACAAUACUUUAAAUAAAUAACGGCAAUUCGAUGCAUGUAUGCUAAUGAAUGUCUUCCUCAAUUACUAGCUAUCAGUCCAUACAUCAAAGAUAAGUGAGCCUACACGUCUCAUACCGUGUAUUUUACCAACCGGGGAUAACUCAAAUGUCUCGAAUAUAUGAUCUAACAAUCAAUAAAAUCUCACCACCUGUACCUCUUUUGUUAGUCAUCUUGUUAUAUUCAUGGUCUCCAAACCUGAAACCCGAAGAUCGUUUUAUCGAUGUCCGCCAUCGAAGGGGCAUAUAUACUUUCCCCACUCAUUUGCGCAUGUGGGCUGGCAUGGAUUCAUGGACAACCCAUGAGAAAACUCAACUACACAAAAUGUAUAUAUUCUCUAAAUCUCAUUCUCCUCUCCAUAAUCAUCAUUCUCACCAUUCUCACAAUUCCUCACAAUGUUUUACACACUACAAGGACAAACACUUUAGCCGACGAAAAAGUUUCGUCGGCCUGUUAGCUUAAUUUGUCGGCUAAGAUUUCGUCGGGAAAAGGUCGUCGGCGAUGACUUUAGCCGACGAAAAAAGAAGACGUCGUCGGCUAUAGUCCCACAAUUUAGCCGACAAAAAACAUGUCGUCGGUUUUUUUCCCAGACUUUAGCCGACGAAACAAUAAGAUAUUCGUCGGCUAAAGUGUGUAAUAAAAAAUUAAAAAAAUAAUUAUAGCCUACCAAAUAUAGUCUGUUUCGUCGGCUAAACCUUAUAAAAAAAUUAAAAAAAUAACUAUAGCCGACGAAAUAUAGUAUGUUUCGUCGGCUAAACCUUAUAAAAAAAUUAAAAAAUAAAUAUAGCCGACGAAUAUAGUAUUUAAAUAUCGUCAGCUAAAGUUGCUGGUUUUUGAAAAAAAAAACUGCAGAAACUUUCGGCCAACUCCAAUCACCACCAAAAUUUGAUAGAAUCUUCCUCUCAACAUUUCAAACAACUUUCUAGAAGAAGUCGAAUCCCAAUUCUAAACCUAAACAGGUCAAUUGAAUCAAAAUAUAAAAAUCCCCAAUUUUAAACCCUAAAAACUUCAAAUCUUUGAUUCUCCUCACACACACCGAAUCGAGCUACCAAAUUCUAGGGGAAUGUAGUACUAAUCAAACUCAACUUAUCCAUAUAUAGAACUCACCAAAUGGUGACCUGAGGAAUGAGAAAUUCGAUCGACACCGAAUCCAAACCGGCGGAGUUUUGGAGCUCGAUUUAUCCCUCACGGCGGCGCCACUCGAUGCACCACCUAUCCAGCAAUGAAGUAGAGACAACGACGAAGCUUUUGGGACAAGUGUGGCGGUCUCCAGUUGCUUGACGGCAGAGCUAGGCCGAGAAGAAAAUCCGGAACUUUUUCUGAUUUUCUGACUUCUUACCAUCCACCUCUGGUAAAACUCCUAUAUAAAGAACUUUACCCGACGAAAUUCUUUAUUUUCGUCAGCUAAACUCUUUUGAAAAUUUUUGUUGACCGCCAAAAAAUUUGGUUGAAAAUUUUAAAAAUUUUUCGACUUUAGCCGACGACUUUUCAUAUAUUUUCGUCGGCUAAAGUCCUUUGAAAAUUUUCCUCCAAAUUUGGUUUACCGCCAACAAAAUUUGACCUUAGCCGACGACUUUUUUAGUAUCUCGUCGGCUAAAGUCUAUAAAUUCACGAAAACGCUCAUAUCGAUCUCCCUCUAUAUUACGUAGUUUGGUCAAACAUUCCACACGAAAAACUUUCACAUAGAUGAGACGCAACCGCCUAUAUAAAAAUUUUGAGACAUUUACCUUCCGACGAUAGGGCUCCCCAUAGGGAAUAAUAACGGUAAAUAGGGUUAACCGCUACUAUCGGCACCGAGACGUUACCCAGUUUACGUGGAUUUUGAACCAUAGCCGUAAUUCAUCAUUCUGAACACAUCUUAUUUCACAAGAUUUUUGAUAAUUUUGCUUCCUAUGUUGUAUAACCUACUAAACAAGUUAUACAACAUUACUAGACACGUGAUUCCGAUGACUAAAAUUCACAAACCAAAAUUCGACCAUCAGAUAUGAUCAUUAUGACGAAAGAUGUCUAUAGUAAAAAAUUUAACUGGAUUCGACAACGUUAAGGGCUCGAUCGAAACGGUCAACUCUAAUCGGAAAUAAGAAAACUGCAUUUUGAAGCCCUAAACGGACUCGGAUGGCCAAAAAGGCCCAUAUGUGAUGGCAUAGCGAUGAGUUUGACUCGUAGGGCCGUUACGCUUCUAGAAAUGUAUCACAAUAGUCAAUCGGACGCCGAAUGCCAAAUCUGCAGCAUAAUUAAUACCGGGUUUCGACUGUUCUACAUCAGAGACGUUACCCGAUUUACGUGAUUUUUGAACCAUAGCCGUAUUUCACCGUUCUGAACACAUCUUAUUUCACGAGAUUUUUGUUAAUUUUGCUUCUAUGUAGAGUUGGUUCACAAAGUUGUGUAUUUGUUUAAAACCUACUAAGCAAGUUAUACAACAUUUUAUUGUUUUUCUUUUAGCCGACGACUUUUAUCGAUAAUAGCCGACGAGUAAAAAUAUUGGCCAACGAAGGAAAACUUUUUGGUCGACGAAAAAAAAAUUUCGUCGACUAAAGUAUCGUAUAGCCGAUGAAAAAAUUUCUUCAGCCGACGAAAAUUUAAAUUAGCCGACGAAAAAAUAAUUCGUCGGCCUGGUUUUUUUAUUUUCGUCGGCUAAAACCUUUCUUUUGGUAGUGACACAUGUCAAAUGAAUAUCAAUACACGUUAUAUUAUUUUAAACAACAUGUUUUUUACGGAAAACGAUAACAUCAAUCAUAUAUAUCAACAAAUACACAUGUUUUUAACAAAACAAUAACAACCAAGAGUUAUCACUCAAUGACAAACAAAACAUCCAUUUCAAUUAUAAUCUAAUUAUCAAUUUAAGAAAGGUUCCCCGAGAAAGACCCUACCUGGAAUCCAAAUGCUACUUCCGACGCUAGCUAAAAUUAGUAACUCUGCUGAAAUCCUUAUCCUGCUACUUCUGCAAUCCAGCUACUCGCAUUCGAUCCUCGUACCGAAUCCUCAUUCCAAGAAUAUUGACAGACCACUUCAAAUCAGCUUGAUCUAAUUCUGAAAUUUACUAAGGACACCCAAGUCCUUACUUCCGAUUCUUCGACAUUCACUACUUAAUUCUCUCAUAGUAUCCAAACUCACAAUUGUGCUCCAAAUACGAAAUCCAUCUCCAAACACCAACCCAACUUCAAAUAGAAGUUAAUAUUUUUAUCUAAAAUUACUCUCUACACCCAAAACUCCCAUUAUAAAUCUCAAUACAGCUUGAUCAUCCUUCCCUCUUCUCCUUUGCACCAUUUCACAAUAUCUUCCUUGUAGACCCAACAAGCAAACCUCCAGACUUGUUCAUGAUGAACAUGUUCAUAUACGAGCACUUCCAUUACAUAAAUUAAAAUCAUUCUUCUACUUCCACAACUCUCAAACAUUAGACCAAACAAUUGUAACAACCACUGUUCUAACACUCGAGCCACAAUCAGCCUUCCAAUCAUCCCCUUCUCUCUCUUUUGAACGUUCAAGAAGCAUCAACACCAAUUCAAGUUCCUGAGCAAAGCCAGCACCGCCAACAACGCCACCACACACGGCAGCCGACGACUGCCCCGAAAUCAUCAACUCCUCCAAUCUCAAAUUCAAUUACAACCAACCAUGAAAUUAUAUUUUAAAGCCUCUAUCAAUAUCAAAGAUAGCUAAUCCAAAACCCAAAACAUUAUCAACGCCGCCGUGCACAGCAGCCGCGCACGGUGGUCGACUGCCCAAAUUCCACCUUCUUCCAAACAUAACCAAAUAUGAAUUCCACUUAUAUAAACAGGUAGAGCUCGACGAGAAGAUCAAGUUUCAUACCUCACUUGUCAUCGACGGUGGCCUGAAAGUUUCGAACCCUCGCCGGAAAACUCCUUGAGCUUUAAUUAAUCGAUUCUCACUCAUGGAGGCUCCUCUUAAUAUACGAACAUCAUGGAAGGGUUUCUGACAUCGAGACGAAGCUUCAGCUAUCGAUGAGAGGCGUCGACGCUGCCGGAAUCGAAAGUUGACCCGCGAACCCAGCCUCUCUUUCUCCCCUUCGAUUCUCUUACCCGACCUCUUCUGAAGAAACUGAGGACAUAGGGAAGACCACGAGAACGAGAGGAAGCUACCAAUACCCGUCACACUCGCCGUCGUGGCCGAAAUCACGAACUCGACCGGAAACCCAGAAAUUCUUCUCCUCCUCGAUUCUCUCUCUCCUCAGCUUUCCAUGGAAAUCCAACAUCACAAUCGUGUUGGGGACGACUAGACGGAGCUUUUGACACCGGUCUUGCACCGGGAAAUAGCUGGACCACAGAGGAAGGAGCUGAGCUCCGUCGCUGCAGAGCAGCUCGAGACCGAGUCGGUCUAGGCUUGUACUGAUCCAGUCCAAACUAAUCCCCUGUAUAUACAUACCUAAAUCGAUGGCCUAGAUCUAGCGGCUUAAGAGAUCCAACAGUCUAGAUCAUGUCAGCAAUAAGUCUAUUUUUAAUUAAAUUUUUAGAUAAUACAAACUUCUAAAAAUCAUUAAAAAUAGCUCUGAUGUCCAAAAAUACUUCCGUAAAAUUCUACAAACUCAUAACGACGUCUAGGUUAAUCCUAUGGGCUCGAAAGACAAAAUCGACAAACUAAAAAUUUGAAUAAUUUUCAACAAGCCACAAAAAAUUAAAAGAAUAAUAGAAAUCGAAAUAAAAAUAGCUCGAAAAAUAAUUUUCCUUUUAAAAAUAGAAAACUGAAAUUCCAGGAUGUUACAAAUAACUUCAGGAUUUCAAUUACAUGCAAAAGACAAGAGUUAGCAAGUAACUAAACCUUGGAAUUUAGAAUUUAAAUUUCAAGCCAGUGGUUAUUGUUGAACCUGUUACGAAGGAAAUGAAGCUCAGUCGACUGUGUGAUCGUCCGGUGUGGUUCACCUGAGUACCGUCGCUUGAUACAUUGAUCGGUUCCAUCUUACUCCGCAUUCCUAAUUGCCCGCUUCUCACUGGUGGCUGUCGUUUUCGUUUCUUUCGAAUAUGAAUUUUGUGUUGGGCUUUCGCAACUGUUAUUUGGGCCUGUAUACAGUAGUAUUAUCUCUCUCUCUCUCNNNNNNNNNNNNNNNNNNNNUAUUAUCUCUCUCUCUCUCUCUCUCUCUCUCUCUCUCUCUCUCUCUCUCUCUUUUCAAUAACCUGUCUUUUCUUUUUUAUUUAGAGAAGAUUCUACAACUUUUUGUUUCAAGACAUCUUUAUUUAUUUAUUUAGAGAAGAUUAUUUAUGAGGCUAUGUCAAAGAGAGAGCUUCUGCGACUGGAGUAGUUGACAUACCAUAGUUGAACGAAGCUACAACCCAUGGAUGGUCGUUAAUUGUUGGUGCUAAUCACGAAUCCCUCAACUGCAGAGUUUCUCCUGACCGAUCUAUCAAAGUUGAUUUUAACCCUAUCCCACAACCACUAUCCGGUUGCUGAAGCUCUAGCUCUGCGCAAUAGCCUCGUGUAUGCUAAUUAAAGAGCGAGGCUUCUCCAAGAUUGAAGUUGAGGGCGAUUCUAAGUUGGUGAUUGACGCCGUGAAUGGAGUGUCGACCCCUCUGUGGAAGUUACUCAAACUAAUUCAUGAUAUCAAAGUCUUGAGUAAUUCCUUUGAGUUUGUAUGCUUUCAGCAUGUGUUUAGGGAAGCAAACUUUGUGGCUAAUGCUUUAGCCAAUCUUAGAUAUAGGCUGAGUAACCUACGCUGCUAGGAGAAGUGUGUUCCCCCGGAAGUGUCUUCUGCUCUUGCCUUUGACAUUGUAAACCUUGGGUGCAUUAGAGACACCUCCAUCUAAUAUAUUUUUUUUUNNNNNNNNNNNNNNNNNNNNNNNNNNNNNNNNNNNNNNNNNNNNNNNNNNNNNNNNNNNNNNNNNNNNNNNNNNNNNNNNNNNNNNNNNNNNNNNNNNNNNNNNNNNNNNNNNNNNNNNNNNNNNNNNNNNNNNNNNNNNNNNNNNNNNNNNNNNNNNNNNNNNNNNNNNNNNNNNNNNNNNNNNNNNNNNNNNNNNNNNNNNNNNNNNNNNNNNNNNNNNNNNNNNNNNNNNNNNNNNNNNNNNNNNNNNNNNNNNNNNNNNNNNNNNNNNNNNNNNNNNNNNNNNNNNNNNNNNNNNNNNNNNNNNNNNNNNNNNNNNNNNNNNNNNNNNNNNNNNNNNNNNNNNNNNNNNNNNNNNNNNNNNNNNNNNNNNNNNNNNNNNNNNNNNNNNNNNNNNNNNNNNNNNNNNNNNNNNNNNNNNNNNNNNNNNNNNNNNNNNNNNNNNNNNNNCACUCUCUCUCUCUCUCUCUCUCUCUCUCUCUCUCUCUCUCUCUCUCUCUCUCUCUCUCUCUCCACCGUUGAGCAGCAACGAUUCUGGCAACACCGGACGGCGAGACCGCCACUGAAGUGAUCCUCUCCUCCUCCUCAACUCAGCCCAGUCCUUUAAUUCGGAAGACAUCCACUUUUGGCGGAGAUCGAUGGAGGAGGACGGUGACUAUCCUUCAUUGUUUUCCGGCGAGGGCUCAGGCUCCGAUCACUGAUCCACCUAGCGACGGUGAGUCCCUUCCUCCUCUCUUCCUUCUGCACAGUCUAGUGCUUUAUUUCCUUCAAAUCGAGACCUAACUCAGAAAUCCCCUUGUGUUUCUGAGUUUCUUGAGCUUCUUUUCCUGCGAUUGUGUUCUUCGUGUUCUGGUGGCGACCACGAGCUCCGACGAGCGUAGUUCAUCCUUGGAGAUGCCGGGACUUAGAGUUGGGAAGCUUUGGGGCAGUUGCUGUUGUGCAGCAUCGUGGCAAAGGGACUGCUUAUUGAUUUCAAGCAAGGAGAGGUUGCUGGGUUUGAGUGGUGUACAGAUUGGAGGUAAGGAGUUUGAUUUGGUCGGCUGUGUUGUUGUUUGUGUUGCGGUUAUUGAGUUGGAUUGUGACUAAAAUCAUUGUUGUGGUUGAUACUUGUCGAUGUCAAUAACUUGGUGAUAGGAGUUUAUGAGGAGGCUAUGGCAAAAUUCCGGUAAGUCGUCGGAAUCUGGCAAGAGAUUUCGACGAGGGCAGAAUCAUGCAGAGACUAUUGAGGUAGUUAUCGAUGUUUUUCCCUGCUAUUGUGUAUCGUUUCAAUAAUAGGAAAGUUUGUAGGUUGUAAUCGGAAAUCUUUCUAAGUGAGGAAAGUUUCUAUUUUAGGAAACUUUCCCUUUUUGGGAAACUUUCUAUUUAUGGAAACCCAUUGUUGGGUGCCCUUAGUGAUUUAUGGGGUGAAGUUGUGUUGAGAGGAAGUAUAUGGGGAUUGUAUGGGUGAAGAAACAAUUGUAAUUGUGUUGUAAUUGAGGAUUUCUCGGAUGAAGAAAUUGGAUAAUCGAGGAAUGGAUUUAGUGAAAAGGUUUGUUCUUAUUUAAGAUCUAAUUGAUUUCAAGUGAAGCAAAUAAUUGAUUUAUUAAAAUGAUUGUUGGAUUUGAAUUGGAUGGUUAAGAGUAAUCAAGGUAACCCGAAUUUUCAAGUCGAAGGUUAGAGUGGAAAAUGUUGAAACUUCGUUACUUGGCCAACCCUAAUUUAAUUGGUCAAUUUUGGUCAACUCAGGAAAUCUAGCCAAACUAGGAAGAAUUUGAAUCCAUGAUUAUUAUGGUGUUUGGUCUGACCGAUUUAUUCUUCUAUUUAUCGUCAGACGUGGGAUUGGCUAGAGAAUGUGAAUAGUUUGAGGCAGCGCUCGAGGAGUAUUCCGAGCAUUGGAAGACUUAGGCCUAAUACGGUGAGUGGACUUUUGUUUUAAAUAAUAUGCAUGCAAAUGGUUUAUUGUUGAGCAAUUUCUUUUGUUGGAGCAUUUGACGUCAUUUUAUUUUGACGAUUUCUUUUAUUUUGGAGAGUUACCGAAAAUGAGAUUUUCGGUGGAUAUGUAUAUGGAUUCUUAUGAGUAUAGUAUAAAUGCUAGCUAGCCUUACGUGUUUGGUCCGUCAUAAUAAGGUAAAAUUCCAUUAUGGCGUGACGUAAGUGUUAGACACAAGCGUCAUAGCCCUAUAUGAAAACUAUUUUCAUAUCUAGUUCAUAUAGAUUUUCAUAUAGGGAGUCCACACGUAUAUACACCCGUCCUCUUCGGUCAUAAUGAGGAAAAAUUUCAUUAUGGCGCGACGUGAGCGUUAGACGCAAGCGUCGUAGCCUUGUAUGAAUUUCUAUUUUUCUAUUUUGUUCAUAGAAUUCGUACAAGGAGUCUGACGAGUGUAAAUACAUACAUAUAUGUAUAGUUUAACCUGAGAUUCUGUAUUUUAUUAAGUUUUGGAGACUAGCUCAUGUAUUUGCCAGUUUAUGAGUUGAAAGCUUUUGAGCUGUCGCAUGCAGCAUAUUUUAUAUGGAAAUUAAAUUGGGGAAGCAUAAAGAAAUAUUGUUAUUAAAUUUAUUUUUGUCCACUCACUCUAACGUGUUUUCAAAUGUUUUCCCAUGCGCCAUUUGUUUUAAAAAUGCUCAGUAUGCAGGUUAGCUUAGUUGAGGUCGGGCGUACAUGAAGAAGAGACAUAGUCAAUAGUAUAGUUUCUGCUCAUUUCUAUAUUUCUAGUUCUUUUCUUCUCCAUUAGAGCUGUUCUGAACUGUGAUUGUUGGUUAUGGGAUUAUUCUUAUUAAGUUAGUAAAUAAAUUGGGAGAUGUUGUGAUUUGGGGAGCACGAAGGCUCCAGGAGUAGAGGGUUAUAGAUGGAUUUUUUCGAAGUGUUUGCAGGUAUUUCUAGGAAGGGUUGUCCAUUUUCAAGAGAGAUUAUGUCGAAUUUUCGGUAAAUUUUCCUUGGAGGUGGUCCCCGCAGGAUUUACUUCGGGUUUCAGGGUGAAAUUCGAGGUGGGUCCUGACACCAAGUGAGGAUUUUUAAAAAUGUUUAGGUGAUGUGAUAAUGAAAUUGGAAAAUAUCAAAUAACAAUUAAAACAUUCAUCUAACCAUUCAUUCAAAAGUCUACAUAUAAUUCUCGUUAUAAGUAGGAUGGCAAUGGGUAGGGUAGGAUACGGGGAUCAAAAUACCGUAUCCAUACCCUUUUACAUUUCUCAUCCCCGUACCCGUAAUUAGAUAAUGGGGAUUUCCCGUACCCGUACCCUUUGGGGAUUACGUUUCCAUACCCGUACCCGUACCCGUUAACAAUUAUGUAUUAAAUUAAAUUUUUUUUUAAAUACGAAAUACAUUAUAUAAAAGUAUGAAAUUAAAAUCAAAUACCAAAAUAAAUAAGUUUCAUGCUUCAAUCCAAUAAAAAUAAAUACAAGUUUUGGUUAAAACAGAACAAUACCGAUAAAUUUCAUUAAGAAAAUAAAAAUAUAUAAUAAAAAGGAAGGUCCGUUUAUUAAGAGAAUCACAAAUUUUUUUACAUAAAUAUUUAUUUAUAAAUUAUAUAUAAAUAUAUAUAAUAAAUUAUAUAAUUAUAUAUAAUAAUAUUUUCAUCCUUAAUAGGUGGGGAUAGGGACGAAUAUCAAAAUAUCAUACCCGCCCCGUACCCGAUUUAAGAAUCCGAAUACUGGGGAUCCCCAUCUCCAUUACCCAUUUAUAACCGUAUAUCUUCCUCGUUAGAGUCGAAUACCCGUGGGUACCCUACCCGCUAGGGAUUAUUGCCAUCCUUAGUUAUAAGGUUCUCAUUAGAAGUUUUCCCACUAAUGAAAUCGAAAAUUAGAAAGUCGCAACCUAGCUAUCUAUCAUGACGAAAACUAACAAAACCCGAUGAAGUAUCACACCAAGGAACUCUAGAUCUAACGUAUAUCUGUCUUUUGUGAUCCAAAAAACACGCGUACGACAUAUUACAUUGACUUACAACAUUUGGUGUACGGUAAUACCGUAUACCGUAUACCAUUUCCUAAACAUUUUCUCAAAAGUUAUACCAAGCACAACACCCAUAUAGGCAUAUUUAAGAAGUCCAAAAAGAAAUAAAGUUCAUUUUUCUCGGUCUUCACUAUCCGAUUUAAGUUUGUUUAACCCUAUACAGUCCAUUAUUUCAAGGAUCAAAACAAUUGAUAAUCGGAUUCGAUGCUAAUGAUCGACUUGGCUUUAAGGUGAUGGAAACCACUUCCAAUGGCCAGAAAAGACUUGAUUGGAGACUCCAAAAUAUAUAACUAGCUAGAUUCCGUAUUUCAUACCAAAUAGGAUCUCAAAUUAUAUAAAGUGAGAAAGCAAACUCAAACUAUCAAAAUGUUGUCGAAAUAUAUGGAUGGAGUUCUUGCAAAUUCUAUAUAUUUGAACCAAAGGAGAGUACGUACGUAGUACCUAUAGCUAUCUAAGGUUAGUCAGUUACUCAAUUUUAUUAGACUUCAUCAAUCGCUUUUCGUCUUUCACUCUAUAUAUGCCAUUUUGAAGUAGGUAUAACCAAGGAAAGGAAGUAGAAGAAGAAGGAAAUUUCAUUAUAAGCCAUACGAUUACAAGUGCAUAUAUAGUACGUAGUAGCUAGUUAUUGUCUUAGUGCGUUAGACCUCUCGUACUACAAGAGAGCCAUACAGGACUACCUUUAUUCAUUCUCUACCCCUUAAGCUAGCUUAGUGCCAAAACACUACGUGCCGCAUCAUAUUUUUACAUUUCGAUCAUCACAAUGAUUUAAGCAAUAGCCCAUCAGCUCUUCUGGGGCAUGGCAGCCGACCUUGAGGAGCUCAAGGCAACGAUCUCCUGCCUGUUGUACUUGAGGUUCCUAGCCUGCUGACGGUCCAUCUGGUAAGCGUUGGCGAGGACCACGUCGGGGAGUGAUCGCAGGACGGAGGUCCUACCAGCCAUGGUGUUGAUCAUGGCAUUGUCUUGGGUCUUAAAGGCAAUGUACUCGUAUCCAUUGCUCAUGGCCUUUUGCAACACGGCGUGGUUUUGCGGCACGAUGAAGAGCUGUCCCUGGCGGACCUGGUCGUCCAAGAUGCAGUCGCCAUUGUCGUUCACCACCUGAACCCUAGCGCUGCCCCUGAUGACGUAGUAUACUUCAUGGGCGUUCAAGUUCCAGUGUGGGCUGUAGAUAGCGUUCUGCAUUUACAACGUAUCAAUCACUUUUAAUUACUUAAGCUCAAACAAUUAAUUGGUAACUAAUUAAAAUGAACUAAUAAAUGCAUGGAAAAGAAUACUGACGUUGUAGAAGAAGCCUCUCUCAGCGCUGAGACGGAGGCGCCUGAGAAUAGGCAUGGUGAAGGCGUUGAGGGUGCUGAUGCGACCGGCUUGCGGGCUGAAGACGUCGGCCAUUGUAGGCCUUCCGAUGUUUUGUCUCAUCUUCAUGUGGCAGAAGAGCUCCUCCAUGCCGUUCUCUUCAUAUUGUCCUUGUUGUCCCUGCAUUUGUGUUCCUUGGAUUUGCCUUUCCUCCCUCAUUGACUCUGGGGGCUGGAUGAAGUCGAGGCGUCCCUGUACCCUAACAAUCUGUGGCCUGUUGUCGUUCAUUCCCUGGAGCUGCUGGGCGGUCUGUUGGUCGAUGUUAAGAGCGUCGGCGAGGAGCUGUGUGUCGAAGCCGGAGAAGACGUUGUUGUAGUUCCCCUGCAUUUGGUGCCUGCUCUUUCCUUGUUGUCUCCGGAUCCGUGGGCUUUGGCCUUGUUGGGUGAACUCAUCUUGUGGGUUACCAGCAAGGUAGAAUCUCUAUAUAUAAAGAGAGAUUAAGCAGCAACAAGUCAGUGAACAUUACCCUAAACUAUUUUUGGUACAUGCAAGAAUAUAUACUGAAUGAAAUGUGGUAAGAAAUUGUACCCUUGGGAUUCGGUCCAGCUGGUUGUGCUGGUUGCUCAUGUCAAGAAGACUGACGAAAACAAGAGGUUCGUUAGCGUCGUUGUAACUCCAGCAGGUGACACCAGCAGGAAUGGCGAUAACAUCACCUUCCCUGACGCGUCGGACCUUCUGGUGACGGUCGAGCUGAUCAUAGCUCUCUUGCUGGCCUUGCUGGCCCAUUUGUCCCUCUCGGCGUAUAAUCUGUUGCCGGCGGCCUUGUUGGCCUUGAGAUUGUCGUUGCUCUUCAACAGAUUGUUCGGUUUCUUCGAAAGUCUCGGGACAGCCGGGGAGAACCAUUCCUAGAUGACCCAUACCUGCAAUACUCAUAGCAAUAAGUUAACAGUCCAUCGACAAACGCUAGCUAGCUACAUGCAAUUUCGGUAUAACUAAUGAAGUGAUAUGAUAUUACCUCGGACGACGUAAACGAGUCGUGGAGUGUUAACGUAAGAAGGCAGGUGGAGGCCGUUGUUCUCAAUGGUGAUCUUCUGAACGGCGACGCCAGCGCACUGGAAGUCAUCCUGGUUGUAGUCCCAGGACUCGAUCCGACCUGCUUCAGUCUCAAUGCGGUUGUCGGGCUCGCGGGCUUGGAUCCGGUUCAGCAUGCACUCAUUUUGCUGGCUGAACUGAGUUUGUCGCCGACUGGCUAAGCAGCCGUGGAAGAGAACAAGUAAGCAAAGAGAGAAAGCGAGAGCUAAGUGCUUGGCCAUUGUGAUGAUCAAUGGCAGAUAGCUAGUUGUGGGUUGUGAUGAUGAAGUGGAGAGUAGAGCGUUGGUAUUUAUAGGAGAUGAGAGGAGGUGAGGGUGAGAAUAGUGCAAAUGAUGUGUAAGGAAUCUCAUGCCAUUCUUCUCUUUGCAUGGCUAUUAGUAUUUCACAUUCUUACACCUCAUUUCUCUUCCAGGGCAGGUGGCUCUUGGCUUCAGAGAAGGUUUAAAGUUAUAAGAACAAGGUGGCAACCAGGUGGGGUGGCCAUGAUUGUUUGCAAGUGAAGCAAAUUUCACCUCCCCGAACCUCGUGCAAUGCAUGAACUCGAAUAAUUAACUCAUGAAUCAGAUCUGAAACUGUUUCAUGUUCGUGAAGAAAUAUUACAUCAGUACCAUCCCGAACUAUCUAUAAUUUACGGAGGUGAAACAUAAGAUGAUAAGAACUUUAUCAUCUUCCAAAUAGUAAUAUCCAUAUUCCUUUACUCCCUUUGUAUGUAAUUCAAAUGUAGUAUUUAAGACUUUUUGAACAUUUUUCAAGAAUGAUCUCUGGACUCGGCGCGCUCUUAUGUAUAAGAGUUCCUUUACCUGCUAAUAAAUCUAAAUAACUUAUAUAUAUAUAUAAACGGAUUUUCUCAGCUGCGGACGUCCGCACCAAUUUUUUGGUGCGGAUUUCUAUUUUUUCAUCACUUUUCGAUCGAAUUUCCUCAUCUCCACCGUCUAGUAUCUAGAUAAUAUUGUGUAGAUCAUCUCUGCAANNNNNNNNNNNNNNNNNNNNNNNNNNNNNNNNNNNNNNNNNNNNNNNNNNNNNNNNNNNNNNNNNNNNNNNNNNNNNNNNNNNNNNNNNNNNNNNNNNNNNNNNNNNNNNNNNNNNNNNNNNNNNNNNNNNNNNNNNNNNNNNNNNNNNNNNNNNNNNNNNNNNNNNNNNNNNNNNNNNNNNNNNNNNNNNNNNNNNNNNNNNNNNNNNNNNNNNNNNNNNNNNNNNNNNNNNNNNNNNNNNNNNNNNNNNNNNNNNNNNNNNNNNNNNNNNNNNNNNNNNNNNNNNNNNNNNNNNNNNNNNNNNNNNNNNNNNNNNNNNNNNNNNNNNNNNNNNNNNNNNNNNNNNNNNNNNNNNNNNNNNNNNNNNNNNNNNNNNNNNNNNNNNNNNNNNNNNNNNNNNNNNNNNNNNNNNNNNNNNNNNNNNNNNNNNNNNNNNNNNNNNNNNNNNNNNNNNNNNNNNNNNNNNNNNNNNNNNNNNNNNNNNNNNNNNNNNNNNNNNNNNNNNNNNNNNNNNNNNNNNNNNNNNNNNNNNNNNNNNNNNNNNNNNNNNNNNNNNNNNNNNNNNNNNNNNNNNNNNNNNNNNNNNNNNNNNNNNNNNNNNNNNNNNNNNNNNNNNNNNNNNNNNNNNNNNNNNNNNNNNNNNNNNNNNNNNNNNNNNNNNNNNNNNNNNNNNNNNNNNNNNNNNNNNNNNNNNNNNNNNNNNNNNNNNNNNNNNNNNNNNNNNNNNNNNNNNNNNNNNNNNNNNNNNNNNNNUAUAUAUAUAUAUAUAUAUAUAUAUAUAUAUAUAUAUAUAUAUAGGUUUCAACCGCAAGAGGUUAGUUCAGCACUAGUAAAUAUAUAAUUACAUGGCACAUGGAAGUGAUGGAACAAAGAAGUGAUACGCAAAUCAUCAAACUAUCACAUACGGCCUGAAACUUUGUGCUAAUACGUACAUAUGCCCUUCAAAUAUCCCUUAAACUUGUCAUAUUGUCAUAUAUAUUGACAUGCAUUUCAUUUGCAUCAAUGCAGAAUCAAACCCUUCGUAUAAAAUAAAAAUAAAAAUGCAGAAUCAAACCCUGACGUUAAUACAAGGAUAUUAGUUCCUAUGUCACUAACCGAUCGAUUUGGUGCAUCAAGUGCUCACCCAUGUACAAUCCCAAACAUAUGAUUCAUAUGAUAUGAAAUAGGCCAUCACAACCGAGAACUCACCGCCCCUCCUCUAUUUAACCCUGAGCUUAGAUAUCAAUCAUAUGAAACGCAUUCAUUUCCACAAGUGAAUUAAAAACCUCUGAAGGCUUAAUUAGCCGUUUAGGGUUCAUAUAUGGAUCUCUCAGUAAUUUGAAUUUGGCCACUUAUUCGAUCUUGUCAAACGAAGGACGCAAGGCAAUCUUUAGCUACUAGUUGUCCUUAGCGAUGAUCAUUAAGCACGUACGUACAGUUUCUAUAAUAAACUUUCUUAUUUCUUUCUAUUACAAUGGUUUGAAGCUUUUCUGUGCUAAUUGAUUCGUAAAGCUCGAGAGUACGUAGCUAUAUAUAUCCCAAUCAUUAAGGACCCUAUUAAUCAAAGUGAACAAUUAGCUUCAGGAUAACUGAGUAGGAAUAAUGGAGUAGCACCGGGAAAUAAGUCGGAAAAUACGUUCGUCCGGACUAAGUACGUAUGUGUGCGUCCGGACUCUCUUUUAUUUACUUUCUUUUGUCAAUGCAAAUCAUAAUCUUAACCGUUCAAAAGUUGAAUUAACCUAUAUAGAUCAUCUCUACAAAAUUUCAAUGUAAACAAACAUCGUUUUCUUAGUCGAUUACAUUAAACAAAUUGACAGUUCUAGUGAAAGUUAACAGUCUCAUGAUCAGUCGUCCAUUUGUUUGAUACAUUCGGCUUAGAAAACAAUGUUUGUUUACAUUGAAAUUUUGCAGAGGUGAUCUCCAUAUAUAGGUACGUAAAUAAGAAAGAGUUCAGACGCACACGUACAAACUAGUCCGAACGCAAAUAUUUUCCAAAUAAACUAGUCCGAACGCAAGUAUUUUCCAAAUAAGUUAAAUGACAAAAGCCAAAGUUUACAAGUACAUAAGAUUAGACCGAGUGUAAUGAUAAAAUGCGUGCACCAAAUCGGAAAUUGAGACUGAGAAUAAGAUUAAACACUCUGUAGUGUGUACUUACGUAGAGUUUAUCUAUCAAACUUGUUGUCGAAUUUGCUUUGAGGCAAAACCACCUAGCUACUUCAAAUUGGCGUGUAAGAUGAUGCUUAUAGUUGUGGACUUGUGGGUAAUGAGUUGAGAUUAAGUUAGAGUGACUGCGAGAGCGGUAUGUUGGAGUCUUCAAAAUAUAACCCAUUUUACAUUUCUCCUAUUCUAUGAUUAUUCUUUUUUCUUAUCCUAUGUUCUAUAAGUAGAUAACACAAUUGUCAAUUCUUUUAUUUUUCUUCUCUGUUCUAAAAAAACAAAAGAAUGUCUAAAUGUUGAAUCAACCAUAUAACAAAUUAAGCAAUACACUAAAAGAAGCUGCAGCUACCAGCUUGCUUUGGUCAAUUUGUUAUAUACUAAAGAUAUACCAAUUAUUCAUCAACGUCGACUCGGGUCAACGUACCACAUAGAUAUGCAAUAUGAAAGGGAAGAGUAUAUCAUCAAGGCAAACCAAAAAAGUGAAAACUUCAUUAGAAAGCAUAACGUUACAAGUACGUACAUAUACGUAGCAGCUAGUACUAUAACUUAGUACAUUGGAUCUCCCAUACUACAAAAGAGCCAUACAAGGCACUUUUAUUCCCUCGAACUGACGAACUCUACCCCUUAGCUAGCUUGAUGCUAAAACACUACAUGCCGCAUCACAUUUUUACAUACAUAUAUUGAUAUAUUUAAGCACUAGCCCUCUCGGACUGGAAAGAUCUUGAGGAGCUCAAGGCAACAGUCUCCUGCCUGUUGUACUUGAGGUUCCUUGCCUGCUGACGGUCCAUCUGGUAAGCAUUGGCGAGGACCACGUCGGGGAGUGCCCGGAGGACGGAGGUCCUGCCAGCCAAGGUGUUGAUUAUGGCAUUGUCUUGUGUCUUGAAGGCAAUGUACUCGUAUCCAUUGCUCAUGGCCUUUUGCAGCACGGCGUGGUUCUGCGGCACGAUGAAGAGCUGUCCCUGGCGGACCUGGUCGUCCAAGAUGGUCUCACCGUUGUCGUUCACCACCUGAACCCUAGCGCUGCCCCUGAUGACGUAGUACACUUCAUGGGCGUUCAAGUUCCAGUGUGGGCUGUAGAUAGCGUUCUGCAUGUACCACAUAAUAACCAUAAUUAAAACUGCUAAAUUAAACUCCACCAUAACUUGAUUAGACUUAGUUGAUAGACAAAUCAAUAUGCAUGCAUAUAUACUCACGUUGUAGAAGAAGCCUCUCUCAGCGCUGAGACGGAGGUGCCUGAGAACGGGCAUGCUAAGGCCAUUGAGGACGCUGAUGCGACCGGCUUGUGGGCUGAAGACGUCAGCCAUUGAAGGCUUGCCGAUGUUCUGCUUCAUCUUCAUGUGGCAGAAUACCUCCUCAAAACCAUUCUGUCCUUGUCGUCCUUGUUGUUGUCUUUCCUCCCUCAUUGACUCUGGGGGCUGGACGAAGUCGAGGCGUCCCUGAACCCUAACGAUCUGUGGCCUGUUGUCGUUCUGUCCCUGGAGCUGUUGGGCGGUCUGUUGGUCGAUGUUGAGAGCAUCGGCAAGGAGUCUGGUGUCGAAGCCGGCAAAGACGUUGUUGUUGUUGUUUCCCUGUUGUUGGUGUCUGAUCUUUCCCUGUUGUCUCGCGAUCGAAUGUCGGCUUUGGCCUUGUUGGGUGAACUCAUCUUGUGGGUUACCAGCAAGAUAGAAUCGCUGCUCAUACAGAUCAAGCAGCCAUUGAGUUAAACGAUUUUGUAACAUUGUAUCCAUAUAUAUAAUCAGGUGUCAGUAAGAAAAUCCAUAUAUAAUUAUAUAUUAUCAAAACGUUGAUAAGAAAAGGUACCCUUGGGAUUUGGUCAAGUUGGUUGUGAAGGUUGCUGGUGUCUUGAAGACAGACGAAAACAAGAGAUUGGUCACCGUCGUUGUAGGACCAGGUUGUGACUCCGGCGGGGACGGCGAUAACGUCACCUUCCUUGACGGGUCGCACUUUCUGGUGUCGGUCUAGCUGUUCGAAGCUCUCUUGUUGUCCCUGUUGGCCUUGUCGGCGUCCAAUUUGCUGGCGACCUUGUUGCCCUUGCCCUUGCUGUUGCGAGCCCUGUAGUUGUUCCUCGUAAGAUUGCUCGGUUUCUUCGAAAGUCUCGGGACAUCCGGGGAUCACCAUUCCUAGUUGACCCCUACCUGAAAUAGAUCACGUAUAAAAGACAGUAAGUUAACCUUGCUCAAGCACAACAUGCAAUUUAGUCAUAAGUUGAUCAGAAAAAGCGACGUUUAGAUAUUACCUUGGACAACGUAAAGGAGGCGAGGACUGUUGGUGUAAAAAGGCAAGUGAAGGCCGUUGCGCUCGACGGUGAUUCUCUGAACGGCGACUCCGGCGCACUGGAAGUCAUCCUGGUUGUAGUCCCAUGACUCGAUCCGACCCGCCUCGGUCUCAAUGCGGUUGUCGGGCUCGCGGGCUUGGAUCUGGUUCAGCAUGCACUCAUUUUGCUGGCUGGACGGAGAUUGUUGGCGAUAGGCUGAGCAGCCAUGAAAGAGAACAAGCAAGCAGAGAGAGAGAGCUAAAGACCUGGCCAUUUUGUAGAGUGGAUACUAGCUAUAGCUACUUGGGUGAGGAAGAGAGUGGAGAGGGGUUGGGAUUUAUAGGGUAGCGAAAGAGGUAAGGGAGGGACACGUACGUUGAGGAAGGGGUUGCAUGUGUAUAAGGCAUCUUCAGCCAUCUUUCUGUUUGCAUGGUGUGAAGGUUUGAAGGGUUUACACCUCAUUUCUGUGGUCUGAGGCAGGUGGCUUUGGUGAAGAAGAAGAUACAAAGUGCAUGGGAUAUAUGUGGCGAGAGGAUGGAGUCUCCAGUAUUGUCCGGAUGCAAACUGAAACUGCUUUUGAAGUUUACUGCCUUAAUUUUGGUAAAUAUGGAGAAAAAUACAUACAGUUUGUGAAAAGUAAAAUAAAUAAAGGAACUCCAUCAACUCAUCUGAACAUUGGGAAUUUGGGAUAAAUAACUAGUUAUCUCGAUCUGAUCUCAGAUAUGCAUGGCCUAAACUUACAUCCUACACUACCAUAGCUGCAAUGUAUAUUAAUACACAUGAAUCUAACCAAGCUCCUUAUAACUAGAAAAUAGAAUUGUUCUUUUUUUUCUUCUUUAAUUUGUAUCUUGGGUAUCAGUACUUUAACUGAUAUAUAACAACUGGAAAACUGUACAACAGCGUCUUGUACGGAAGUGCAAUGUAGGACGUAUUUUAUAUAGGAAAAUUCAAGGUAUUGGACUGUUUGCUAUACAAUGUAUUUUUAAAUAUUUUCGAUCAUCGGUUCUUGAAUUUUAAGAAAUAUGGUAACCGGUUUGGGGUUGUCUACGUAUAGAGAUGUGUAUAUUAUACUCAUUUUACAACUAAUUAAACCAAACUUAUAAUUUAAUGAAAAUAAAUAUACGACGAUGACAACAAACCUACCAGUUGAUUAUGUCAACUCAUUUGAAAUUACUAAUGAAGACACAUAAGCGUAAAAAAUAAUAAUAAUCCUCUUUUUCUUUCAUUACAGUAGUCUUCAUCUAGAAGAAAAAAUUCUUUUCCAACAUAAACACUAACAGAUACGUCGAACUCCAUGGAAGAUAGUGACAUUGUUUUGGAGUAUAUGCACAAUGUAUGAGUUUCUUGUUUUUUUUUUUUUUUUUUUUUGUUUCUUUUUUUGUAUGAAUUCACAAAUGUAUUAUUGUAAUUGUUUCAAUAAGAAGGAAACUUGUUGUCGACUAAGCAGAGUUUGCCCGUCCUAUUACUACAAAGAUUUUGAAGUUGUUUUUUUCUUUGUGUAUACUAAACACUCGUAAAUUUUCUUUAUUCAAAAGAAAAGUGUAUACUGACAAUCUCUUCUCCCUAAUAGAAAUAGCUUUAUGAUAUAGCGGCAAAAGACAAAUCUUGAGUUUUGGAUUUCGUUAUAAGAACUUGAUAAUUUUAUAAGAAAGUAAAUUAAUGGGUUGUUAUAUAUAGAGCUUGAGUAUAUAUACAUGGACUCUUUUUGAUAAUUUUAAGAGAAUGUUCUAGGAUAUUCUGUAUCUUUCUAGAUAUUCUUUAUGUGUGCAUUGGCCUUAUGCCAAUAGGAUAUGUAGUUAGACUAAUUCUAUGUAUUCAUAUCCUUACCAUAUUGGUAUUGUGUAAUUCCCUAUAUAAAGGGCUCAUAUCAAUGAAUAAGAUGAUGAUUCUCUUGCUAUCUCUUUCUCUACACUUUAUAUUUCAUCACGUUAUCAUGCACUUUGUUAUAACCCUAGAGCCAAUAGCCCACCAUUUGUUUUCCAAACCCUAAAAUCUGACAGCCUUGUUUUUCCUGAUUUCCGACCAAAAUUCCGACUGCCCUCUGCCGGAGUUUUAUAUCCCCAGAAAGCUCUCUCCGUCCUGGAUCCAACGCCGCCGGCCUCACCCUGAGAACCGGCCGGAAAGUCUUCGAACCGGCCGCUAGAAGAUUCCAGACCGCCGCCGCUACCGACCACCGGUUCACCACCUUCCCUUGCUCCGAUCAACCUGAAAUUUUGACAGCAGCUUCCCCAUCCAGAGCUGCUCAUUCUGUCAAAUUUUCAGCCCCAAAUUCGAAGUAUAAGUAGGCGAAACGUUAUUUCUCCUCUCGGCAGCCUCUAGAAACCAAAGAUUUCAAGAUUGGUCGUCUUCCAAGGAAACCAGAAAGGUAUGUUUUGAAACCUUAAACUUUUCCAAGUUCAAUAACUCGGGGAGGAUAAAAUCUUUUCCGCCCUUCUCUAUCUCCAUUCUAUGCUUGGGAUUUUGUGUGUGCAGGUACCAAAAAUCCCGGAAUUUUAUUCGCGGGUCAAGAGUGUAUUUGAUCACUCUUGCUUCCUUGUCCAGGUUGUGUAUGAUCAACCCCAACCUUUCUCCGGAUUGUGUUUGAUCAAUCCGAGGCCUUUUCCGAAUUGUGUUUGAUCAAUUCGCGACUUUUUCCGGAUUGUGUAUGAUCAAUCCGAAGGACAAACCAUUAAAAGCAUUGUUUGUGACCUCUAUCGAGUCUCAUAACAGCUUGGUUUUGUAUGCAAGAGCAACGUAACAUUCUGCUCAUUGAGUUUUGACGUACUCGAUACCUAAGACGAAUCUUCGCUUGGUAUCUGUGGAACAUUUCACUGGAAAGGAUUAAACAACAUAUUUUGACCCCCAGGCUAACAAGCCUAGAUGCCGAGAUUUCACAUCUCAUGCGCUCAAAGUCUUUGACGCGCCACAUCGACAAGCCUUCAAUGGCAAUCUGUGUAAAAAGUAAUGACCACAAAGUACUAUGGAAUGCACUCAUGGAGCGUUUCUUGAAACGUCCAUAUAACUCUACUUGUUGAGUUAUUAGUCAAGUGGAUUACUUACCGCCUUAAUUGACUACAUAUUGUCGAUGAUCAUUUGUGGCAUCAUGAUCCAUAACCUUUAGCGGAUUCGAUCAUCAUCAAGUUCUCUAGGUCCUCCAAGUUGGUUUGGAAUUACCAACGAGACUUGAUUUUGAUCAUACAAACGGGAAUUGUAUAUAUACGCUAAUGUGAUAAAUUUAUUUAGGAUUAUCCCCUAAAUGUGGGAACAACAAUAUGGGUCAUGACAACGGCAGAAAACGUCGUGCCGAUGUCUAGAAAAGAGGGGGAGGUGUCACCGGCUCUAAUAGCAACACUCCCGGUCUAGACACCAUUUUGUCAAAACUACUCACGUCAGCUCAUGACAACGCAACCAUUGUGGAUCUUCGGAUCACUGGUUCAAGAUUGUCAAGCUCCUUCAAAUUGUGAAUGCAUACAAAAAGGUAUAGAAAAUCAAUAUGAGGACAAGAACAUCAUCCUCAUGAUCGCGAAUUUCAAAGAUUCGGAUCCUGCUCUAGCUACCCAUGACUUUGACGUCAUCGACUAGACAUUGAUUUUCGUUCCAAGCUAUAUGUACUAAGGCGUUGAGACCUUGAUGUACUCACAUUAGCAAUAACGAAUGCCUUGAGAAUUUUUUCGAAGUUAUAAAACUAUUCUCCUCUUAUGGUUCGUAUUGAUUUACAAACAAGAUUUACAUUUUUACAUCGUCCUUAGAAGCAUGGCAUAUUUACAAUCUACAUGGUUAGAUUGUGCAGUUUUGGUCUCUUCCAAGUGGAGAUGACGCACGCCCUUGCAUCCUUAAGUAGGAUCGCUAACGUGUUUCCGGUUAAGUCUUCUACCCUAUAGCAGAUUUUUCAUCAUCAAUUGUUCAACUAGGCUCAUCCAAGCUCAGUGUGAUGUCUUAGAAUUGCCCGAAAUUAAGGAGAUAGUGGUUUCAAGUGUGCCUCGCACUACCGACCCUCCACGGACAUGCCUGGUCAUACUGACUUGGAGUUACCGAAAGCUUUUGAUUUUGGAUCCCCCUACGCUAUUAAACCAAUUGCCGUCUUGCAAAAGAUGUUGAAGACUUAUCAAAAACCGGAAAAUUAUCAUCAUGAUCUAAUCCUCUAGGUCCUCUGAGUUAGUUUAUGUUCAUGUCAGGGAGAUUUUGCUAACUAGUCAUGGAGUUUACGACCUUAGAAUGACCGAAAGGACUUUGUUUUGAUCAUACACACGUCACUUGUGGCUAAGGCAAAAUCCUACACGCCACUUGCAAGCUUCACAGCUUCGCACAUGCCAAUUCUGCGAAAAACAGCAAUCUGUCCCUUCUGGACAGUCAACUUCGUUUGCGUUUUGUGAACAGCUCCGGACGAACCAGACAAUAAGCUUUAUAUCAUUGGAAAGCUCUAUGAGUCUAGUUUUCAGAACUUUUCGCGGUUCAUCUAUAUCUAUUUUAACAAGGAAGUUAUGGCUGUUUUAGUGCGCAAAAGUCAUUCUGCGCGGAAAUUUUUAUGCACUCUCGGGAUUGCAGCUUUUCGUAGCUUCUUUCAAUCCUUCUAAAUAGUUCAAGUGGAACUAUUAACUAGCCUAUCUACUCCUUCUUGUAGAUAUGUCUCAUCGAGACAUUGAGUGCUUCGCAGAUAGUGGAACUAUCCAUAACAUUCUAAGGAACCGGCAACUAUCUUUGGAUUUUGUGUCUUUGUAAAUCUUCUGUGACUACAAUGAUUGAAUCAUACCGGUCAUUCAAGGACGCGGUUUAGCUUAAAUCUUGAUGCCUCAUGGAACCAUGAUCAAUGUCACAGAUACCCUCUAUGCAUUGAGAGGCAAUCGAACCAUAUUGAGCUCUAAAGACAUUCCUGCUAAUAGUUUUCAUUUGAAAACACAUUGUGAGAAUGAACAAGAAUUCUUUUGUGUAUACCUUCUCAUGAAUGCGGACUGAAGUGCAUCUUGGAGAAAUUCAUGAGUCAAUCUAGUGGACUGUAUGUCACUAUGAUUCGAAUAUGAUUCGAAUAUCGAAUCUCAUGUUGUCACCAAACAUGAUAUUUGGGACACUGACUCAUAUAGGCUUUGGUUUUAACCAAUUAAGGUCAUCCUAGAAGAGAUAUAAUGGUCCAAAUUUUGAGAAAUUCUCAUGGACAUCCAUUCUUCCGCUCAAAACAAAGACAUUCGAGAUCUAGCAUCACCAUGAAGCAUGGUGGUGACCCGGGGGACAUUGACGUCACCCGAACAAGGCUCCAACUUCCCGGAGGCCGUCCGGUCAAUUCCUCAAGCAACUGAGGUGCACCAGCCUUUCCUCGAUGUCGCAUUGGCCCCCUGCAAUGCUUAUUACUCGUUUUGAAAGCCUAUUAUUUAGCUAAAUUAGGAGUGAGACCCUCCUACGCUAAAUAACACAAAAGUGAACAUUCUAUUCUUACAUAAAAUUAUGUAGAUAGAUACAACCAACUUGCGAACAUCUUUUAUGUUUUAUGGUGUUGGUUGAAGUGUUAACACACUGGUCAUGUGUUACACUAUUAUCUACUGCUUAUGUUGCUUAUACUUCUACGGGCUCACUACCCAUUCUUUAAAGAAGUUUAUCGGGAUGUAAGUUGAAGUGUCCUGUACCCCAUGUUCACACGCAAUACGGUCUCACCGAGGCUACGACUAAGCAACUUUAGCUUGUCGCUCGAACAUUAUUGAUGCGCACCAAUCUUUCUAUUGCGUCUUGGGGCUAUACAAUAUUUGCAUGCAGCUUUACUAUUCAUCUACAACUCACCAUCAUUGAAUAUUUUUGUACUACAGCUCGUGACUGUGUACCAGGAUUGCAAUCCUUGAGCUCAAACAAGAUUGAAACGGAUCUCCAAUCCUUGAGCUCAGCUAGAUAUUUAUUCUAGGUGUCAAAUCGCACUGCCACUGAAGGACAAUGAUGGGUCAUUUGAGAUGAAUAAGUAUUUAGGUUGGAUAUGAAUCUCCACCUAUAAUCCGCAUAUGUAGAAACCUUGUCAGACGAUCUCUUUCACCGCUAUAUUGCGGAUUGUCACUUUGAUGAGACAAUAUUCUCGCCGUUAGGGGGAGAUAAGAGCACAAGUGUUCAAGUGGAACGACGUGAAUUGUCGUGGUUUGUCCCCACUAAGUCUCAUCUUGAUCCCAAAUGCUUAAAGUGUUAAAGUGACGAGAUCACAUGCAGCAAAUAUGUCUGUAAGGAUUGAUGUCCUUUUCAAAGGACAUGGCGCGACCAAAAGGUGUUGGUCUUGACGCCAUCACCAUGGAUGGUGAUAUAGUGACGCCAUAUAGUGGCAAAAUUGGUGUCACAAAGCCGUGUGGCUCCCUAAAAGGAAGGAGACCUUUAGGUUCGAUACUUUCUCGCACUAGAAAGAAAACGAGCUUGGCACAACCUGAUCCAUUGAUCAGUGAUACUCAAAUCCGUCUCAUGAAGUCUGAAUUGUGAUUAUCGUUGGGGGACGCCUCAACGUCAAAUCCAAUCCAUAUAGAGAUCUCUACACGUAUUACACUAGUGUACAUGAGGACGUGGGAUAAUGAGUCUACUAUCGAACCACCCUUCGUUGAUGGAUAUCAACUUAGUUGAUUGGCCUAAUGGAAAGAUGUGAUCCAGCAUAACAAAGAGAUAGGUCCUUGGGCAGGUGAUGCCGACACCGCAAGCUAAACCCUAUCAACUAUGCCUUUGUUAGAUAACGUAGUGAGAACAAGAGCUUAGACUCACCUUAUGACGCAAGGUAUCUCACUAACACGCACUGAGAUCGACUACGAUAAGAUAUGCUUUCGUAAUGGAUGUCAUUGAACUCCACUACUUUGUCAGUUUGGUAGUUUCCGAAUAACUGAACAAGCAGCCUAUGAAUGUGAUCGUAAUAACAUCUCUACGGGAUCAGAGAUAUGCAUGAAGGUCUUGAACAGACUUCAUUCAUCCAAAUCAAGUGGCUCCAGACCACAGGAGCAUGUGUUUGCUAAAUGUAUUGAAACGCACAUGGACUCCACUUGAUUUGGAAGGGAUAUGGUGAAUUAUGCAUUUGCGUGUUCAUUCAAGAUUUACAUGGACUCUUGAUGGAUCAAGAGAUGCCAAUAUGUAUCAACAUCCGAAGAAAAAGAUCUUGGGAAGACACGGUCUCGAUAAGACACUCGAUGACUGUAUUGAUGAUGAUUUUUCAUCAAUCGGCUUAGGUGCUCUAACGAAAGUGAGGCCUACAUAUACUCCCAUGAUUAGUCAAAGUCUUUACUCUAAAGAGAGAUCCGUUGUUUUGUCUAAAGCAUGAUGACAAAUAUGUGUUAAGAGAUGGAGUUCCCAUCUAAGUACAAUUAGACGCAUCAAUGUACUCAACACAAUAUGAAAGACUUGACAUCUCAUUCGCUAUGAAAAGUUGUAAAGCUAAGUAUAGUUAUGCGCCCACGUAACGCCAAUGUAAUGGCAGUAACUCUUUUUUCAAUACUUAAUGGUAUGAAAGGUUGAGGCUAAUUCUAUCCCUACAUAAGAAAGACACAUCAAUAGCGAAAUCAAAAUCUGCCAAGUUUCGUAGGUCAACUUCCACGGGACCUACAAGAAAUCUCACUCACUAGAAAAUGGUGAAAUUGGUACCAUUGGAAAGUUCUAUGUGUCUACUUUCCAGGGACACCAACCAUUUGUUCAUACCUAUCAUAUUGAGUGAGUUAUGGCCGUUUUCAUAAAGUAUGACGAAUCUGUCCGAGAAUCUGAUUUUGGCAAAACAGUCAACUUCGACGGGACUUUGUGAAUAGCUCCUGAUGAAUCAGAACAUGUGUAAUAUACAGUUGGAAAGCUAAAUGAGUCUAGUUUCCAAAACCGUUUACGGUUCAUUCAUAUGUAUUUCCUAGAGGAAGUUACGACUGUUCUAGUAACUGAAGGUCAUGCUGCGCGGAAAUCUGAUUUCCUGCACAAACUUAUGUUUUGAGUUCACAAGCGGCCUUCUCCUCAAGAUCUAAGUGUAAAAGAUCAUUUGAGGACAAUACGGCAUGAUUUAGUUAAUCAUUGCCUAAUGCCACAUUUGAAGACAUGUUAAAGAGCAUUGACAUGCUAAGUUGUUGAAAUUUCCGUGAUUAGUAAAAAUCAGGAAUAGCCCUAUGAUUGAUGUAAAGAUCAGGGGGAGGUGCAAACUUCAGGGGGAGUCUAGCACAUACAUACAUGUCACUAUCAAAUGUGAAUGGUGCGUUGUACUCUUUUUCUCCUACGAUCAAGGUUCAGUUUUUCUCCCACAUGGUUUUUGUGACUUGACGAGGUUUUUAACGAGGCAACAGAUCAGCACCAUCGGCAUAUCAGAGCGGCACAAGGGGGAGUGUUCUAGGAUAUUCUGUAUCUUUCUAGAUAUUUUUUAUGUGUGCCUUGGCCUUAUGCCAAUAGGAUAUGUAGUUAGACUAGAUCUAUGUAUUCAUAUCCUUACCAUAUUGGUAUUGUGUAAUUCCCUAUAUAAAGGGCUCAUAUCAAUGAAUAAGAUGAUGAUUCUCUUGCUAUCUCUUUCUCUACACUUUAUACUUCAUCAGAGAAUAAUGUUUUUCUUGAUUUUAUUGGACUAUGGGCGUUCUGGGAAAAUUGAGGAGGUGUAUAUAACAUUUUAGUUAUUUGUAAAAGUAAAUUUGAGGUCCAUUAAACAAGAAGAUCCAACAGCCGUUUUUAGAGAUAUAAAUAGAACCUCCCAUGACGGAAUGAUAUUACAGUGAAGUUGAAAAAAAAAAAAAAAGUCACAAUGUGCUUGACCUAUAUAUAUAUAUAUAUAUAUAUAUAUAUAANNNNNNNNNNNNNNNNNNNNAAAAAAAGUAAAAACUAACAUAUGNUNUACUACUAUAUAUAUAUAUAUAUAUAUAUAUAUAUAAACCAUACUUUCUUGUAUCAUCUUCAAAAAUAAGGUUCAAAUUAACAGCUAAACAAAACAUCGAUUAUCGUACGUUAAUGUUUCCUUUAGUUAUAGACUACUAGCAGAAAUCCGUAAUAUAUAUAGCUCCACAAUAACUAGUAGUGAAGUAUCUACGUGCAUGCAGAGCUAUCUAUUUGUUCUGUACAUGGGAAUGGUGGGUUUGGCUUUAUACCGAUAAAGAACUCUCCUGUCCUUGAAAUUCCAGUUCUCAAAGGUCACGAAUAUCUUCCCUGGUUCACUAAAGUAGAAGGAGUUUCUCACACUCUCUCCUUGCAGUCUCUUCUUGUCUUGGAUUAGAAUGUUGUACGACCCUUCAUCAUCAGGAAGGAACUCUUCCUUGUACAACACGUCCCAUCCCACCACAGUUAGAUCCCACACCAUUGUCAAUCCACCCUAAUCAAAUGAAAACACCCCAAAAAAUGAAAAUUAUUAGUUAACAACAAGAUUCAACUCAUCAUUCGAUUAAACACGCGAUUAAUGACGAGAAUUAGUACCUCAACAACUGGAAUUUCAAUAUAGUUGAUUGUGUUUGCUUUGAUUAUGAGCUCAGAUACUUUGUCCUCUGGUGUGAACUCAUCAUCUUGCUCUCUUUUGAGGCCACCAUAUUGAACUGGGAGUUCUUCUGGUUCUAUGAACCUUUUUUUUCAUAAUCAUUUCCAUGCAAAGUAACUUGUGUAUUAGAGACACGGAUGAGAUACUAAUGUAAUUGGAUAGUUUCAAUUUUUUGAGUAGUAAUCUCACUCACUUGAGAAGGGUCUUUGUAACCUUUUGGGAUCUAGCAAAGAUGAACGUCUUCUUAGUUCUGUGACUUAGAAACCUUGAUCGGAGCACAUGAGACACAUAAUACCAAAGUGGAGCAUUGAUAACAAUCUGCCAGUGGAAAGCAAGAAAUUAACAUAUACCACAUUGUAAUUAGCAAGUGCAGAGUUUUGCUACUUACAUUCUUUUGAAUGAGCUCAGGAUAGUUGUCCUGUAACAAGAGCAGAGUUUUGCUACUAAGCGAACGAAGCUCCUUAAAAUCGGGGCCUGGGGAAUCCUUCAAAUCCGUAAUCUGAACCAUCGAAUCAACCCCUCUCUUGAAGUUGAGCUUCUUGAUUCCCUUUUCAAUGAAUUGAACUCUCCACCUCAAAAACUGUUGGCGUCUUGCUUCAGACCCGAAUGUUUUCUUGUACAAGUCUUUGUCCUUGAAAGGUCCAUACGAAGUGUAACACAAAGGGUGGCCAUCUUUGUCUCUACUAUUUAUGCACACCACGUCUUCAAGACCAGAGACUCCUAAAUCUUCUUCCAGAAUUUCAUCAGUCCUGAAUUCUUUUCGCCAUUUCAGGGUUCUUUUCAGCAUUUCAAAUGCGUCGCUGGUCUUGUAAUCCCGGGCUUUCAAGAAUUUGAGGAGCAAAACAUCAGUGCCUUGAUGGCCUUUGCUUGGCAACAAAGGCACACCCCAUAGGGUAAUCUCCUUGAGUUGUUCUUUCUGCCUCAAGCUUUCAUUUCGGCUAAUCCUUCUGCUGGGUUUUCCGAGAAUGUAAUUCCCCAUAAUUGCAUCUUCAACUCUGCACCGGAAUUCCAUCAAGGCUUUCCUCUUCUUCUUCUUCAUUGACGCAGAAGCAGCUUUGGUUUCCUCAUCAUCCUCUAUAGCUCUACGUUCAACAUCUUCUUCAUCACUAUCCGGACAUAAUUCCCGGGGGCUUUCCAAGAUGUAGUCAUUAGGCUGAUCAUAAUUUCCCAGAGGCGAGUCAAGCUCUUGCUCUCUGCCCUGGUAAUUAGCUUCAUUUUUCAUUUUGGGUCUCCUGAUCAUUCAUCUCCCAUUGUCAAAUAUAGAGGAGAUUGAAAUCCCCGGCAUUCAGAGUUUCCGGGGAAACUGAAUAUUGGUGGUGCUCGGAUUCAAUGAUGGGGAGUUGAGAACGACGAACACAAAAAGUUUACAUCUUUCCUUUCUCUAUUACCUCAAGCUCAAGAAAGGCCUGGCGCCAAAUUUAGGUUGGACAAUCGUAGUAACUAACGGUGAGAUUGGAACAGGCUUUUUUACAAGUGUUUUAAACUUUUAUCCCCAAUUCAUCGGGCUUGGCUGGCAUACAAUUAGUGGUUGUUGUAAAUAGAUUAGGUUCCAAAUGCAAGUCAAAUUUAGUAUUUGAGUUUCAACACUAAACCCUUAAUCCAACUCGUUGCCUAACAAUGUGCAAGAAUCACUGUCCAAGUCAAAAUUUUGCCUUGCUGGGAUAAGGGAUCUAAGAACAUCUCCAAAAAAGAGAUAGAAAAACACAAUUGUACAAAAGCAACACCAUGGAAACGGUGUUAUGUCGUAAAGGUGCAACAAGUUAUUCAAGUUAUUAGAUUUGCAAAGGUCACCAUCUGUCCUCAAAAAAGGUCACAAACUGAUCUCCACUGUCCUGGUAUGGGAGGCAUUGACAAUAGAAUGAGAAGAACGAAAGAAAAGGGGAACAACUUACAAGCUAAUACUAAACAGAUGGUUGCUGGAGAAAGAAAAGAGACAAUGGCUGAGAUUAAUCCUCUACAUUCUGGGAAGUUCGAUGCAUUAUCUUGUCCUCCUUGACUAAUUCACAACCUGUAGCAGUGAUUUUUACAUCCUAAUACAGCGAAACCUAACUGCUGAUUUCCAUGCCUAUGAAAAGAAUGUAACCUGAACGGCCGUUGAAAUCUUGUAAUCAUAUUUACAGUGAAAUGGGAUGUGAAAUGAUUGAUCUGUAUCUAUAUAACAAGUCAUUAUCCAACUGCAGACUGGGAGCUGCUGCAUUACUCCUCUCGAAAUCUAGUCAAGUCAAAUGACAUGGUUUUGGAACAACUGCAAUAACAGCAGCACAAUUAGCGCGUUAAGAAACUAUAAUAUAAAUCCUCAAGAUAUAACCAUGUGACGUGCUCAAAUUCUUGUCUGAUGCUCACCUCAUGUCAGCGUCCCUGAAAACCCCAACCAGAGCUUCAGCCUUGUCAUAGAAGCUAUCUUUUAGAGAUAUUACAAUACUCUGAAAACCAUUGCCUCCUUCCGUAUCCUGGUUAACCCUGGCUCCUUGGCAAGACUUUGAACGGAUGAAUCGAGCAACUUUUGCUACAUUUAAGUUAUCCAGUGCAGCAUCAACUUCAUCCAGUAUGAAGAAAGGCGAAGGCCUAUAGCUGAAGCAUUCAUGAAAACAAAUGUGGAAAAACAAUUAAUUACAGGCUCUUAUCUACAGUGUAAAAGAGUAGAAACCAAAAACUAGAACAAAACUUUCGUAGUGGAACAGCGUACAUAUUGGUGAAAGGAAGACCAAAAGCCAGAAACUCCACAAUCCCCACCCAAAAAUAUUCAUAACUAUUGAAGCAUGUGCUCUAUGUAUCUACUGCAAGGCCUACCCAGAAUCUUUUGUUCUUGGAUGUCUUUAAAGGUAAACACUAUAUAUGAUUAACAUAUACCUGUGUAUGGCAAACAGUAAUGCUAAUGCUGCAACAGUUUUCUCUCCGCCAGAUAAUUGUUCCAUAUCUCGAAAGCGCUUUGUUGGGGGCAUAGUAGUGUACUUGACGCCAUGUAGAUAUGGAUCAUCUUCAUUUUCUAAAUUCAAAUAUGCCGUCCCACCAAGUGGAUGUGUAUUGCUCUUCGUCAGUUGCUUGUAUAUCUUAUCAAUAUUACUAGAAAUAUGGUUGAAGGCAUCCAUAAACUUCUCAUACCUGCAUUGACCAAAUAAACCAUUACAAUCAAAUGUCAGGGAAAAAAUAGAAAUCAGUUGCGUAGUGGGCAUAUUUGUCACUUACGUGAUGAUUUCUUUCACUUUCUGUCGACAGUAAACAUUGACCAUUCCUAUUACUAGUUUCUAUCCAUAAAGUUUGUCUUACGAAACCCAAUAAUGUGCAAUCAUGUAUAGUCAACUACAUUAUGAUAAUUAGACAAUCCAGUAGCAGUGUAAAAGCAAUCAAUACCUGCUUUGCUUAACCGAGUUAAACAGAUCAGCCUUUUGCUUCUGUUCUUUUCUGGCCACUUCAAACUCUGCAGUUAUAUCUCUUUCCUUUUCUUGUAGAGCCUCAUAUUGGUCCAUGGCCUUCAAAUUGGGAGCUGUUCUUUCUAUUUCUGAUAGCUUGGCAUCCAUUUGUUUCUUAAAGUCUAACUCGACUUUCUCCCGCUCAGAAGGCCUCCUAUCUCUCAAUAGAGACUCAUCUAACUCAUCAAAAUCAAAUACUGGGCCCGUUGUGGAGGAGUCAGUCUCCAUUGGAUCUGAGAUGAUAGGAAGGCUUAUUUGCUGAAGUUCACAAUUUUCUACUAUCUCCUGCUUCCGAGAUGUUAGCUGCUCAAUCUGAGUUUCCUGUAAGGCACGAAAAAAAUGUUUAGGGAUUCAAAUUAACAUGGUACAGAAGUGUCGCAAACAAAACCAAAUGCCAACCUUAGAAUUUAUCUGUCGAUUAAGUUUGGAUACAUUUGUUGUAGCAGUAGAACCCCGCUUGUUCCAUUCUUGAAUUUCCUUUUCACACCCUUCCGACUUGGAUUUCCACUCUACAUUAAUAGUGAGAGAUACAACUUUAUGAACUAAAAAGAAAGGAUAAAGUGGGUUUGCGACUCGUUUGAACAACUUGGGAAAAAGACAGAAAAAGAACAACAACCAUGAGAUCAAGUCCCGCGCUCAAGGCCUAAAAUCUGAGAAUUUAAGUUCUCCAAAAAAAAUACAGUACCAUGCCGAACUUUUAUCAUACCUUGUGCAUCUUCCUUCAACUGCUCAAUCUCAGCAGAGGCUUUUUCAGCUGCAGAGUUGGCUUCAAAUUCUUUCUUUUGAACCCAUUCUAAAUCUUUUUGUAGAUUACUAAUAGAUGAUUGGAGUUCUUCAAUUCGUGUAGCCAUGUCCCGAUUUUGCUCAUACUCUAGCCUGAAAGCAAACAAAGACCAGUAUUUUACCAUAAAAUAUGAGCAAGUGCCAAAGCUGUCAUACAACAAGUACACCAGAAACAAUAGUGGUGAAACUGGGCAGAUUGUUUGGGUUUGAUAUUUGAGUACUUCAAUAGAACCUGUGGUCAAUCUAAAAAGUUAAAACAAAAUUUUCAAAGACUUUACAGCCCUACAAAGAACUUGUAACUGGACAGCGUCAAACAUCUCUCAUCUUUAGUGAUCACUGCUUUCUAAAAAAGUCGUGUGAUAAUAGACACGACAGCGUUCUUUAAAGAUGAUCAAGACACAUCAAAAAGAAUAUAUGGUGGGGAGCGAGGAAAACCAACUGACUAAUUGGCCCAAUACUUGUAGUUGGUUGUUUCCUCAGUCAAAGUACUUGUAGUUCAUCAGAAUGUUAAAGCACAAUUUGAAGAUGCAUAAAUGCAUGCACAUUCAUACAAUAGUGUGGGAAUCAAUGAUCAAGUUAUAUAUCACAUAAUUCAUGCAUGUGUCCAACAUAAUAUACACAACUCACAUUCCACUGUAUGCCCAAAAUAAAAUAAUUACCAACAUACAACAGUAAAAUUGACAAAAGAUAAAAUAUAGGGAAGAACAUACUGGUAUUUCAAUUUUGAUAGCUGGCUACUCAAACUAAGCCUCUCUUCAGCCAUAGAUUGGGAAACCUUGAGUUGUUUUUCUUCAUACUCACGAAUGUUAUCUACCCCAACAGAUUUACUAAAGCCUUUGUAGAGUCUGUCAACAAUAUCAUUUAUCCUCUUCUCAAGCUUAUUGAUUUCUGUGCUCCGCUUAUCUACAGCUUGUUUUAGCUGCAAUCAUUUUUAAAACUGCUGUGUGAAACAAAAUGCUAGAAUAAGCUAGAGAAAACAGUAAUCAGGGAAAUACCUUCAGAAGAUCAGGACUGAUACGAUCAAUCUCUUCUUUUAUGUUCUGCCUCUCCCGCGCCAAAUUUGCAAGUUUGUCCUUGAUGCUUUUCUGUGAAAAAACUCAUCUUAGUUUUGAAUCCACUAGAAGGAACCUCAUGUUUAGCUUAAUUAAGAUAUAUCAAAGUAAAAGACUGAAAAACUAUUCACCCACCCUCCCACACCCAAAGCACAAAGGAAAAACUAAAAUAGAAUAAAUAGCAUUCAUCUCCACUUUAUAAUUAAAAGACCAAUACCAACCCUUCCCAUCAAGUCUAAUUCAUCUUAUUUGAUAAACCACACACAAGUGACACAACCAGACAUAAAACAGCUUCAAAGUUCAACCUGCAUCUUCUAGAUUUGGUGUCUGGGUAUGGAUAUAAAACUACCUUACCUGUAGAAUAGGAGUGAAAAAAAAAAGAUACAAGUAAAUCCUUGCAAUUACCUUCUCAAUAUCUGCAUAUUGGAUUUUCUUAUCAAGCCCACUAAGUCUGCCAGCUGUUUCAGACUCUUUUAGCUGCAUCUCUCUAAUUGACCCAAGCUCUUCUAGCUCCAACUCAAACUGUUCUUUCUUCUUCUUCAGUCCUAAACAACAAACAGUUAAACCACAUCAAAAAUUACCAGACCAAAAUUCAAAUGACAAUACAGCAAUUCAAAACUCACCUUCGACUUUUUUAUCAUCCCACUGUUUUGACCUAGCUUCCAUUCCUCCACUGGUACCACCAGUCAUUGUGCCAGAUUUUGACAGCAUAAUUCCAUCAACAGUUACAACUAAUUAAAGGGGGAAAGAGAAAAAAAGUUAGAUGCUGGCUAAAUAAAAACAUGCCUGACACAGAUACUUAACGAUAACAAAGUUGAACGCAUUACCUUUGAACCUCUCACCACUCCAGCUUAGGCGCUUAGCCUCAUCAAGUUCGUCACAAACGAGAGUAUUGCCAACCGCAAAGAGAAUAGCCUUCUCCAAGGCAUGAUCAAAUGUAUGGUUGUUAAGUAGACAAACUAAUAGCACCUCUUCGUAGAUUCUCAUGCAGAAAAUAGUUUUCUUACAAACAGAAAAACAUACAAGGAAUACAGGCAACAUACAUCAAGGACAGUACAUAGCAUAGUGAUCAGGAGGAUGAUCUAAAACAAUAGCUAACCACGAAAUGAUGAAGGUGUGAGCGUGCUUCUAUGCAUUAACAUGUUCCAUCUAAAUAAAUGCAGAGACGAUACUAAUCUGGAUGAUUAUACUCAAACUCUUUGUGGGAGAAAGCCAGAGGAAUGAUGAGUUACAUGAAGAAAACUUGUGCCAUAAAUGGAAGAAAAGAAUGAGAACAGAAAAUCAUCCAAGUUGAAAGGGAAAAGAAUUAAAUAAUUUUUUUUAAAAAAAUCAACAAGAAUAAAACACAUAAUGGGAUCCUAAUGCAAGUCUAUAAUAGAACACAAGUUGUUCAAUUUUUUUAGUUAUUUAAAAGUUCCAUAAUUUCUUCUAGAAAAAUAUAUGUUUUCGAUAACCAGAGUUCCACUACCCAAAAACAAUAAUGCACCAGAAAUUAGCAGCACUAACCGGCCCAGAUCAAAGAUACUCUCUUACUGCAUAUGAUGGAAAACAUGAAAAUGUAAUACAACAUAUAUAUACACACACAAAAAUAUAUGUAGUUAUGUAUAUAGAUCAAUCACACAUAACAUCUCUGCCUAUUUCUAUGCAUACAAAUAAAGAGCUAUACAAUGUGCACUACACACAUCCUUUUCACACAGACAUGCAUGCAUGCAGACAAACACCAACAAGAUUACACAAAAAUGUAAAUCUUCAACUACAGAGUUCGGAACAAACAAAAGUUUGGACACUAAACCAAUGUAGGCUUUUGUAGAAGCAAAUAUCAAGAAAAUAACACAUAGAUUUUAUUUGAUCUCUACUGUACCGUAAGAUGAUAACCAUGACAAAGAAUUAUUGAAUUUUUGCUCUCAAGAAAGCAUGAUGAAAGGAUAUUGAACAACAUCAAAAACCAGCUUUGCAGUACCACCCAAGUUACGCAGUCUCUCCAUUACUUGCUUUACACGAACAGAUUGGAGAGGUAUGAAUGUCUGAGGAGGAAGCCUUUGUUCUUUCAAAUACUGCAGAAAUGCAAGGAUCAGUAUCAGAACCGCAUUCACAUGAAUGAUAUAAUAUUCAAACUUUGUCAACAUAUAUUUCACAUUGGUACCCCAAGUAAUCAAUAAAACUGUCCGUAUCAUUAGAUAUUUCAAUAUUCAAACACACAAAAAACCAACAGACUCAAACAGGAUAAGAGAAAGAAAAAAAAUUAAAUCUCUUGAUUUUCCUAUAAUCUAUUUUCUUUAUUUUUAUUCUGAUUGCCUUGCAACUACUGUGAUGUGAAUAAUCAUUAUAAAAAUUGAGAAUUUAAAAUCUUAAUUUUACCAAUGAAAUAAGGAAGGCAAUCUUAACAAGCUAGUGUAAGCAUUCUACAAGAGCGAAAAGAUGAGAACAUAUAUCACCUUGAUACACUCCUUUCCUGUUUGUUCAUCUUCAACUACGACUGCAUCCAUAAAUUUUCCCAUGGCAACAGUGACAGCAAGAUUAUACUUCUUUUGUGUUGGCCUACAGAGUUCAGUCAUGCGACCAUGGACACCCUGAAACAAGCGCUUGAGAGUCUCUACUGCCUGAGACAACCUGGAAUCCCUCUCAUUCUCAUAUCUAUCGGCCUUCAGUUCACGUAAUUGCUUCUCUAAUUCAUCAAUUUUUGACUUCAAAUUUUCAUACUUCUGUCUGUAUAUCCAUAAAAAGGAUAAUAGUAAACAUACAAAUCAUCACAUUUUGCUAGUGUCUUGUAAAAUAAGUAAAUAACAACCUAAAGAAGAGAAAAGAAUGGAGAAAUUUAAUCAAAUGAAUAAAGGGGAAUGAGAAGCACCAGGCAACACAUGCCAAAACCUUAGCAGAACGUAUGAAUGACUCUUAAAAAGCAUAAAUUUAAAAAAUAAAAAUAAAAAAAAGCAAGCAUACAAGCAAGUUGAAUAACCUGGCAUUCUGAUGUUUAUCCUUCAUCACAAGCAAUUCAUUAUUCAGACUUUUUACUUCCUCUCUGUGUUUUGCAGAGUUAUCUUUAAUGUUUUUCAGCCUUGUCAGCAUUUGCUUAUUCUGUGAAUCCAGUUCACUCUCCCUACUUCUCAACUGUUCAAGAUUUUCUUCCAAAUUCUUUUGAGCUUCAAGAUCAGCAUGCUGUUGCCGAUCCAGAACCUCUUUCUCAUCUGUUAGCUUCGCAGUUUUCAUCCCAGCAUCCUCCUUCCUGUGACAUCAGCAUACCAUUAAUAUUUACAAAGCCUAUCAAGGAGAGCCUCUAAAUCCUAAGUUAUAUGGUCCAGUGAAGGUAAUUUAGAAAGUUCAUGAAGAUCGAAAGGUAGGCAGGAAACUGACUUCAAUUCUCAGCUCAAAAUUGAAAAGUAACAUGGCUUUUGGUUAAAGAAACAGAACUUCAUCUUUAAAACGUAAGGAAUGGGACACUAUCAUCACACUGAGAUGCAGUAAUAAAAUUAAACAGAGAUUACCAAACACUUACACUUUAAAAUAUUCCCUCAAUUUAGUAUCGUCUAACUGUAAUUUUUCACCACCGUCUCGUCCUUUUUCAUGUAAAUCCUCUAGUUGAGUGGUCAAAUCUUGGAUGCCCUUCUGCAGCUUUUUAAUUUCCUCUUUAUGUCUCUCCCUUUCUUUUUCUUUCUUACCAAGCUCAGUCUUACUUUUCUUGAUUUUUGAAUUUAUACGAGACAUUUCCUCUUUCAGUUUCAGCAGCUCUGGUUUCUACAAAUACGAAACCACAUCAAACAAUUCACUGUAUGUCCUCUUGAUCAAGCAUAAGAUCAAUUAUAUUUACAGAAAAGUAAAGGCCAUUUAUUUUAGAACGUCAGCAAAACUAGCAAUAUAACGGAAAAAAAUUCACAAGGACCCGUUCAUUCACCCACAGCAGCUAUACGAGACAGUCAGAUACUCUUAUAUUAUAUAUGUAGGUUGAACGAACACGGUUUCGCUAUAAUAAGUAAAAAUGUAAAGAUUUAUGUUAUAACUUCUCUUAAGCCUCGGUCAUUUGAGGGUCUAACGGAGACCAACUCAGUAACAAAAAAGCAAAAUGAAACUCAUGGUAUUGGACACAACUAUCAAUGAAAUUUCAAUCUUCUGUCCAAGGCAAAGAAACUCACGCUUUUGUCGAGUUUAUUACUUCUCUCGGCAAUCUUCUUCUCACAUUGGGCAAUCUCUUUUAAGUACUUGUUGAGUUCUUUCUUCUUUUUGGUUGCUUCUUGCUGAAAAUCAUCUAGUUCUUGCAUAACCUGUUCACGGUUUCUCUUUUCAGCUUCAAGCUCAUUAGUCGUUUUUGUUAUAUCUCUUUCUAUGUUGAACAACUGCCACAAAAAAUGUUCUCUCUUCAAAGAUUUCUGCAAGAAAGAAUACAUGUGAUUUUAGUAUUACACAGAAUCAAAGUUCUUAAGCAGAAGAUUCAAAGACAGGAGCAUACACCUAUUGAGCAUGUAAAAGAAACAAAACGUCAAUACCAAAAUAGUCUACAGGGAUAAGAGUUUGAUAUAUUAAAGACAGAUCCUAUAUUAGAUUUAAUCUACAUGUGUGAAUGCACACAACCAUGUGGAUGCAAGAUUCAUAGUGUGUGCGUAUUUGCGUGUGUGCGUGCAAAAGAGAUAAAAGGGAAAUGCAAUAUGCGAGACCCUCUUUCCUGAAAGUGAGUUCCUAGUAUCUACAAUAUCUUUUAAAGUUACAUGAUAUCUUUCAUGCAGGCACUUGUACAAUUAAUUACAUAAUUUCACCCAACACGGAUAAUUGAAACAAGCAGGAUAGACAUACGAACAACCCCGAUAAACAUAAUAUACAACAUAUGCAUAUUAUUGUGUGCAUAUAGACAUAUGUAACCAUUAACCAGUAAGCACGGACCAAGUAUGUGUAUAAAUAUAUAUACACACACACACAGCAAGUACGUGUAUAUGUAUGUAAAUAGAAAAAGAACGUUGAGGUACAAACCAGUUCAUUUUGCAGGCGAAUAUGCUUCUCAGCUUCUUCCUUUUGCUCUUUCUUUUGCUUCCUCUCCGCUACUAUGGUCCUCUUUUUCUGAUAAACAAGUGCUGCUUUUUCUUCAGCUAUGCCUUUCUCUUCUUCGUACUUUUCAUAGUCUCUCUUGAAGUCAUCUGACCCUGAGAUCUGCUCAAGCAGUGCAGUGAGUUCCUUAGGAUUUUUAGAGGCAAUGGACUCCACAUCACCCUACGGAGAAAGAAAUAAUCAGUAAUUAAAAGUGACCCGGUUACUGCCAAGAUAUGCAAACAUCAAAGUCACCAUAAAAGCAGCAGUCAUCUAUUUGUCUAUGAAAAAUAAUGCAAAUGAGUAGAGAUUGCACGGUUAGCAACUUCUGUGAAUUCUCGUUUUUUCCCUUUUAAUUUUGGUUUGGAUGAACAUGUUUCCAAAUUUAAUAAAGAUGUUCCAACGCGUCACUACACCGGAGUGCCCAAAUAAGAGUACACAGAGCCUGAAUUCAACAAUGGGUGGCAAGACAUUUACGUUACCUAACCCAACACCUUCAACUUCGCAAACGAAAUGUGCAAUUGGCGUCAGAGACAUUUUCGAUAUUCAAUAAUUAACUAACGCAAGGUGUGGCCAAUAAAUGUCAUUGAUGUACCUUCUCAUUCUAUUCUCAUUCAAAACCUCUGCUUCUUAGCAAACAUACUCCCUAAAGCAUAAUCAAUGAAAACAAUUCGACAUAGAAAAGCUAAAUUACGAGUAUCAAGUAAUCGAAAUCAACCUGAAAAACAAGAAAAUUGCGGGCCUUGACCAGAAUUCCCAACGACUUAAGCUUCUCAGUAUAAGUAUCCGCCGUCACCGACCUGCCGUCGAUGCGGUACUCACUGCCGCCGGAGCUAGUGAUGGCCCUGGUGAACUGGAUCUCGGACUCAUUGGCAAGCUGAUAAACCAAGGUCACGAACGCCCGGCGUCCCUUCUCGGUCUUCUCGCUGUCGUCCAUGGCGUAGAUCAGGUCCUUGAGCUGGGACCCACGGAGCUGGCCGGUCUUGACGCCGAGGACGAAGCUGAUGGCGUCCAUGAGGUUGGACUUGCCGGAGCCGUUCGGGCCGAUUAUGGCGGUGAAGUCGGAGAAGGGGCCGAUGACCUGGUGGCCGCGGUAGGACUUGAAAUUCUCGAGCUCGAGGCGGUGGAUUUUGCCCUGGGAGAUGAAGGACGGCAUGGCUUAGGGUUUCGGGGAGUUUGAAUCGAAGCUAGGGUUUGGGGAGGAGGUGGAAUUGAGCGGAGUAAAGGAGAGAGGAGAUGAGGGGAGGGGUGGCCGGAGAGAUGAGGAGGGGAGGUUUCCGGCGAGAGGGGAGGGAGGAGUGGAGGCGGAGAGGAGGGGAUUGGGGAUUUUGAGGUGGGAAUUGGCGGGAGAUUGGGGGAGUUUUGGGGAAUUUUAGGGAGGGUUGGUGAUUUGAGUUGCCAUUUUCGAAGUGAGAAAAAGUAGGAGACCGCAAAGAGUGAGCGCUUUAGUAGAGAGUCGAAACGUUUCGCUUUGGGCAAGAGAAUGCUAUUAUUUUUAUUUGCAGUUUAGUCCUUAAGGUUUUCUUUAUUUUCGUUUUGGCCGCUAGUUGGGUCAAGAUUUUACUUUUUUCUUCUUGUCUGAAUUCAAUAUGUGGAAAUUCAGUAGUUAGUUUCUUACCUUUCUGACUUUAAUCUUGUUUGAUCAAAACAAAAAACAAGCUCUUAUGAACUUUCAAUAGUCUCAUAAUAAUGUGUAUCAAUGAAGAAUGAAUCUAAAAAGGGGAUCAAUAGCUACUUAAAUUAUUGUUAAGAUUAUAUGAUAUGAUGUUAGAUUAUAGAAUCAUAUCACAAUAAAAAAUUGUAAUUUAAUAUUACUUGGAGAAUCAAUAUAUAAUCUUAAUUUUAGCGUAGAUGGUUAUUGUCUUUAUUGAUCCACCCAAAUCGAGAUCUAGAAAGAUGAAUGUCAAGGAGCUUUGGGGGGAAACUGGAAAGUAGGGGAUUGGCGGGAGAUGAAAUUUGUAAACUGCAGAAUAAAACUGCGAUAAUAUAAAAUUAUGAAGAAUGGGCUUUUCUAUUCAAAAAAAAAAAUUAUGAAGAAAAAAAUUACCAUGGUCAAUUGACUUUCCUAACAAAAAACAUCACAAAAAAGGUGCAACCAAGGCAAAGGCUAUGAAUAGGGAACAAAUCAAGUUGUCAUUCUACUUUCAUAAUGACAGUACGUCUUUAUAUCGUUGCGGUACGGUUCUUGCACUCGGGAAUUUCCAACAAGGAAAGCGAAGAGAAACCGGCAUAUAAGUGAGGAGAGAAUCCAGAACAUAUACUACACCAGAGAACGGUACAUAGACAUGUCAAGUAAGGCAAAGAAACUACUCAUCUGAAAAUGAAAAACAGAAAAAGACAGUAGCAAGAUGCACAUACAUAAAAAGAGUUUAGCAGAAGGGGCUUAUAGAAUGGAGACAGCUUCCACAAAAUAGUUUUGCCCCCACCUGAAGUCCACAUUCCAUGCUUAAAAAGUACCGAGUAUGAUUACAGAAUGGUUAAUUACUCUGAACAACAAUCAAAGAAAGAGACUCCUAAUGGACAAGGAUAUCCUGCUAGUAAGAAGUCAUCUGGAUGGAUGAAGCUUCAUCAAUGACCAACUUUUUCACUGCUAGACGAAGUGCCGUCUUGUACAGAAUCCGCUAUUUUGGUUUCACUAGGAGUUCCCACAGGCGCAGAUGGGAUGACUUCAGAAUAAAUGGAAUAUUCAGGCAGUAUACCGCCACGGUUUUGGAUGUCAUCUAAAUCCUCACGCUCAGGGGGGUUUGAGUUUCCUGGCAGUUCUCCAUGAUUUUGAGCCGGCACUUCUGGCACCUCAGGUCUGGUGGCAUCCGGAUUUUCAAGCUGUUGGCCUCCAGAGUUUUGGGAAGCUUCCAACUCCUCAUACUUGGAAAUAACUUGUUGAAGUUCUUCAUGAAGAUAUAGAGCCUCAAAGAGCAUACUUUCAUCAUCAGUAGUGGUUUCUAUAAUCCUCUGAAUAACAGGCUGAGACUCCUUGCACUUUUCCAGCAUGUUCAUCGUUAGUUCUUCCUGCAAUCAAGCAAGCAUUUCCACCAAGUUACAUAUCAUCUUCCGCUCACAAGUUGAUCUUUGGAUUAGGUAAAAUAUGGAAAAAUAAUCGUAGGAAAGGUCAAAUACUAUCUAGAAGAAUUAUUAUCAUGCAAUAUAUAAUCAUAUAGGAUAACAGCGUACAGGCAAACCUAGCCAUAGAAGAAUUACAACCGCUCUCCCUUACGGUCUGUGCUCAUAGUCAUAAUGCACGGAACAUGAAAAUUCUUCAACCUGCCCUAUAUUAUUUCUAUCUUCCUUUUAUAUACAAGGGAUAUGUAUUCUUCAAUAAUAUUUUAUAAAAGUAUUUUGAAUAUCCGGAUGCUUUAGAAUAGAAAUUUGUCAGUGAUAAGGAAGCAAAGCACUUAGUUCUAUCUCAGUAUUGAUUCCAGAGAAAUUUACACACACACACACACACACAUAUAUAUAUAUAGGAAUUAGUAUUGAUUUCCACAGAGAAGUCAGAAACACACCUUCAAAGGUUUCGGAUCUGUUUCACUAUUCAAAAUACUAGACAGCAACUCCAGGCUAUUGCGAGCUACAACAAGACAUUCUUUUUUUUCCUCGACUGAUAGGUAGUUAUAGCGAAAUUCACGGUCACUUGCAUCAUGAAAUCCUGUGACUGGUACAGGGUAUCUUUCCGGGGGAGGCAUAGGCUCUUCCAUGUAUGAUUCCAAGGUAGAUUGCAACGAGGGCGAAGUCCCUUCUGGUGCCACUGGACGUGCUCCUCUUUCUCUCAAUGUCUGUAUAACACCCAGAGAUAUAAUAAGGACAUCAAAUAUUACUUCAAUGGAUGAAAACCAAGAUUACUACAAGAAGAAAAUUCCAUGGUCCACAGAAGACAGGCCAGAAACUUAACAAAAUGAUACGGACCUAACAUAAUAAGCUAAAUGAUGAUGAGGAAUUUGGUACAAUGUCACUCUACCUUAGGAGAGGGUAUGCAGAUCAAAAAGGCGAUUUCAUGGGUAGAUGUAAACUAAAAAUCAUUAUAUCAAUCAAGAAGACCACAUUAUGGAUCAUCUUCAAAGCGGGGAACUAUAUACUAGGCCAUAUGAAUGUAAAACUGGGAGGUCAAGUCAUAAAUUGAUCAGAAAAGGAAAAGCAUACGCAAUGCUUUGUGCAACUUCCGUAGACUCAUAACAGAGAAACAGCAACGAAUAAUUGUUCUUCAGCCCCAGAAUAAAUAACAUAGCCUUUAUCUAUGAAAAACCAUAGCUGCUGGUUCAAAGGGCCAAUCAACUCCUAAACACUGAUGUAAUUCAAUGAUGCAUAGAAAAAUACCAGCUAGCUAAAGUCUCACACAAGAUAUGCUUUAUGCAACGACAUAGAAAGAAAUCAAAGAAUGCUCACCAUGUAAGUCUGACGAAACACGGGUAGAUAAGCAAGAUCCUGAGACUCUCCCCACGCCCUAAUCAACUGCAUAGCCCUCCUCCUAUUCUCAUUAUCCGUCUGCGGAUUCUCAAUCAUCCUAACCAUCUCCUCCAACACCUUCUCGGACGCAAUCUCCGAAAACACCUUCUCACAAUUCAUAGCAAUCGCCUCCAACAAGUCAAGACUCAGCCUCUGCGUCACCACACUCUUCCCCGAAAUCUUCCUCUUAAUAACCCUCACAACUUCAAACCCGCUGAACUCCUCACUAUUAAUCAUUGCACAUAUCCUCAAGUUCAUCCCCCAAUUCGGCUCCUCCAUCGUCUCCAACGUCGCCUCGUCGAUCAUCCUCGAUUCCGGCGUCGGCGUCUGCAGAAUCUCCUUCACUUUUCCACUCACCAUCCUACCCAUCUGAGCUCCACUCGUCACCAGUUUCUCACCCAAGUUACCCAGCUGAGUUAAGUUGAACUUGUCCAUACUUCACAACCCUGGUUCCAUUUUACAAAUCACAAUAAAACACACACACCCUCUUAGUCUCUCAACUCAAAUCUUCAAUGAAACUGUAACUAUUCAGCAAAGAAAUGACAAAUCCUAGAUACAGUUCUAGAUUGACGUUUUCAUAUGAAACAAAAGCAGAUGGAAUUGAGAGAUGGGAAAAGUGAGGUACCUGGUUUGAUGGUGGGGGCUCCGGCGACGGAAAACGGGGACUGGGCGCAGGGAAGCGUUGAUCUUUUUCUGGUGAAGGUUUGGAGUUGAAUUGGUUUAGAGAGAGAGAGAGAGAGAGAGAGAGUGGGGAUAGUCAAAACUAGAAAGGGAGAGAGGGAGUACGUGGCGGCAAGAUAGGAAAGGAGACAGGGAUUUGGCGUAGGUUCGCGGUUAGUGGUGGGUCUAGUGCCACGUGGAUUUGGGAGUUUCGGGUCGGGUCCGAGGUCUGUUGGAAAAUUGGAUAGUUCUAAAAACGGUCUGUGUACGGAAAAAAGGAUGGAAUAAACAGGGUCUUGCUCGUUUAGAUAAAACUAUCGAGGUACUAACUAACUUGAUUGUCUUCAUCUUGUUUGUUACUGAUAAAGUGAUAAGUNAUAACAAAGGUUGAGCAAAAAUCUAAGUUAAGCUAUACUUCAUAAGAAAUGUUUUNAUUGUUGACUAUUCUUUAAAAAUUAGAUGUAAUCACUCGCUCAUCACCAAAAAAUCUAAUUGUUGUUUAGGAGGGACCAAAAAUUUGCCCUGAGAUUGGNUAUGCAGCCCAAUNAGAGCCGNNNNNNNNNNNNNNNNNNNNNNNNNNNNNNNNNNNNNNNNNNNNNNNNNNNNNNNNNNNNNNNNNNNNNNNNNNNNNNNNNNNNNNNNNNNNNNNNNNNNNNNNNNNNNNNNNNNNNNNNNNNNNNNNNNNNNNNNNNNNNNNNNNNNNNNNNNNNNNNNNNNNNNNNNNNNNNNNNNNNNNNNNNNNUUGUAUGGUGGGGCGUCCGGCGACGGAAAACGGGGAACGUGGCGCGAGGAAGGCGUUGUAUCUUUCUUGGUGAAGGUUGGAGUUGAAUAGUUAGUAGAGAGAGAGAGAGAGAGAGAGAUGGGGAUAGUCAAAACUGAAAGGGAGAGAGGGAGUACGUGGCGGCAAGAUAGGAAAGGAGACAGGGAUUUGGCGAGGUUCGCGGUUAGUGGUGGGUCUAGUGCCACGUGGAUUUGGGAGUUUCGGGUCGGGUCCGAGGCUGUUGGAAAAUUGGAUAGUUCUAAAACGGUCUGUGUCGGAAAAAGGAUGGAUAAACAACGGGGCUUGCUCGUUUUGGAUAAAACUAAUCGAGGUACUAACUAACUUGAUUGUCUUCAUCUUGUUUGUUACUGAUAAGUGAUAAGUGAUAACAAAGGUUGAGCAAAAUCUAAGUUAAGCUAUACUUUCAUAAGAAAUGUUUUUCAUUGUUGACAUCUUUAAAAUUAGAUGUAAUCACUCGCUCAUCACCAAAAAUCUAUUGUUGUUUGGAGGGCAAAAUUGCCCUGAGAUUGGCAUUGGCAGCCCAUGAGAGCCGCUUUGUUCAUCACCGACAAGGGGUGAAGUUAGUGUCGACACGAAAAGAAGCGCAGCCAGAGAGAAUAGGGUUUUCAUUGUCUCUUUUUAAAGUUUUUUUACCUUGAUUUCAUUAUUGAUGGUUCUACUCAGCCAUUCGAAUUUGCUAUAUAUACCUCAUUUAAUUUUUGUGAAAAUUGAUUUCCUCUCUUACAGUCUAAAAAAUUUCACAUGUUCUAUCCAAGGAAGAAAGCAAACCUAGACACUCGUAAUUUUAGGUUCUUAUCGUUGACGAGGAACUUCAUAUAGAAUUUUAUUUUUGAGUACGGCUAUUGAGACCUCCAAAUUUGCUCAGUAUACCUCUCAUUCUCUCUACACCUCCAUUUUACUUUUAAAUACAAACAUUUGCUCACUAGACCUCCAUUCAAAUUUCUAAAAUAACAUUGUUUAUGUAAUUCACAUAUAUUUCAAUAUAUUACUCAUUGCACCACUUAUUCAUUCACUAGACCUUCCAUUCCUUUUUAUUUUUUUCGCAUGCGAACAUCCAUUCCUGACAUCCAUUAUUUAAUUUUUUUUUUUUUCUACGCAAACAUCCAUUCCCGACCUCCAUUUCUUUUAUUUUUUAUUUUUGCAUAAGAUGUCACUAGACCUUCUAUUUUUUUUUAUCAAAUUGUAAGAAAGAAUUUCAAUGACAUAANNNNNNNNNNNNNNNNNNNNNNNNNNNNNNNNNNNNNNNNNNNNNNNNNNNNNNNNNNNNNNNNNNNNNNNNNNNNNNNNNNNNNNNNNNNNNNNNNNNNNNNNNNNNNNNNNNNNNNNNNNNNNNNNNNNNNNNNNNNNNNNNNNNNNNNNNNNNNNNNNNNNNNNNNNNNNNNNNNNNNNNNNNNNNNNNNNNNNNNNNNNNNNNNNNNNNNNNNNNNNNNNNNNNNNNNNNNNNNNNNNNNNNNNNNNNNNNNNNNNNNNNNNNNNNNNNNNNNNNNNNNNNNNNNNNNNNNNNNNNNNNNNNNNNNNNNNNNNNNNNNNNNNNNNNAACAAGGUAUUGUGUCUCAAAAUUAAUCUCUAUCGAUCAUCAAAAGAAUGUUUUCAUGAACUUGAUAAUUUAUAGAUCAUUUAAAAAAAAAAUAUUGUUUUCACGUAUAUGCGUGCAACACUGCAAUAUAAUGAUAUAUAACAUAACAUGUUGUAGGAAUAUUCUACAUGUGUAUGUCUUGGUCUAUGCUAGUCAUAUAAGGAAUCUUGAUUCCGUAUAGAGAUAUGAUAUUAAAGAUAUGUUUCCUUGUAGAACACCAUAUAGUGCUAUCACUGUUAUGUAAUCCCUAUAUAAUGGCUCUUAUAUAAAUGAAUAAGAUACAGUUCUUCAUUCUCUUUACGAUCUAUUGUUCUUUCAAUAAUUAUUUCUUGAUCAUAAUUACAUAAAUUUUUCUGUCCACAUGCAUGAUGGAUAUUACUCAUAGUUUUAGUUGUUAUAAUAUACAUAUAUAUAUAUAUGCUAUAAUAAUUAUGGAGUAAAAUUAGAAAAUGACAAUCAAUAAGAAAAAUAAUAAAAAGCAAUUAAUUCUUAUUUAAUUGGAAGUUUAAAGAGAAUAAAUAUUAUAUUUAUUUUUGUGUAAUUAUUGUCCUUAAUAGUCAUUAUGUAAGAGGAUAUAUAUGUUAUUUAAUAAUUCAAAAUAUAAUGAGGUCCAGUGAGCAAAUUUAGAUGUCCUAAUAACCGCACUAUUUAUUUUUUAUAUGAUAAUAUAUUACGUUUGAAAAAUUGAUCUUGUGUUGGACAGACUAUCCAUAUGCAUAUAUGCCUCAUGAAGUGAAGGUGUUGCACAAACCAUAAAGACAUUUGAAUGUGAUGUAAUAUUUUCUUCAGGAUGCGGUGAUGCGGGGAGAGAGAGAUAGACCUUCGUACUCAUGUUAUGAAGUACCUUCCAAACAUUUGAAGUUUAACUGCAACUCACUUUGUUGACUAGAAUCUACAAUUACCGUUGCAGACUCACAGCUACUAAUUUUAUGAAACUUAAUUAAAAAUCCGAAAAUUAUUUUAUGCACCUUGGUGCAAGUGAACCGAGCAACUAAUAUAUAAUAUUUUUGAUCCGGCUAUCCACGUCGCACUACAUGCAUAUAUCCUAAUACCGUUAACAAAUUGAAACACAAAAAAAUAGUCUCAAGUGUUCAAGAAGUGAGAACCUGAUGUUGAAGAAGAUGUACUUUUAUUAUGGUCGUUUAAUUUGAUCGGAUCAAAAAUGAAAAUGAAAGAAAGAAAUUUAUGGUCUAUAAUCUUCAUUUGAUCUUCACAUACGGCAAUUUAAAGACUUACAUAUUAGUACAAGUACAUCACAGUAUACAGGGCAUAGAAUCCAUCCGGUAAAAAACCUAACAUAGGUGGCCAUUAAUUCAUUAUUUUAGUUUUGUCAAAAAAAAAAAAUACAGAGCUCUACUACCAUCAAAACACAUCAUCGUCUAAAAUCGCGAUUUGCGAAAGCCCACGAGAGCAUAAUAACGACACAGAAACUUUUUAGGGGUUUAACAAAAGUGGAACGCCCAAACUGAACUUCUUCAACUCAUAAAGCAGUUCAAUCUCUCUCCGUGUUUGCGAUGGUUUCCCUUGGCACCUGGUUCCGAUACAUAGCCCACAAGCUUGAAUACUCUGCCACCAUCAGCUGGAAGGUCUCUCACUCAUUCUUUGCUCUUCCCCAUUUUGUAAUUUAUCUUUAUUUGCUUUGAUUAAUCCGCUUCUGGGUUAGAAACUAUGAUUCUCUAGACCCACUAAGGUUAAACAUCGAACUUUUGUAAUGGGGAGUUGUUAAUUUUGGUAAAGGAAUGCUCUUUUGGGAUUUAUGGGACCGGUUUGCCCCUACCUGUGCUCUUUUGUUGUUUAAAGUAUGAAACUAUAUGGACCGAAUUCAUGAAUUGUGAGUCUGGGUUCUGUUUUGAUGUGGUUUAUGGUGUUAGGAUGUUGUUGUGGAUAAGGGUUUGGUACUUUGGUUGUUGCUUUUCUUAAUAAUUUGUGGAUUUUCUCAAUGGCAUUGUUAUGUUUGAUCAUAAUUUCAUAGUUGUUUUCCCAACUGGUGUUAUAUAAUACUUAGUGUAAUAUUGAUACAUGGGUCGGAGCUUGUGUUCGUUUAAGUGCUUGGUUUAGCCUCAAAAUUGCGAUUUAGUCAUUUCCGGUGGCUGUUUUGGGUGCAUAAGAAGAUAGAGUUAGCUUAUAGAUAUGCUAUGAAGAUGAAAACUUUUGAAAAGCCGAGUUUGGUGCUGGUGUGUGGCUGUUGAAAGUUUAAGGUCAAGCGUAAAACUGGGGGACAUCUUUCUUCCUCAGUUUUUUAAUGUAUAGCUUGAGGCAAAAGGAAUACAUAUAAUCCUGAUAAUCCUUUCACAAGUCAUUAUUAGUAGCAGACUUGGUUAGUUUAUCAGAUGGUUUGUAUGGUCAACCAAUACUUGAUCUCCUUUUGAUAUGUAAGUUAUUUAGUUAGUAAAGGUUGUAUGAAUGAAGUGUGUUUCUGUUUUGUCCCUUGUUUGUUAAAGUUUUACUGACAUCAAGGUUUGGGAGAUGCAGAACUAUAAAAGAGGUCAAAUCACAGACAGAGAGCUUGGUGAUGCCGUUUGGAAAAACCUGUUCCAGGGAAAAUUGACAUACUUGCACUGGAACAAAGGAGCAGAGAUGGCCCCAAGUAUAGGUGAUCAAGGGGGAACUCUCCUUGUCAGGAAGUUACCAGCUGCAGACCCCAGGUAGUUAUCAUUUUAGAUGCAUCUUUCCAUGUUGAAUCUCCGUUCUGUGAGUUUUUAAGAUUGAGAGUAAAAGCCAUUCCUUCCAAAGUUACUCUAUGGAUCAGUUUGGAGAUCAUUUUCAUGUAAUUAUAUAAGAUGCCUCAUCGUGCAUUUAAAAGAAUGAAACUUUAAUUGUUAAUCUGAAAUCAGUUUCUUAUGAGGCACUUUCUAAUGGUUGUGGGUUUUGUAUUAGAACCUCUGAUUUCAUGAAUACUUACAGAAACUUUAAGGUAUCAUCUCAAAUUCUAAAUUCUAGGUCACCCAUGAUGACUUAUGGAUUCAUUCCAAAAAAAAAAAUGGAUGACUAUUAUGGAUUACUCAAUCAUGCAGUUAGUCUUUCUACCUUAAAUUGUUUCUUUUCUCUUUAGUUGCAGUUUAGCAAAAUUAUUGACCUUAACUUAUGUUGGUUAUAAAUUCUUUGUGAACCAUUUGGUUUAGCAGUGACUGAUUCUGCAAAUGAAUAUAUGGCAUAUGAAUAUAUGUGGUCUGGUUUUGGUCACUCAUAUUGAGUAGAAAUGUGUGGCGCUAUUCUCUUAAGCGUUUCUUCAACAUGUACUUUUGACUUUUGAAAUGACGAUAAGCUUUAUGAUGCGUGUUUACAUGAUUUGAUAGUUCCCUACCUGUUCAAGUGACACCUUCAUUUUUAUCUGACAGGCGUGUUUUUGUUGGGGAUGUAGUGGUCUUGAAGGACCCUGAUAAUCCAGAUAAUUAUUUGGUGAGAAGAUUGGCUGCGGUUGAAGGUUAUGAAAUGUUGUCCACUGAUGAAAAGGAUGAUCCUUUUGUCCUUGAAAAGGACGAAUGCUGGGUGUUGGCGGAUAAUGAAGCUUUGAAGCCUAAGGUACAUGCUAUCUUUAAAUUUAUGUUCAGACAAAUGUAUUGACUAGAUUUGCGGUUACUGCACAAUCCUUUAUAUUCCAUCAGUUUAUAUUUAUACUGCUAUAGCACUAGCAGAGUGGAUUAGCAUCUUUGUAGCAAUACAUAAUGCUUGGCAGCAGGCGGGCAGUUCUGAACUUUUGAUUGCUAUCUUGUUGUUUUAGCAUCUAUGAAAUCAUUAACAUAAUUCUUUCAUGAACUAUACCUUAGUAGUAAUUCUAAUAUGAAGAGGAUCCUUAUCAAAUCUUCAGGAGACCUUUUCCAUGAGCUAUACUUACGUAAAAACAAAAAAGCUGAGGUGCUUGUCUCAUUAACCACUACAAACAAAUUUGAUUCAUUACAAAAUGUUAUGGAACUGGUGAAAAAUAUCAAAAUAGGUAAAGACUACUGGAAAUAGGUUUUAUGCAUGAGAAGGAAUAAAUGUAUCAACUGAAUAUAUGUUAUUCUAAUUGAAGAUGGUUAAAACACUUUGGAUGAAACUUGGUCAUAAACAUGCAAUAGAUGCAUUAAAUAUUCAUCGAUUGCUAGAUAAUCUUCUGUCAUGCUCUUGAAAAGAUUGAAACUCACCUAUAGUUAUAGUUAUAUAAUCCAUUGUUUAUCAUAUUUUACUUGAAGAUAUGCACGCCAUGGUUAGAAUCAAGAAUCCACCUGCCAUCAUUUGAUCAUUUGACUAUUUGGGGGCACAUGUAUAAAUCUUUAUUCUCAUGUACUGCAGGAAGCCAAUGAUAGUCGAAAGUUUGGUCCUGUUUCAAUGACGGACAUAGUUGGUAGAGUCAUAUAUUGUCUACGGACAGCUGUUGAUCAUGGCCCUGUUCAGAAUAGGCAAGUUACUCAAACCGAGUCUGCUUAAUUGAUUAUGCUGUUUUGUUGGACAAGUUCUUGAAUGAUUUAUGUUUGUUUCUUGUGCUCUUUUUCCAGUCAUUUUAGCAUGAGAAAGGAUUCGCCUGUGCUGGAAGUUGAGUUGGAUGUCGAUGAGAUGGCAAAAAACCACAAGUCCUAAAAUGUGUCAUAAGCCACUGACUCAUUUGGUUUGUACCUAUUUCGCCCCAAUUUCCUAUUGGAUUAUUUUUCUUCUUUCUUUUCUUCCCCUUGUUUCAAGUCGGGAAAAAAAUAAAGAUGGAAUUUCAAGCUGUUCUCUAGUCAUGGGAGGGCUCAUGUUUGUAUGAGUUUAAGGUUGUUCAGGUCCUCAUUGUUCAGUCACUGUCUUUCAUUCUUGUUGAGAAUAUGAAACGGCCUGUACGGAAUUUUGUGUUUAGAAAUGAUAAUUUUAUUCUCUUGCAGCAGUGUAAUCUGAAGUACUGAAGAAAAGAAGGAUAAAUCCAGAUGUUGUGAGGGAACUUUUCGGACUUUAAUCUUUGGGGAUGUUCUUAGAAAUGCUGUUAAUUUUCCACCUUAAUAAACAUGCAGCAAACACAGGUUAUUAUUUGCAUUAGUGAGCCAAGUGGUUAUGUCAGAUUCUUUCGGUUGGAAGCGUUGGGGGAUGCCAUAAGCUUUUGCAAACUGCCUAGAUUCGUAUGAUAAUGUGAUGACUAAAUCUGAGAAUGGUCGCAACUCAAAAUAACCUAACCAUAUAUGGCUCUUUAAUCUUUAUAACUUCUUUUGAAUUAUUAUUUUUUGGAUAGAACUUCUUGUGAAAUUUGAUUUAUGGUAAAAUCCCGGUUCUUAUUCCCUCAGAAUUUGGAGAAAUUUUUCAGUGCUACGGGAGGACCACGUGGCAGUCUGACGUGGUCCUACAUUCUAAUUAAAUUUAGACAUGUGGAUUUUCUUCAUGAAAAAUUAUUUCAGCUAUUCGGUCAAAGACUAUUUUGGGUUUUAUGUUGUUUUUUAAAUACUAAACCUUAAACCCUAAACCCCAGGUUGAACUUGCUAAAUACCUAUGAAUGUCAUUUCACAAAAAAUAAAAAAUAUUAGUUAAAAUUUUAGUUGUAAAAAAUCCACAUGUCUAAAUUUGAUUAGGAUGUAGGACCACGUCAGACUGUCACGUAAUCCUCCCGUAGCACUUAAAAAAUUUCUCCGGAAUUUGCUAAAGAACGAAGUUGACAUCUAACAAAAUUAAAGAUGGAGUACAAUAUCAUUUUUGUAUGUGAUGCUGGUCUCUGCUAACAUUCAUAUUCUUCGUAAGUGAGAAGUUAUGAGUUUUACCAGUUUUUACUAAUAAAAAUGAAAAAUUGGAGUCUUGUCACCCUUGUUCUUUUUUUUGGCGUGAAGUCUUGUCACUUGUUAUACAAUGGAAUACAACACCCGGGCUGGGCAACUGGGUCACAAAACCCGGAUCCGAGACUAAACCGACUCAAAGUGUUGAUGGCUUUUAUACCCAACAAGUCCCUUAUCAAUGGCUAUAUAUAAAACCAUAACCUGGAAAUCACUGGGAGCCAGAAUAAUAGUCAGUCACAUUUGAAACCCAGAAAAUGCAAAACCGCCACCACUGAACUGAACUCACUUCUUCUCUUCUCUUUCACCUAACAAUGUCACAGAGCGUUCAUCUCAUCUGUAAGUUCCUCAAACCCAAACAACAGACUUUGGCUACUUUUCCAUAAAAACACUUGAUUGAACUCGCUUGUUUGCUUUUGGUUGUCGGGCAAACAACAAACUGGCCUUUAGGUUUCAUUCUUUUGAUUAUUUGUUUUUCUGGGUUUGGAUAAUUUUGCAAUUUUCUGAUACUAUUUUACCUGCAAGUAUCUCCCAUUCCUCUGAAAAUUUGAGGCUGUUUUCGUUUAUUUUGUUGAGCAUCGAAAUUGGUUAUUGAAAUUUGUUGUGUAGAAUUUGAUGUUUAGUGUUUAAGGGUUCCCCAAUAUAUGUUGGCUGAAAGGAUUCUGUAAAAAUAGCACCUGCAUAUGCAAACUAUGUAAAGGAGUUAGCUUUAUUGUUUCGGGAUUGAUAUUUUGUUUUCACGGAAGAUACUUUUGGUAAUGGACUGCUACCGCAUUUUGUGAUAUCAAUUGUAUUCAGUUUACGGGUAAGUACUGGCUGUAUAUGGGAAAUGAACUUAGCUAUGAGGGUUUUAGGUUUUGGUUUCCUUUGCUGGGGGUAUUUGAUUGUUUUAGGUACUUUGUUGAAACAUAAAUUUGGAAUUUUUAGUGUGAGGCCGGUUUAAUAUGUUAUUUUGUUUCCGGUUAUGAUUAGUGUUUCCAAGUAGAUGUGGUGAAUGGUGGUUCAGUAUAUCACUUAUAGCUCUUACUUUCAUGGUUUUGUUAAUUUGCAUCCUGAUUUCGGAUGCUGUUGGUUGUCUUACAGGUUAUGGACCAUCAGAUAGCAAAUGUCUACCUUGUUCUGGAAUUUCCAGAAGAGUAGCCUCUGUGUAUCCUUGCUCUUCUCAUUUCAAGUCGCAGGUCAGGGUUGGAUCACUAAACGGUGCUUAUGCUGGGGCGUCUUUUACGUGCAGAUCAAGUUCUAGUGGUCGUAAUAGAAAUCCAGAAUUUUCAAGGCAAAAUAGGCAAGGAUACUCCCGGGGGAGGAACAGGAGAAAUGAAGAUAGGGAUGGCUUUGAAAACCUUGAAGAAUCUGAUUUACUUUCUGCUAAAAAUGGGCCAACGCACUCCCUCCCUAGUAACACAAAAUUUGGGGCUACUGCAGCCCCUGGUCCCAGAGAAAAAGAGAUUGUUGAGUUGUUCAGGAAAGUCCAGGCUCAGCUUCGGGAGAGAACUGCUGUUAAAGAAGAAAAGAAGGUUGAACCCGUGCAAGGGCAAGGUAAAGAGAAUGAAACUGUGGAUUCUCUUCUUAAACUACUAAGGAAACAUUCAGCUGAACAGGCAAAGAGAACCAGUAAUGGGGUUGGAAACAAAGACUUUAUGUUAGACCAACCAGAGAAGAGUGACCGAUAUAGUGAAAGAAAAAACAGGGGUUCUUUGGAUUCAAAUAACAGCAUGAAGGACUAUGCUGAAGAGCCUACUGCCUCUUUGAGCAGGCCUGCAUCAAAUUUUCGACGCAAGUCUCCCAUUAAUCGAUUGACAUAUCAGCCUAUUUAUUCAGAGGAUGAUGAGAUAGUCAAUUCGGUGCAGCAUGUGAAUUCAACUGACAAAAGGAAAAAGAAUUAUGCUGAAAGAGUUUCUAAACCAGAACCAGAGCAGGAGCCUGAGCUUGACAUUGAUGUGGAGUCGGUACUUGAGGCUGAGCCUGAGCCUCUUCACGUGAACGACAUUGACUUUGAGCCUGAGCCCGAGCCUGAGCAAGAGAUUGUUCAGUUGUUAGAGGAUGAGACUUCAGGUCCUGAAGAAAAUGUUGAUGAUGAUGCUGAUGAGGAGGAGGAGGAUGAAGACAAAGAGCAACUUAUUGAACAGAGGGAUUUGAGUGCAUGUAAGCUACCAGAAUUAAGGGCACUUGCCAAGUCUCGAGGCAUGAAAGGGUUCUCAAAGAUGAAGAAGGCCGAGCUUCUGGAGUUGCUAAGUGGUGGGAGCUUGGAUUGACUCAUGAAUGCACGGGAUACUAGUUCGACAUUUGAAUACAGUUGCUACAUUUUUGAUUUGGUUUUAUCUAUUUUAGCCGCAUUUGCACUUGUUAUUAGUCUUUCACAGAAAAGUUAGUUUGUUGGGCGUUUCCAGUUUGGGGGGUUUUUUCCGGAUCAAUGGCUGGUCUGACCCCAGUGCGAAUUGGCCUGUUUUUUUGUUUUUGUUUAGUUCAGUCAUCUUAGGGAAGCUGUCAGAUUUAAUUUACCUGUAGACGAGUGAGUGAGCGCUCUAUGUAUAACUGGUGAGCUAGUUGAGUACUUGAAAUAUCAAAUUCGUAUCUGUAGUGUCUUACUCAAAAUAUAACUUGUUGGUCUCUUGCUCUCUUUAAAUAAUUUUUUUUCAAUCUUUUUCUUGUUCAUUUCUCUUAGGCCUUCCACACAGGUAUUCCGGAAACUAUGCAACUUGAGAGAAUGUAUGUUAUAGUGUUAUAUACCAUUGCAAAGCGAUAAAGGGUGUUUCUAGAUGUAUCCAGCAAAUUUCUAAAUAAACCCAGCACUUCAAAUUUUGUCACACUUUUCCUGUUUUGCCCUUAAGUCUAUUUACACCCAGCAUCUAUUUCAAAACGUUAAACCCAGAUCCUCCGAUUACUUGAGUUGUGUUUCAGUAUGAAUACAAACAUCAAGAGCAAUAAUUUAUCAGCUCUGCUUUAUUUUUUGCAAACAAUCUCUCAUGUUCUAUGCCACACAAUUAUAAUCUUGAUUUCAUAACUAACGUUUUNNNNNNNNNNNNNNNNNNNNCUCUCUCUCUCCUCCUCUCUCUCUCUCUCUAAUCACUGUUUCUACUUCUCUCUCACUCAUCUCCUCCACUCUCUCUCCUAAGCUUCCCUCCUCAACCCGUUUAUCCACUGCUCAUUUCCAACUGAGGACAAGAUUCCAAAUAAAAAAACUAUCAUUUUGACCUCCUCCUCUAAUGCCGUCGGUGAGGACGGCAAGGUAUUUCCCACACGGAACCGAGCGAGCGCGAACAGCCGACGUGCUUCUCCACCUGACGUAGUUGGACCUUACAGCAUUGACGAUCUCGGCGAGGAGGCGUUUAACUUCCCUUUUUAAAUUCAUCCUUUUAUACAAACGGGGUAAAAUGGGUAAUAAAAUUAAUGUUGGGUACAUUUAACAAUUUGCUGGGUACAUCUAGCAACACCCGCGAUAAAUCAUUUGGAAUUCCCAUGUUCACUGUCCAACAAUCAUCUCUGCAUACCAGUUUUAGGCACUUGUCAAUUUACUGAAAAUAGAGCAACACAAACUUAUAUCAUCACUGAAAUUAUGGGUGUGAUAAGUAAAUGGUCACUUAGAAUUGAGAUUAUAUUUCUUCUCUUUUGCCUUACGAUGCAAUUUCUCUUCAUUUAAUCUAGUAUUUUGGAUAUUGGGGAAGUACAAAAAUCUCAUAGAAAUAAGGUUCAACGUCUAAUAGUUGUCAAUGCAGGUAAAACACUAAAACUGAUCAAAAUUGGACCAACACCAAACUGAGUUAUGUUAAACUGUCAUAGCUUUUUACCGAGUUUUAAUUUCUAAAAAAACCGAUGAAACUAGUGUUUUUUAGUAACAAAUUCGAUGAUCGUCGAAAUUAUUUAGUACUUUUGAAUUAUCACGUGUUUAUGAUUCGAAACAACCUAUUGUUCGACUUGUUCAUUCACUUUAUUGUUUCAUAUACCCCCAACUUCAAUAAUCAUAAGAUUUGUAUUAGUCGGAACUACAGACACAUGGUAAUCCCGGACAAAAAAGGUGAUCGAAAAUCAAAUUUAGCUCACAAUUUAAUGUACAAUUUCAAUUAUCACAACCCAAGCCCAAUUCCCACCUUUACCCCUUUUUAAAAUUUUACAGAAAGAGCGAUAAGAUAAGGCAACAAAUCCACACGCACUCUCACUUCUUCCUCCUUCAACAAUGGAAGCCACUCUCGUCCUCUCCCCCUCCCCCUUAUCCCUAACCAGACCCGCCAACCCCUUCCUCUCCCUCCCGACCCGACCCGGCUCCCGUCCCUACCGCCUCCCCACCAUCCGGUCCGCCAUCUCCCGCGUCAAGAAAGAAGAGACCGUCUCCACCAUCAAAACCAACCUCGAAAACUGCUACCUCCUGGCCGGAAUCAGCUACAAAGGCCUCACCGUCAAGCAAUUCCAGGACCUCCGCAAAGCCCUACCGGACUCCACCAAGCUCAUCGUCGCCAAGAACACCCUCGUCUUCAAGGCCAUCGAGGGGACCCCCUGGGAGGCCCUCAAGCCGUGCAUGACGGGGAUGAACGCGUGGCUCUUUGUGCACAGCGAGGAGAUCCCGCCGGCGAUUAAGCCCUACCGGGAUUUCCAGAGGGAGCGGAAGCUGGAGAACGACUUCACCGGAGCGGUGUUCGAGGGGAAGUUUUACGGUCCCGGAGAUUUCAAGGCGCUGGAGACAAUGCCGACGAGGCUGGAGAUUUAUGCCAAGCUGCUUGGCUCUCUUAAAGGACCGGCCUCGAAUUUGGUGGGGACGAUUCAGGCGCCGGCCAGGGAGCUGGUCAUGACUUUGCAGGCGUAUGUGCAGAAAUUGGAGGAGGAGAGCGGGCAAUAGUAAAGAAAGAAAGAAGCUCUGUAAGUGUAUCUUGAACUUGAAGAAAUAACCAAAAUUUUAGGUUUAUUCUUUGAGUUUUUUGUGUUGUUGUAGAAUGGUUGGGCAUUUAUAUCUGUUGUGUUGAAAUUCGAGGAAUGAAGAGCUGUAGAUUUUGUAAAAUUGGAAUCUUAGCAAGCAAUGAUCUUCAUUUUUGUGGCUAUUUCUGCUUAAUUUGCUCCACUGGUGUGGUUUUUAUACUUGCCAGCAUAAUGUAUGCUUAUAUAGAAGACCCAAUGCCUAAAAAAACAGUUAUGUGUAUACAAUUACAAUCUUCAUACAUGAUAUAAUGAACACAUGAAAUCUAUUCUUGAGUUCUUAGCAUAUGCGCUAAAGCCUGCUGCUUGUGAAACAUUGGAGAUACGAGAUGUAAUUUGCAUAUCUACAUUAAUAGCAACUGUCAUGGUUCAUAUUCAUGGAAAGCAAAAUAAAUGUGUAGUAUAGUGGAACAAAUAAGCCAGGGUGAAAACUCUAAUUUCUUCUUUUGUGGUUCACGAUGAUGAUCAGUGAGGAUAUACAGUAAAGAGUGUAGGCAGCAGUGAUUUAUUUCAGAAUUUUUGGGCUAGAUAGUGGUAAUGCUAAUCCAAUAGUGCCACUUUUGCUUAUAUGACUUUGGUCCAUUUUUUUCCUGAAGUAGAUUUCUAUAUAUGUCACAUUGUCAUUGCUUUCUUAUCUAUAUGUGAUUGGAUAGGAGACGAAUAUAUUUAGGCAUGCCAUUAAACAUACCUAGGAUUUAUCAGUUCCUCAAACAAAAGAAGGGGGAAGAAAAUAAUUUGGAGGAACAUGAAAAUAUCAUAGUGAUUCAGUUUUCAAAUUGAUAUUAAGGAGAAGACUUGCACAACAUGCGUGAGGGUGAAGUUGAAUUGCCGUAAUCCUUCUGAUUACUCAUAAUAGCUCUACCGCAGUGCCCUUAAGACAUUUUCUCUGGAAGCAUGAAAAUUAAAACUAGACAAUGCCUUCUCCAGGCAGACUAAGAAAGACUGAAACAUUGCGCCUAUAUUUAACAUACAUGUCACAUGCAAUAGUUUUCUGGUUCCAUAUUCCAUCACGAGCAGGAUAAUCACGCUUCAUAUAGUUCUACUUUCUUGGGCUCCUCCACUUUGUUUCCUUUUAGCUAGAAAUUUUUGAGAUCUCUUGGAAUCAUAUGAGCAAGGUCUUGGUUCAGUGUUUUAAGAAUGUCUUGCUGAGUGACUUGUCCAGAUGUCCAAUAUGAGCAAGGUCUUGGUUCAGUGUUUUAAGAAUGUCUUGCUGAGUGACUUGUCCAGAUGUCCAACACCAGCUAAGUGGAAGGAAUUAAAAGUUCUAUGCAGAUAUUGUAAUAAACUGGUACCACUGUUAGUUCUCAACCUCUUUGAAAUUAUUAUAUACAAAUCAUUUUUCAUACAAUCUUGAUGGUUGGGAAUAUCCUAGCUUGAAGGUUUUGUAAAUGGAAAUAUGGAAUAUGUUUCAUCCUAUUUACUUGCAGAACCGAGAACAUUGCAUUGGUCUCUUUCAGCUCAACCAAAUUAUCAUACCAUUGGCUUAGUACACUCCCACAAUUGCUUCAAUUAAUUAUUUCUAUUCCUAAAUUAAGUUCAUUUUCUUGUCAAAAUCAUUGUGGGGUGAAUCUUGUUUAAUUUUGUUUCACAACAAGCAUGUUGAGCUAUUUGAUUUCAUAAUUGCAUCAUUGUGUUUGCUUCUCUGGAUAAAGUUUGAUCUUGGUUGCAGUUUUGAGUCUUUUGACACAGUGAUUGACAGAGAAGGCAAGAACCUCUCUAAACUGAUUGUUGUGCCAAAAACUUAAGCUGUUUGUUGUGACGUGGAGCAGAAACUUCAGUAUUUUUUUUUGUCUGAAAAAAAAAAAUCACCCUUUGGUUUUAUGCUUCUACAGAAAAUUUGGUAGUUAUGGAAUUCCAUAAGAGCAAUUUCUCAGGUUAAGAGCGUAUAGAUUUUGGUUUUAUUUUACUGCGGAUCCAUUUUACUCGAGUUUUUCAUGUCAUGUUGGAUUCUAGGAUUCAUGUUAUGCCUUGGCCAGUCCCUCAUGAUUGCCCAUAUCUACACUUACCAGUUAUCAAGUUAUGCCUUUCCCAGUCUCUCAUGAUCCAUGAACCUCAGUAAAUGCUGUAGUUGCAAGGACAUUCAGUACUUAAAUGCAGUCGGCACCAGUGGCAUACAAACUUCCCUGUACUGACGAGUUUCUGGGCUGUAAAACCAAUUAUAAAAAUUGCUUGUAAACUCUGCUGUUAGUACCAGUCAUCCAGAGUACAACUCUACAAGCACUGGAUGGAUGCAUGAACCAGGAAAGAUGACUACAGAAUAGACCUGUGCGAGGUGCGAUUCUGUUGGCAUUUUAGCUGGACAUUAUAAGAAAGAAACAAGAUAAUGAGACCUCAAUUGUCCCCAUGAAAAAUAGCAUUAUUGAACCUGUCACCUAUUUGGGUGGAGGUUUUGGUCAAUGGGCUAAUCAUUCAUCCUAAAAUUUUGUUUGAGAAUGGAGCUUCUGUACAAAAUAGGAAGCCAAAUGUUAUGGACUAUUAGCAAACUCUCUGUUUGUAGAUGUCACCAUUAAUUUAUCGAUCAACAGCAAAGUUGUUGCCUUCAAUAUGUUUUAGAAUGAGUGGCUUGUUAACUCCUCUUUGGAGCAAAAGCAGAUGAACUUGGACAUUAAAAGUCCUUUAUACUCUUCUUCAUGUGAGCUGUUCUGUUAGCUCAUACUCCACACUUAUGUUUCUUUCUUUCGCUUUUGAAGGUGACAUGACAAAUAAAACUCGUUCUGUGUCGAAUAAUUCAAUUACUACUGUUCUCUAAUGAAAAGAAUAUUUCGAUCUUUCGCAAGUGCAGCUCCUCAUGAUAUAGAACCUGGAAUUGACAUUUGAAGACUGCGAUGGAUAUCAGACACAGAAGAAAACCGAAGCAAUCCCACAUUGUUUAGUAGUGUGUAUUGUUAUGUUGUUACUAGCAAUAAGCUAAGAUUUUGCUUACUAAUAGGAUGAAGGAGCAAUUCCACAUCAACGACCCUACCCUCCAGUUAUGUGAAACCAAAUGCACAUGGCUUUGCUUUGCUUAACACAAGUCUGUCCUAAAAGACAGAUUUCCUCCAACUUGUUUCCUCUGUAUGCUCUAAAUCUCACCUCAACGUUUUGCACAAUGCAUGUAUGACAUUUUCUUUGUAUGCGCGCGCCGACGUUGAUGUAUGCGAGUCUCAUUUUAGCACUCAGAUCAUCAUAUGCAUGUUUAGAAGGAGGUAGGCAACACAUCCUUGUUAAUGAAAAUUUUGAAGAGAAAUGGUAAGAUGUCUGCUGAAAUGUCUCACUGUAGAAGACGUGAGUUCUUUUUAGCUAUAAUGAGGUUUAGGAUCCCUGGACAAGCUCACAAUGAAAGAAGCGGAGGACUAAAUCACAGUCGUUAAAGUCAUUGGCUUUUCUUUUCUGUAACGUUUGUUCAUCUCGAUUGCCAAAAUGGACAUAGGGGGAACCAAAUCUUUAAUUAUCAUGUCCUUCGAAAGUAGCAACAUGCCAACUGAGCGUGUACGUCAAGUGUAGUUUUGAAUUUAGAAAUCAAAUCAGAUUAUGAAAAGGGUUUUGCUUACUGUUUACUUAAAAGACAAGGAAUGACACAUUGAGCUUAAAGUAAUUACCUUGUGAUUACUGAUUUGGGAAAGCUUAAGCAAUGAUUUGUCGAAAUUCAUAUCGAAAUUAUGCAAUGCAGGUCAAUGUAGCAGAAGGGUUUCUGCAUUAGAAUUAUGCAGAAGGAAAAUAGUAUUGAUAUUUCCCUUAUUAAGAACACUCAAUUUCAAAUACUGAUGAAGACGAAAACAGUACUUGGUACAGUACUACUCCUCAGUCCUGGUCAUGAUACUGAUGGAAGACAAAGCUUUAAAAGCUUUGUCCUGAAAGAGACUCACCAUCAAAUCUUGCUUUGAAUUUAAAGGCGACCAAAGUGUGUGCAAUAAUGCAAUCUGAGCACAGUCUCAUGCGUAGAGAAUCUGGGAAUCACUUACGCCUUAAUUUACUAACUCAAAUAGUGGAGAUUGCACUGUUAGAAAGUAAAUGGUUAGUAUACAUCUUUUUUUUUUUUAGAAUAAAAUGGUUAGUAUACACCUGUGGACAUGGAUCGGUGUGAAGAUCUCAUACAUUUUCAUGCCUUGAUGCUUUAAGAAAAGUGUUUUAUAAUGCUCCGGAGCAUUGAAACUUGAGAGGCAUUGGUCAUUGGAUUAGCUCAUUUUGUUGGGUACGUACACCGCAUACAUUGACUAAUAUAAUGGCUCUUACGAUAUCAAUUCAGUAUUCUGAUAUAUGGAACUGCUUAGGGAAAUCUGUGAAAAUGUUUACAUUUUUAACAGUUUCAUAUAAUCAUACAAGGAUGAUCACUUACCAUUUAUGAAGCAGCACAGAGGCAGGCCAGUACAUCAGUAUUCCUAUAGCAGAGUUGCUGCAAUGAAAACCACCACACACAACUUGUUGCCUAUCAUUGUUUCACAUGUAUCUGAGACAAAAUCUCUUGCUUUAAUUAGCAACAAUAGUACCAUGCCAGCGGCAAAGAGUUGGGACACAGAAAUACUGGUGAAAAAUGCAAGAGUUGGUUCCCAGAUUUCAAAUAGCAUUUACCCUUUUCUUUCAGUGGUGUCAAAUAGCAUAUGGACUACCCUUUUCUUCUAUCACAUCAGUGGUUAUGUCAAUUUUUCUUAAACACUAAUCAGCUUAUCAUCAAAGAGUAAACAAACAAACAAACUGCUUAGGUGUAUAGUUUGGUUGGGCAGCUAUGUUGUUUAUGUUUUCUAGCUUGGAGAAGGAGAAGAGUGAAGUAGGCAUGGCAGCAACAUAUAAAAGGGUGCAAUUUUAUCUUAUGCUUAACGUUGAGCCUUAAAAGAGGAUAUUAUUCUAAAAAGCAUUAGCCUUUUAGUAAAUGGAAUCUUAAGCAUUUUAUCGGUGUGGAGUAGGUAGCAUGUAAAUCAAGUUAUCAUUUGUUUAAAACUGUAUAUGAAUCAUAAUCCGCAGAAAAGCCUUUAUAGAUUUUCUUAAGUGAUGAUAAUGGUAGGUAUCAAGUUCAUUAAGCUUAAUUUUUGCCAACCGUGCAUUUGUUUGGAUCUUCAAUAAUCUGAGGUCCUCCAGCUCCCAGGAAUAUGCAUAUAUUUUUCUGAUCACCCUUUGUUAGCAUAAUUUGCUUCAUAAUUUUCUGAAUUAAAUGACAUAAUACAUGUUAAACCUUUAUAAUUGUCUAUCCAUUAGUCUAAUCAUUUAAAAUUGACAUACAUUAUCGUAGUAUGCCCCUGCUUUUAUGAAUUUUAACAUUUUUUCAUCCAAAUGCCAAUCAUAUUUUACUUACACGCGUCUUUAUCAUAAUUUUAGUUUUUUUAGUUAAAUAAGAAUUAUUCGUAACUUCUCUGACGUGCAUAAGACACAACAUGUUGUCACGUUAAAUCUCACACACAUAAGAUAUUGCAAGUUGUCAUACUAAAAUUUUACGUCAAGAGUAAUGCAAAAAAUGCAUGAACAGUUUCUAUGAUUGACUUAACAUUAUGAUAUUGAUCUCAUACUACUAAUUAGAGCCGGAAAUGUCUGCAAAAUACACAGUUAAUGUAAGUUAUUUACUACACACGGUUGACAACCAACCCUUUUGGAAGGACUACAAACCUAGUCACCCACUCACCCUAACACAUAUUUAACUUUAUAAUCACAUGAGGUGAUGUUAUCUCACAUUUUCAACCUUCAUUUGUAAAGUUAGAUUAUGGGAGGAACCGAGGGAAGAUUGAACUUUGAUGAUAUUGAAGUGGCGGCUCUUCUUAUACCUUACGCAUAUUGCAAAAUGCAAAGGCUAUGUCUUUAUCAAAUUUCAUUUUUUUUUUGUUUAGAUUGUUUCAAGUGUUAAGAAUAAAUAUUUAUUUAUUUCAGCAUAAUUAUCCUAUUAAAAAAAAAAAAAAAAUUACCUUGUUCUAGGAUAUUCUUUAUGUGUGCCUUGGCCUUAUGCCAAUAGAAUAUGUAGUUAGACUAGAUCUAUGUAUUCAUAUCCUUACCAUAUUGGUAUUGUGUAAUUUCCUAUAUAAAGGGCUCCUAUCAAUGAAUAAGAUGAUGAUUCUCUUGCUAUCUCUUUGUCUCUACACUUUAUCCUUCAUCACGUUAUCAUGCACUUUGUUCUAACCCUAGAGCCAAUAGCCCACCAUUUUUUUCUAAACCCUAAAAUCGGGCAGCCUUGUUUUUCUCGAUUUCCGACCAAAAUUCCGACUGUCCUCCACCGGAAUUUUAUAUCCCUAGAAAGCUCUCUCCGUCCCGGAUCCAACGCCUCCGGUCUCACCCUGAGAACCGGCCGGAAAGUCUCCGAACCGGCCGCCGGAAGAUUCCAGACCGCCGCCGCUACCAACCACCGGUUCACCACCUUCCCUUGCUCCGAUCAACCUGAAAUUUUGACAGCAGCUUCCCCAUCCAGAGCUGCUCCUCCUUUCAAAUUUUCAGCCCCAAAUUCGAAGUAUAAGUAGGCGAAACGUUAUUUCUCCUCUCGGCAGCCUCUAGAAAGGUAUGUUUUUUGAAACCUUAAACUUUUCCAAGUUCAAUAACUCGGGGAGGAUAAAAUCCUUUCCUCCCUUCUCCAUCUCCAUUCUAUGCUUGGGAUUUUGUGCGUGCAGGUACCCAAAUCCCGGAAUUUUAUUCGCGGGUCAAGAGUGUGUUUGAUCACUCUUGUUUCUUUGUCCGGGUUGUGUUUGAUCAACCCCGACCUUUCACCGGAUUGUGUUUGAUCAAUCCGAGGCCUUUUUCCGAAUUGUGUUUGAUCAAUUCGCGGCUUUUCCGGAUUGUGUAUGAUCAAUCCGAAGGACAAACCAUUAAAAGCAUCGUUUGUGACCUUUAUUGAGUCUCAUAACAGCUUGUUUUGUAUGCAAGAGCAAUGUAACAUUCUGCUCCUUUGAGUUUUGACAUACUAGAUGCCUAAGACAGAUCUUCGCUUGGUAUCUGUGGAACCUUUCAUUGGAAAGGAUUAAACCACAUGUUUUGACCCCCAGGCUAACAAGCCUAGAUGCCGAGAUUUCACAUCUCAUGCGCUCAAAGUCUUUGACGCGCCACAUCGACAAAAGCCUUCAAUGGCAAUCUGUGCAAAAAGUAAUGACCACAAGUACUGUGGAAUGCACUCAUGGAGCGUUUCUCGAAACGUUCAUAUAACUCUACUUGUUGAGUUAUUAGUCAAGUGGAUUGCUUACCACCUUAAUUGACUACAUAUUGUCGAUGAUCUUUUGUGGCAUCAUGAUCCAUAAUCUUUAGCGGAUUCGAUCAUCAUCAAGUUCUCUAGGUCCUCCAAGUUGGUGUGGAAUUACCAACGAGACUUGAUUUUGAUCAUACAAACAGGAAUUGUAUAUACGCUAAUGUGAUAAACUUAUUUGGGAUUAUCCCCUAAUGUGGGGACAACAAUAUGGGUCAUGGCAACGGCAGAAAACGUCGUGCUGAUGUCUAGAAAAGAGGGGGAGGUGUUGCCGGCUCUAACAACGACACUCCCGGUCUAGACACCAUUUUGUCAAAACUACUCACGUCAGCUCAUGACAUUAAUGCAACCGUUGUGGAUCUUCGGAUCACUGGUUCAAGAUUGUCAAGCUCAUUUAAAUUGUGAAUGCAUACAAAAAGGUAUGGAAAAUCAAUAUGAGGACAAGAACGUCAUCCUCAUGAUCGCGAAUUUCAAAGAUUCGGAUCCUGCUCUAGCUACCCAUGACUUUGAUGUCAUCGGCUAGACAUUGAUUUUCGUUACAAGUUAUAUGUACUAAGGCGUUGUAUCGACGUCCUUUGUCUAUUUGAGACCUCGAUGUACUCACAUUAGCAACAAUGAAUGCCUUGAGGAUUUUUCAAAGUGAAACUAUUCUCCUCUUAUGGUUCAUAUUGAUUUACAAUCAAGAUGUACACUUACAUCGUCUUUAGAAACAUGACAUAUUGUGCCAAUUUUGGUCCCUUCCUUUGAAGGUGACUCAUGGCACUGCAUCCUCAAGGAGGAUCGCCCACGUGUUUCCGGUUAAGUCUUCUACCCUAUAGCGAAUUUUUUAUCAUCAAUUGUUCAACUAGGCUCAUCCAAGCUCAGUGUGAUGUCUUAGAAUUGUCUAAAAUUAAGGAGAUAAUGGUUUUAAGUGUGCCUCGCACUACCGACCCUCCACGGACAUGCCUGGUCAUACUGACUUGGAGUUACCGAAAGCUUUUGAUUUUGGAUCCCCCUACGCUAUUAAACCAAUUGCCGUCUUGCAAAAGACGUUGAAGACUUAUCAAAGCUGGAAAAUUAUCAUCAUAAUCGGAUCUUCUAGGUCCUCUGAGUUAGUUUAUGUUCAUGUCAGGGAGCUUUUGCUAACUAGUCAUGGAGUUUACGACCUUAGAACGAUCGAAAGGACUUGGUUUUGAUCAUACACAGGUCACUUUUGGCUAAGGCAAAAGCCUACACGCCACCUGCAAGCUUCACAGCUUCGCACAUGCCAAAUCUGCGAAAAACAGCAAUCUGUCCCUUCUGGACAGUCAACUUCGUUUGAGCUUUGUGAACAGCUCCGGACGAACCAGACAGUGAGCUUUAUAUCAUUGGAAAGCUCUAUGAGUCUAGUUUUCAGAAAUUUUCAUGGUUCGUCCGUAUCUAUUUUAACUAAAAAGUUAUGGCUGUUUUAGUGCGCAAAGGUCAUUCUACGCGGAAAUUUUUAUGCACUCUCGGGAUUGUAACUUUUCGUAGCUUCUUUCAAUCCUUCUAAAUGGUUCAAGUAGAACUAUUUACUCGUCCAUCUACUCCUUGUAGUUAUGUCUCAUAGAGACAUUGAGUGCUUCGCAGAUAGUGGAACUAUCCACAACAUUCUAAGGAACCAUGUUGAGCUUUAAAGACAUUCAUGCUAAUGGUUUUCAUUUGAAAACACAUUGUGAGAAUGAACAAGAAUUCUUUUGUGUAUACCUCCUCAUGAAUGCGAACUGAAACGCAUCUUGGAGAAAUUCAUGAGUCAAUCUAGUGAACUGUAUGUUACUACGAUUCGAAUAUCGAAUCCCAUGUUGUCGCCAAACAUGAUAUUUGGGACACCGACUCAUAUAAGCUUUGGUUUGACCAAAUUGGUCAACCUGGAAGAGAUAUAAUGGUCCAAAUUUUGAGAAAUUCUCAUGGACAUCCAUUCUUCCGCUCAAAACGAAGACAUUUGAGAUCUAGUAUCACCAUGAAGCAUGGUGGUGACCCUUGGGACAUUGACGUCACCCGAACACGACUCCAACUUCCUGGAGGUCGUCCGAUCAAUUCCUCAAGCAAUUGAGGUGCACCGGCCUUUCCUCGAUGUCGCAUUGGCCCCCUGCAAUGCUCAUUGCUUGUUUUGAAAGCCUAUUCUUUAGCUAAAUAAGGAGUGAGACCCUCCUACGCUAAAUAACACAAAAGUGAACAUUCUAUUCUUACAUCAAACUAUGUAGAUAGAUACAACCAGCUUGCGGACACCUUUUUAUGCUUUAUGGUGUUGGUUGACGUGUUAACACAUUGGUCACGUGUUACACUAUUAUCUACUGCUUAUACUGCUUAUACUGCUUGUACUUCUACGGGCUCACUACCCAUUCUUUAAAGAAAUUCAUAGGGAUGUAAGUUGAAGUGUCCUGUACCCCAUGUUCACAUGCAAUACGGUCUCACCGAGGCUACGACCAAGCAACUUUAGCUUGUCGCUCGAACAUUAUUGAUGCGCACCACUCUUUCUAUUGCGUCUUGGGGCUAUGCAAUAUUUGCAUGCAGUUUUACUAUUCAUCUACGACCCACCAUCAUUGAAUUUUGUUGUACUACAGCUCGUGACUGUGUACUAGGAUUGACACGAAAUUGCAAUCAUUGAGCUCGGCAGGAUUGAAACGGAUCUCCAAUCCUUGAGCUCGGCUAGAUGUUAUUUCUAGGUGCCAAAUCGCAUUGCCACUGCGUACAAUGAUGAGUCAUUUGAGAUGAAUAAGUUUAGGCUGGAUAUGAACCUCCACCUAUAAUCCGCAUAUGUAGGAACCUUGUCAGGCGAUCUCAUUCACCGCUAAAUUGCGGAUUGUCACUUUGAUGAGACAAUAUUCCCGCCGUUAGGGGGAGAUAAGAACACAAGUGUUCAAGUGGAACGACGUGAAUUGUCGUGGUUUGUCCCCACUAAGUCUCAUCUUGAUCCCAAAUGCUUAUAGUGUUAAAGUGACGAGAUCACAUGCUGCAAAUAUGUCUGCAAGGAUUGAUGUCCUACAAAAGGACAUGGCGCGACCAAAAAGUGUUGGUCUUGACGCCAUCACCAUGGAUGGUNNNNNNNNNNNNNNNNNNNNNNNNNNNNNNNNNNNNNNNNNNNNNNNNNNNNNNNNNNNNNNNNNNNNNNNNNNNNNNNNNNNNNNNNNNNNNNNNNNNNNNNNNNNNNNNNNNNNNNNNNNNNNNNNNNNNNNNNNNNNNNNNNNNNNNNNNNNNNNNNNNNNNNNNNNNNNNNNNNNNNNNNNNNNNNNNNNNNNNNNNNNNNNNNNNNNNNNNNNNNNNNNNNNNNNNNNNNNNNNNNNNNNNNNNNNNNNNNNNNNNNNNNNNNNNNNNNNNNNNNNNNNNNNNNNNNNNNNNNNNNNNNNNNNNNNNNNNNNNNNNNNNNNNNNNNNNNNNNNNNNNNNNNNNNNNNNNNNNNNNNNNNNNNNNNNNNNNNNNNNNNNNNNNNNNNNNNNNNNNNNNNNNNNNNNNNNNNNNNNNNNNNNNNNNNNNNNNNNNNNNNNNNNNNNNNNNNNNNNNNNNNNNNNNNNNNNNNNNNNNNNNNNNNNNNNNNNNNNNNNNNNNNNNNNNNNNNNNNNNNNNNNNNNNNNNNNNNNNNNNNNNNNNNNNNNNNNNNNNNNNNNNNNNNNNNNNNNNNNNNNNNNNNNNNNNNNNNNNNNNNNNNNNNNNNNNNNNNNNNNNNNNNNNNNNNNNNNNNNNNNNNNNNNNNNNNNNNNNNNNNNNNNNNNNNNNNNNNNNNNNNNNNNNNNNNNNNNNNNNNNNNNNNNNNNNNNNNNNNNNNNNNNNNNNNNNNNNNNNNNNNNNNNNNNNNNNNNNNNNNNNNNNNNNNNNNNNNNNNNNNNNNNNNNNNNNNNNNNNNNNNNNNNNNNNNNNNNNNNNNNNNNNNNNNNNNNNNNNNNNNNNNNNNNNNNNNNNNNNNNNNNNNNNNNNNNNNNNNNNNNNNNNNNNNNNNNNNNNNNNNNNNNNNNNNNNNNNNNNNNNNNNNNNNNNNNNNNNNNNNNNNNNNNNNNNNNNNNNNNNNNNNNNNNNNNNNNNNNNNNNNNNNNNNNNNNNNNNNNNNNNNNNNNNNNNNNNNNNNNNNNNNNNNNNNNNNNNNNNNNNNNNNNNNNNNNNNNNNNNNNNNNNNNNNNNNNNNNNNNNNNNNNNNNNNNNNNNNNNNNNNNNNNNNNNNNNNNNNNNNNNNNNNNNNNNNNNNNNNNNNNNNNNNNNNNNNNNNNNNNNNNNNNNNNNNNNNNNNNNNNNNNNNNNNNNNNNNNNNNNNNNNNNNNNNNNNNNNNNNNNNNNNNNNNNNNNNNNNNNNNNNNNNNNNNNNNNNNNNNNNNNNNNNNNNNNNNNNNNNNNNNNNNNNNNNNNNNNNNNNNNNNNNNNNNNNNNNNNNNNNNNNNNNNNNNNNNNNNNNNNNNNNNNNNNNNNNNNNNNNNNNNNNNNNNNNNNNNNNNNNNNNNNNNNNNNNNNNNNNNNNNNNNNNNNNNNNNNNNNNNNNNNNNNNNNNNNNNNNNNNNNNNNNNNNNNNNNNNNNNNNNNNNNNNNNNNNNNNNNNNNNNNNNNNNNNNNNNNNNNNNNNNNNNNNNNNNNNNNNNNNNNNNNNNNNNNNNNNNNNNNNNNNNNNNNNNNNNNNNNNNNNNNNNNNNNNNNNNNNNNNNNNNNNNNNNNNNNNNNNNNNNNNNNNNNNNNNNNNNNUUACAUGUGUGCCUUGGCCUUAUGCCAAUAGGAUAUGUAGUUAGACUAGAUCUAUGUAUUCAUAUUCUUACCAUAUUGGUAUUGUGUAAUUCCAUAUAUAAAGGGCUCCUAUCAAUGAAUAAGAUGAUGAUUCUCUUGCUAUCUCUUUGUCUCUACACUUUAUCUUUCAUCAUUCCUUUAAUUUUUUAAAGAACAUGGUGAAUUUGUGAAGAUACUAGGGGUACAUUGGUAAUUAGAGAUAGUUAGACAAAGAAUCAUGGUACUUCUCUGUAGGAUAUUUUUCUGGAUAUCAUUGUUCCAUUGCAUUCUUCAACCUUCAAUCUUCCACCCUUUUAAUUAACACAAACGGCUUGACGUCUCCUACAAUUUUCCAUCCCUAAUCAUGGUUAUUACAUUCUAAAGCCUCCUUUAAAUGUUUAUCAUCCUCUCUCUGCCUCUCUCAUUAAUCCAUUAAAUAAAAAUUUACCCUCACCCCAACAAAUCUGCAACCACAUAGGCCCCACCAUUUUAGUUCUUAUUUUUUUCCCCAUUCCAUCAAAAUUUCUAUUCAUUCCUUUGAACACUCACUCUCUCUUCCCCUCUCUCUCUCUCUCAUGCAGCUUUGUAAUGAAAGCAGUGCAUGAGGGUUUAGAUUGAUUCUUCAAAGAUUGAUCUUUUGUCACACCCAUUGAAGAUUUCAUGUUAAAGUUUUCAGCUUUGGGCUGAUUAAGAUCUGUUUAUGGCUCAAGCCACCAGGCAUAGAGGAGGUAAGGUUUUGAUUCAAAGAUUAAGUUUUUAUUUCUGCAAUGUUAAAUUUCUUCAUUCAUAUGUUUACUUAUGCAAAUGGGUUGGAGAUUAAUUGGGUUGGGGGUGCUUUGUUUAGCCUGAAUUUGAGCUCUUCUGGCAUUUGUGCAAACUUUCCGGGUUAGCAGUUUGGUAAUCUAUAAAAUGUUUGAUCAGUUUAUCUUUUAAUUUAAUUUUUGACAUAUGAAUAGAAUUAAAGGGUUCUAGUAUAGUGAAUUAACACACCUCUGGCAUUGCUCAAGAGAUUAGGAAAUGGAGAAAAUUUGGCUUUUGAAUCUCAUUUGGUUUGGUUUCCUAAGACUAAGAGAAAAAGAAACACAAAUUUACUUACUCGACUAAGUUGAGCCGAGGUUCUUGUAUAUUCUGGUCUCACAUUGUGUAUUACAAAACUACUUUCCCUCGUUUUCAUGUCCUUUAAAUGAUGAAUCAACAGUGUAAUUCAUUCGCUGUCAAAAAUUUUAAACGUUUUUGGCAGGAAAGAUCUAUAUUUUGAAACACAAACAGAUGGCCUUGGGUCUGAAGUUUUUUCUCUGUGAAAAUUGUGUAUUUCAUUGUUUAAUUAGAUUUGCUUUCAGAACCAUUAGUGUCAAAUACAACAUGAUAGUUGAGUUAGAGUCCCUCUGAACAAAAGUAAGAUACUCGCUUGGGAUUAGCUGUUAUAUCAUUAUGUUUCUGUGGGAACUUCAGAACCAGAAAAAGAAAACUGCUGUCAUAGGUCUAAUGAUAAUCUGGGGAUGCAAAAGACACACUUACAUUUGCAAACUAAAACUAUUUCGAGCAGAAAUAUUUUGGUGAAGUUCACAUUCUUAUUAUGUUUUUUCUGUUGUCUGUAGUUUUAAUUUGUGACUUUUUUUUUCUUCCUCAACAGGUGAGAUGGACACAGCGUCUAUAAAAUGUCUAAUCAAUAGUAUAUCGCGAUUGGUUCAUCUAGUUUCAUGCCAAACAGUGAAGUCUGUGCCUAUUCAGAAGGUUUACAGAACCAUAGUUGAUGUAUUGAAGCUUUUGAAGCCAUUACUUGAUGAGGUAGUUGAUUACCAUAUCCCUUCAGAUGAUAUUCUAUUUCAAGAGUGUGAAGAACUGGACAUGGUUGUCAAUGAAGCCCGGGAAUUCAUUGAAAACUGGUCUCCAAAGUCGAGCAAACUAUUAAGUGUAAGUUUAACUGAAUAGUAUAUCUUUCUAGUCAUGCUUCAUGCUUGAAAAUUUUCAUCAUGGAAUGGCUUUGGUUUAUCAUAUGCACUGAUUCAUAAAUAAAUAAAUAAAAGAAAACAAAAACCAAGGAAAUUAAUAGGGUACAGCUUUGGUGUUCUUAUGACAUUGUGAACUGUCUUUCCCUAUGCAUCCAUGGAAAUUAUCAAUAACUUUACAAAUACGGACUUUGAAUUAAAGUUCCUUGUUUUGGUGUGUGUGAUCAGAUGUGCUCGAGUAUGGGUGUAUGAGGUUUUCUUUUACAUGUUUUAACUUCAGUCUGUUUACAAUUUAUCCUCAGGCUUUGCGGAGUGAGCCAUUGUUGAUAAAGAUACAAAAUUCAUCGCUCAAGAUUUGCUGUACAUUAAGUAGAUUAUUACAGUCGUCUUCAUCUCGUUCCGGUUUAAUGGGUCUUCAGGUAUUUGCUAACUUCAAAAUGUCUUCUGUAUAUACCGUUUUCACAAAAAGUAAAGGGGUUCAUCCAGAUAUCUACGACCCAUUAUCUCAGCCUAGUUCUUAUCGUCUGUUAUUUAGUCUACUUCUGAUGAUGUUUUUCUUGUUUUGUAAAUAAUCAUAAUAAUUACAAGCCUAAUAACUGGAAAAAUGUUUCAGCAAUGUAUGCAGGAAAUUGAACGUUUGAAGCCUGAAAGAGUAACAGAAUACUUAGAAGAGGCUCUGAAAAGUCAAACAAAAGAUUUCAUGCCUUCCACCAAAUAUCUUAUGAAAAUUACUGAAUUGCUUAGCUUGACUUCCAGCCAAGAACUGUUGAAAGAAAGUAUUGCUGUAGAAAAGGAAAGAAUGAAUGUUGAAGUUCGUGAUAUUAGAGGGGAACUAGCUAAAAUCGACCAAGUUGUGGUUCUUGUCUCCCAUAUUCGCGAAUUCAUGGUUAAAAGUGACCACAUUACCGCAUCUGGCAUCCCAGUCCCUCCAUACUUCCGCUGCCCUUUGUCUUCAGAGCUCAUGUUGGAUCCUGUGAUUGUAGCUUCAGGUCAAACAUACGAGAGAACUUCCAUUCAGAAGUGGCUUGAUCAUGGGUUGAUUAUCUGCCCAAAGACCCGUCACAGGCUGACACAUACAAACCUCAUUCCUAAUUAUACGUUCAAAGCUAUGGUAGAAAGUUGGUGUCAGGAAAAUAAUAUUAUACUUGCGAUGAACUCUCACUGCACUAAUGCUAUCACUGUCCCAUCUCCAUCAGGUCACAUCUCUCCUGAAGGUUUAAUUCACACAGAUACCCAGUACUCCAUGCGCAGUAGCAAUUCAACAUCAAGAUCCUCUGUUGAAGUUGAGAAGCAAAGAAAAGAUGAAUAUCCUAGAUUGAGUGGAGAAAAGUCCAAUGGAUGCCCUAGCGGUGAGAAAGGCCAGUCAUCGCCAAAACAGUCAUAUAUUCAUAGCAGGAGUGAAUCAGCCUCAAGUACUGUUUCCAGUGUUGAUUAUAUGCCUCCCCCAUCUAUUAAGGUAUCAGGGAUAUCCAAUAAGCAUCAAAAGGAUAAUGAUUUUUCUGGAGAAAUCACAUCUGAGUAUCCUGGUGCUUAUACUCCAAAUAAAGAAUCAGGAUUUUCCCCUGGGCUAUUAGGAAAGAAGUCUCACCUUUUGAAAGCAAAAAUAGAAGUGGCAUCAUGGCAGGACAGCCCUAAUUACCCAAACAAACAGCUGCUUCCAUUUUCUAGCUCAGAAUCUGAUGGUUUAACGACAACAUCCCAUGUCAUGAAAUUGAUUGAAGACCUCAAGAGCCAAUUGGACGAUGUGCAAACUAUGGCUGCAGAAGAAUUGCGGCUUCUUGCAAAGCACAAUAUGGAUAAUCGCAUUAUUAUAGGCCAGUGUGGUGCUAUCACACCCUUGCUUUCGCUGUUAUAUUCAGAGGUGAAGAUAAUGCAAGAGCAUGCUGUGACAGCUCUUUUGAAUUUAUCAAUUAAUGAAGACAAUAAGGCCAUGAUUGCAGAAGCAGGAGCAAUUGAACCACUAAUCCAUGUUCUGAAAACAGGAAAUGAUGGUGCCAAAGAAAAUUCAGCUGCAGCUUUAUUCAGCCUCUCUGUCUUGGAUGAAUACAAGGCAAAAAUUGGCCGUUCUGGUGCAGUAAAGGCCUUGGUUGAUCUUCUACGCUCCGGGACUCUUAGAGGGAAGAAAGAUGCUGCUACAGCACUGUUCAAUCUCUCAAUUUUUCACGAAAAUAAGGCUCGUCUAGUUCAAGCUGGGGCUGUGAAGUAUCUUAUUGAGUUGAUGGAUCCCGACACUGGGAUGGCGGACAAGGCUGUUGCUCUUCUGGCAAAUUUGUCCACUAUUGCAGAGGGGCGCUUGGCAAUUGCCCGGGGAGGAGGAAUUCCGUUACUAGUUGAGAUUGUUGAAUCAGGUUCUCAGAGGGGAAAGGAAAAUUCUGCCUCCGUUCUACUGCAACUGUGCCUUCAUAGUCCAAAGUUUUGUACUAUGGUUCUUCAGGAAGGAGCUGUCCCUCCGCUGGUUGCUUUAUCUCAGUCUGGCACUCCAAGAGCAAAGGAAAAGGUUUGUAGCUGAGAAAUUUUUCAUGCAUAUUUAUUUAGCUCUCUGUUUAUCUGCUUACACUUUGGUGUGUUAAAUAUGGUGAUGGCUUUUCAGACCCCAUGCAACUCUUAAAAAUUAAAAAGAUGAAAAAGAAACUAACCGAUUAUUAAAUAAACCAGUGCUUUUUUCUUCCCAUCUGUUGAUCAACUGUUAUUUAGCAAUCCAGAAAGAAGCUUUACUCCUUUUGCCCUGGAUAGACACAAUUACUUAGCAUUAACAAUUAAACAGGAGAUGAUUCCAUAAUGGCAAAGGUUUGCAUGAAACCUCAGACAUGCAGAACAGAUAUCAUAUUGUCAUGUGAGGUUUUUGUUUUGGUCAAAAGUAGGCUAUGGUUUCUAGCAAAUCUGGAACCAUGCCGUGGCGACUUUAACUGUUGUCGACAUUAAAACUUUAAGAAUUAUCUGGAGUUGUGGAACAAAAUAGAUAAUAUGUUUUACAUGAAUUAUGCAGGCACAACAGCUUCUCAGCCACUUCCGGAAUCAGAGAGAAGGGGCUAUGGGGAAGGGAAAAUAGAGAAAUUUUGUUGAUCGGUUGCUGAUUUUUUUUCUCCCUCGAUAUUGCUCUUCCAUAAUAUUUGAUUCUCCCUCCAGAAUUCAGUAGAGCUAUUCUUUUUUCCACAUAUUCUUUACUUGUGCUUUUGGUUUUCGAAAAGUUUAAACUUUUUGCCUCUUUUUGUAUGAGUGAGCUAAGGAUUGAUUCACAAGAGCCUAGGAUGUCCAAACUUUUCUUUCUGUGUGUUUUCUUCUUUAUUUUGCUUUCUCUUGUACUUAUGCUAGGUGAGCUUCUUGUGCUCUUAGUUUGCCCGAGAACAUAGCUUCGCUUAGUGGCUGCAGUGAUUGAUUUGGUUCUCCUACAUUGUUGUACAUAUACUUUGUACAUAUAAUAUACACUCGUGUAAUUUGCAGUAUGAUCAGACUUUACAUUAUCAUAUUAUAUGCUGUUUCUAUGCGCGCAUUAAUUCUUGCUUCCUUGACACUUUUUCUCAUGCGCCAAUUUGAGCACCCGAUCGAGAUAGACAGUGAUGCUCCAUUUGAAGAGUUAUAUUAGCACUAUAAGUUUGAGACAAAGAAAUUGUUCAUUGAAGUUUUUGUUUGGGUAUGCCUGUUUGUAGAUUGAUUACCAAAGGUUUGGUUAAGCAAAUCUCUUGGCUGAAAAGUUUGAGACAGAGAAAUCUCUACUAUUCAUUUGUGCUUUGCUUUUUCCCUGAGAAAGAUAUGCGGGCAAGUGAGUGCUGCCCGGACUUUGAUUAUGGAUGAGAUUGAUUCAUCCUUUUUAUGAAGCCACUAAUUAAUAAUGUGGAAAACGAAAUGAGUUAGUUUAGGGUUUGGUAGUUUAUGAUAUCAAUCUAUACAAGUCACUAUAUCAAUUCUCGUUCAACAAAAAAGAAAAGGUUCACUACAUCAAUUAGUUGUGUCAAAUGGCAAUCCUGCGAGUUUAUUAUAUCAGUUACUUCAGAUUAGUAGGAUACAAGGCUGGUGCUUCUAUAAUACUAAUCAUUUCGAUUAAUGAUCGACAUACGUGGGUACAUAGCUUUUGUAAAAAAAAAAAAAAAAACGUAGGUAAAUAGAAGCAUCUCUACAUUUGCUGAUUUACACUGUGAGGGGAACACGAGUCGGGUUUCAUAUCCAGGCAGGGGGGACAAGGUCCCUGAGUUAUGCAGUUCAGACUUCCAGUGACUGAAAUUGAUUUUUAAUAUAUGGGGUUUGGAUCCUUUAAUUUGCAAGAAUGAUAUUGACAAAUACUCUUACAAACUGGACACUGUAACUUGCAAAAGGCUCGGUUUUAAAAUUCUAAGACCUUUAGCUUGAAGGUUAUAGAAAUAAACUAAAUAGAGGUGUCUCGAACGCAUCUAAUGUUCAUACAAUUGAGUGAUAAAUGUAAAAAUGUCUCUGGGGGAACAUUCUUCACUCAAAGACCACACCUAUCGGAUCUAUGACUCAUAUUAGCAAGGGCGUUGCAACGAAGUUAGCUGCUUUGAACACAUGAAAAAAGCGAAUGGACUCAAAAGAGCUACUCAAACAUUUGAUAUCAUAAAGUUUGAGGAGUCUCCAAAGGGGGUGAGAAAUGUCAUUAACUACAUCGAUAAUUAGUUUGGAAUCCCCUUCCACUUCAAUCUUCAUGAGACCUCUCUCCUUUGCACAUAUAAGGUUUUUCCGGAGCGCCAGGGCCUCGGCAACAAGAACAUUGGUGACACCUGAGUUGAAAGCACCUGUUGCAAUUGGUUGUCUAGAAGAAGUUCUUAAGAUGAAACCUCUUGCUACUGAGUUGUUUUUUACCAAGCCAUUAAAUUUAAUUUUAACCUAAUCAGCUGGGGGUGGUGACCACCUGAUCAUAUUUACUUCAUUCAUUCUUCCAUUUGUAUCCAUAUUGGUUGUAGAAAAUUUUGUAAUUCGUUGGAUUAUAUUUCUAUGAAGACCUAGCUACUAAAUUUAGACUAAUUUGGAUCCCUGUUUAGUAGAGAGAUCGAGUUUAGGCAGAUUUGGAGUGGUUUAAAAGAUAGACCAAAAGUUCGAGAGGAGCAAUGCAAAUUGUUUGAGAAUGGUAAUGUGCAAAUUAAACUAAAAUGAUGUAUAAUGAUAUAACCAAAUGAAUAUAUAUAGCUAGAGUAAUCUAGAGUAAUCUAACUUAGCAGCUCAUCAUUGCAUGAUAAUGUUGUUUUGGAAUCCAAAAGCCGAAUCAAUUUGGUAAAAUUGUGCAUCCAUGUAUGUUGUUUUGGAAUAAAUAUUAGAUAGCCUGUUGAACUGUUGGAUAUAUACGUGUAGAUGAGACCAAUCGAUAUUUUGGCAUUAUGAUCGACUAGUAUCAGAGAUUCAGAUCAGCUCGGGCAAUGUUUUGUGAUUGGUUGCUUGUGACCCAAUACACAAGUUGGAGAGCUCACAUGCGAACAUAGAUAAGAAAUAGAAGCAUUUAGAACUUGUUAGUUUGUGGUUAAGGUGGAUUUCCAAAUCCGAAUGAGACGAUAAUUGAAGAUGACAUGAAUAUAUAACACAAAGUUAAGUUGAUGAAAAUAGCGACUUUGAGCAAAACCAUACUACUAUGCCUGUGAAAAAAAAAUGAAGAAUCAUCUAUUAAUGUAACCACACAACUAAAUUAGUUGAUGUUCUAUACUUUUAUGUUGAAAAUUCAAUAAUUCAUAUAUAGAUCAUAUUUCAAGUGACAAAAGAAUUGACCUAAUUAUCAACUAUUUCCCUAGAAAAAUUCACUUAGCUAGGUGCAUGAGUUGUAAUCACUGAAUCAUUCCCAUUACGUAUAUUCACAUUCUAAUCAAACAGUGAAACUUAAAACGCAUGGAGUGAAAAUCAGUUUACAUAUCAAACUAUAUAUAGAACAGAGAUAUAAAAAAAAACCAAUAAUAUUGUUAAUUAUAUGGUAUAAAUAAAUCUAUUAUCUAUAUAUAUAUAUAUAUACACACACAUAUAAAGGAUGAUCAAGAAUUCAAGAUCAAGCUAGCAUUAUGACUCGGGCCAUGUAAAACAAGAGAAGAAACAAAUAAAAUCUGAGAUGAUCGAUGGACCGGUCUCUGCGUAGGAGUUAAGACGGUAAUUAAUGGUCUAAUUAAUUUAUAUCCUUUUCUCUUUCUCCUCGAUGGCGAUGGCGAUGGCGAUGGGAGAUGAUUAUGUGAGAAAAACCCCCCAUUAAUCACAGCUGUAAAGAUCGGUCCUUUACACAACGCAGCAACGCAUGCCCAGCUAAUCAUAUAUUCACUUCUUGGAGUCACAGAUGUUUAAGUUUGUUUAUAGAUACGAAUAUAUCCAGCAAUAAUGGUUUUGGUAGUACUAGAAACUACUGUGCAGUAACAGUUGCCAUGUUCAGAACUCAGAAGUAGUGUACGUAGAUAACUGUAGUGCAUGAAUGUGAAAGAUCAAGGAUGAUCAAUAUACAUGUUGUCAGUUGCAAUAUAAAUGUAGGUUUGGCAUUUUUCUUCAUCAGUAGUCAUCGUGCUUGACCCUAUUGCAUUGUUGAAUGUGAAAGAUCGAUGUAAUGCAUAACAUUGACGUCAAUCAUUUUCUAUAUUUAGGGUUAAUAAUAGGUUUACUCUACAUACACAUUAACAGCAUAUGAUUUUGGAACACAAAUUCUGGAUACAGCUAGAGGCAUACAUACAUAUGAAGCUUACAAAUAUGUACGAUAUCAAUUAUUUCAUUUUCGAUGUAGAAGCCAUACGUACCCAUCGCUAUAUUGAUGUGAUGCAAGAAACUAUGGCCAAUCAAUGUUGCAUUCUACCAUUUGAGAAGCAGUACAUGUGUAGGAGAGGAUGAUAAUGGGGCCUUAGCUUCUUAAAUCUGAGGUGCAUGUGAUUCUUUUGAGCUUAACUUAUUUAUUUGUUCGAAAGAGUCAAGUGUUACAGUAACUCAACAUCGCCAAUUUGAAAAUAACAUGUAACAAGUUCAUAGUUUUCAUUUUCAUGUAAAUGAGUUAGAGUUAGUUCAAUAUUCUCUCUCCUUCUCACCCCGUAAAACCAGGUUCUAGGGUUUCUAAGGAAAAAGUUUGUUUCCAUCUAACGGCGCGUCUAGUGACGACGUCGUCGGACGGGAUUUGUUGUUGGCUGUUUGGUGGUCAUAGCGAAUAGGUUGAUGACGGUGAAGCGAUAGAUGGAGGCCUCUCAUGGAUUCAGUUUGAGUAGGUGUUUGGUGGAUCAUUGCAGACUUUUUCUCCGGUGGAGAUGUUGAUCGCUGUUUCAAGAAAGCUAGUCAGGCCAUGGCGAAGCGGUGAUCAAACGGGGCAAAGGGGGGAAUGAGGCGGCGAAGGCCUACCUGGAUCUAGGUUGGGUCUCCCGCCUUGCUUCGGUUCUGAUUAUGGGAAGGUGCGUAGACGAGGUCUUUUUUUUGGAUGGCGGUCGUCAUUGUCGGUGGGGUGGAGGCGCUGUAGCUUUUGGGCCAGGUCACGGGUUGGCUUGCACCUAGUGGCCCAAUGGUAUAGGUUGGGCCUGAGCCUAUAUGGGCUUAGGUCUGUUUGUUUUUCUUAGUUUUUUGUUUGGUUUAGUUAGGUUGUGUCAUCGCUCCCCUUUGGGCGAGGAUGUUAGGGUGUUGGUUUGAGUUGGUGUUGUUGGUGGUUUUGGUAGAGCCAUGGUUGGUGUCAUGUCCAGAGACUAUUAGGGUUAACGUCGGUGUUUUCUUAUUGUCAAUAUAAUAGGGAGGUUGCCCCUGCAUUUAUGCUGACGGUAUUGGUGUAUAGUGUUUGGUGGGGUUGUUUCUUCUUGAGGUUGCCUGUAAAGAGGUAUCAAGGCUUCUGAAUGGGGUUAGGAUUAGGUUACAUUUGGACCAUUUUCGGUUCAUGUUUAUUGUAAUCAUUGAUAUGUGAGUAUGGAGGAGUGUGAGAACUUGUUGUCAACGACUGAGAUCUCCCAUGGUUGUUAUAGUUUGGUUAUUAUUAUAUAAAGAUUUAUCUUCUUAAAAAAAAAAGAAAAAAAAAAGAAAGAGAAUUAGAGUUAGCUCUUAAUGCUAAUGCAACAAUUGUUUUCGUGUAUUCUUAGUAUACAUUCCAUUUAGAAAUGCUUUACUUCUAAGGAAAUCAGCUUUUAUUUAAAAUUUUAGAUGAACAUUUUUUUUUGGUAAAACUACAUAUCACUAGCAAACUGAUUUUAAAAGCAAUCUCAAGGUCACUACUUUUAGAAGCUUUUUUCAUUAAAAACAUUGGAAACUAAUAUUUUAUGUCUUGACAUAGGUGAUUAUUUUCACAGCACAGCAGACGUACAGUAGUAUAUAUAUACAUAUUAUUAUUUUUUGUUUAAGUCUCAUCAAUCCCAAACUAACCCAAAAGGUUCAAAAAGAUGUUUAAAUAUGGAGGGGAUUAACGAUAUUCAAAAUUAAGUUUCUCUGUACUCCUUUUUACUUUUAACGCUUCUCUCGUCUAACUUAUCUUCAUUUCUUCUGUAAAUUAAUAACAAACAAAAUUAUAAGGCAAGUAAAAAUAAGCAGCGACCAAUUGUAUGAAAGAAUUUACAAUAUUAAUUCAUAGGAUGGAAAGCGACUUAAAAUUUAAAUCGACCUGCAGCUGGUAAUGUGUUUAAGACUGUUUUGUGCAUGCAUCCACCUAUAUAUUCUAUAUAUUCUCUCAAAAUUUUCCUGCAGAAAAUAUAUAUCUUAUUCUCGCUCUCGCAAUAUGUAUUCUUCACAUUGGGGCAUUCUGCAAAUAUAUAUCACAGAAGUCCCACGGGGAUUCCAUAUAUGUAUAGGUGACUGUUCCAAGUGUUCUAAAGCUGAGAUGGGGCCUCAAUUGUGUGUCAGGAAUUGAAGUCUUAUUUUGGGGAGAAAAAGAAAAGUACUGGGGGACAAAAAAUUCACAAUGGCACUCUAGUCAUUCAGAAAGGAACUGACGAACUGUCAUUCAAUUCAACAGUACAGAUUAGAGGGUACUAGUCAAGAAGUAAAUAAUGUUCUGUAAUCCCCCUUCAAUAUUUUACCCCCAUCCAGACUUGUUUUAAUUUCCUGUCUCCAUUUCAACCUACUGUCCCAAAUGCCUUUCCAUUUUCAUAAAAAGCCCUAAAUAUUUCACAAUUAUUGUAAUUCAUGCCAUUGUCGAGAGUUGUUUUGCUCGACCCUUUUCAGGAAAUCCCGGCCGACCCUUCAAAGUUUAUGAAACCAAACCUAGCUGCUUAGAAUUCCAUCAGAAAAUCCAGAUCCCUAUUCAAGCUUUCUUUCUAGCUAGUAUAUAUCACUGUCGAUUCUCAAACAAUUUAAGCAAAACAAGAAAAAGUACUUGAAAGCUGUAUCUCUCUCUCUCUCUCUGUCUCUCUGAGAGAAAGAGUCAAGAGGUACAGUCCUCUCAAAGCUCUCCCAUCAAUCACCAAACUCUUUUUCUUGCUUCACCAUUUCCAGCUUCAUUUCCUUCUAUAUAUCUCUCUCUCUCUCUCUACUCACUCCAUCCAUCCCUUUUCUGAAUAUGGAACUCCCCUCUGUAAUAUCAAUCAAUUAUUAGCGUCUGUUUUGUUUCCUUGUUUUCAUAAUCAAACACUAGAAAUCAAUCAAAGAUUCAUCCAGUACAGUGCUAGGACCACUUCUUCUUCCAAAGUCUUUUAACCUCAACUCUCUCUUUCUCUGUGGUGAGGAUCGGAAACCCUAAAAGAAGAAGAAGAAGGUGAGUAGUAAGUCCAUGGAUUCGAUCCCAGAUAUGGAUGACUCCCCCAACUCUGCAGAGCACAAAAUUCAGAACCAUAACCUAAUCAUGACCACGGCUGGCAUGAUGAUGAACAGCGGCGCAGCUAGUUCUGGUGUGACACUAGCAGCCUCGGGUUCUUCUUCUUCUUCAUCUUCUCCUGGUUCCAGUAGCCGCUACGAGAACCAAAAGCGCCGUGACUGGAACACCUUCGGACAGUACCUGAAGAACCACCGCCCUCCGCUCUCCCUGUCCCGCUGCAGCGGCGCUCAUGUUCUCGAGUUCCUCCGCUACCUCGAUCAGUUCGGCAAGACCAAAGUCCACACUCCAAUCUGCCCCUUCUAUGGCCACCCCAACCCACCAGCCCCAUGCCCCUGCCCGCUCCGCCAGGCAUGGGGCAGCCUGGAUGCCCUCAUCGGCCGGCUUCGGGCUGCCUUCGAGGAGAACGGAGGCAAGCCCGAAGCCAAUCCUUUCGGAGCUAGAGCCGUUAGGCUCUAUCUCCGUGAGGUUCGGGACUUGCAGUCCAAAGCAAGAGGAAUCAGCUACGAGAAGAAGAAGCGGAAGCGCCCGCCGCUACCGCCACAGUUGCCUCCACCGCCUCAUCAGCAUCAGCCUCCUCCCGGUGCCAGCUGUCAGUAAGCUCAAGUCGCAGCUCUGAUGAUGAUCCAUUGAUAUGAUCAAUGGAAAAUGAUGAGCUAGCUAUGUUGAGAUAUAAUCAAUCCCGCUCUACCAGAUGGUAUUUUCUUAAAUUUCAUGUCUUUUUUUUUUAUUUAAUUAGUUAAGACUAUGUUGGUAAGGUAUUUGGGUGUUGUCUAGGGUUUAGUAGUUAAUUUUAUGUUGUUGUUGGUAGCCACUCUGAGCACUACUAGAGAGAUCAGACUUCUUGUGUUUCAGUUUCUGUGCUUAAUUAAGUUUCUGUUUCUUCUAUUUGCUGUGAGAUCGAUCUGAUCGAAAACAUUUAUUAGAUUCAUAUAUCAUUUUCUUGUGACAUCAUGAAUCUGUCUGAUAACUCGUAGAUUUGCUUAGUUAACCCAUAGAUUUGCUUGGAGAUUGGAGCUUCUGCCUUGUUUUUCAUUCACAUAUAGCAAUUUUCUUGAAAGCUGUUCUUGGAAACUCCGAGUUAACUCAGAAUCAAACACUGGACAAAGCUUGAAAGGACUUUACAUUAAGUUCAUACAUGAACAUGUCAGAUAUAUAUAUGUCUGUUUGCACCAUAUAUAUAAAUUUGCUUUCUUUAGUGCUUUGUGUUGCUGGUUGGACAGACAAAGCCUCUCGUAUAUCUCUGAUUUCCAUUAGCUUCUCCUUCAGUGUUCCCACUUUUUCCUACUUUACUGUCUUAGGAAUAUUUGAUACAAGUAGCUCUAUGCCUAUACCUCAGCUCUAAUUUGAUGCAAAAUUACCCUAAUAUAUUGAUCUGCUGUAAUUAACUUGAUCGAUCAUCAUGAGUCUUGCUAGGUAUUUACUAAUUGCAUUCGUUGAUCAUCUGAUUGAUCUGAAACUUGCGUCAGGAUUGGUAUGUCAUGCAGAUGCACAUCCAUUUUCAUAUUAUAUUUUUCAAAUGAGACUUUCCUUAUUUGUCAUAUCAGCCUCAGAUAGUCAGAUGUUACUGAUCACAGAGAGCAGCAGCAGUGGAAAUAAUUUGCACUACUGUUUGCACUACUGUCAAGUCUGCAACCCAGAGUGUGAAACGUGAAUAGUAUUAGAGAAUCUUAGUGAGAAUUCCAAUUUUGUCAAAACAUGGUUAAGUUGUUUCUUUGGUCAAGCAAAGCAUAGCUAAUGGUCAUUAAGUGAUGUAGAUUAAGUAAAUCCAUAUUGUCUGCUAGAACAAUUACAGGUAAAACAGGACAACAGCUUGAAUGUGAAUCUGUGAUUGGAUACCCUUGUCAAAUGAUCCUCUAUAGCUAGGAGUAUAUGAUUAAUCAUCUUUAGGUUUAAUUUAAGAUGCUAAUCGUCGUCCCUAAUUGAUCCCUUUGUGGCUCAUUCAUUAUACUCAGAGACACAUUAGCUCAUUAGGGUUUUGGUUCUAGAAAGCCUUGAUUGAUUUCCCUUUUGAGUUAAGUAGUGGCGAUUGGCGAAUAUCACUUUGGAUCUUAGAGAGGCUCUAUUCGCAAUGCCAAUCAUUUCGGUCCAACAUAGGAUUAUUAUCUAAAGUAGUAUUGUUUAAGAUCCCUUGAAGAGACCCUUUUUAACUCUAGUCAUACGUACGUAAUUUGAAGGAAAAUUAGAACUCUUUGAUGUCAUCAUAUACUACAUUUAGCAGGAUUUUCUUUGGAUUAUAUUAACCUGCUCCACUAAUUUAUCUCUUUAUUUGUUUGCCAAAUUUUUUUAAUUUUUUUAUUUUGUCCAAAUCCAUUCGUUCUGGGAAACACUAGAGCUGCGCACCCUGCUUCCUGCAGAACAGGCAGCUAGGAAUUGUUUGCUCUGAUUUCCAAUCAAUUAUUACAGAUCAUCAACACCUUUAUUAUUCAUAAUAAUGCAUCACUUUGCUUUCUUCUUCUCUCGUGCUAUUUUUACUGAUUCAAAUUAGCUUGACCUGCUGGAUUUUUUUUCUUUAACUACAUGAAGUGCUGGUUUGCUUACUAUGCUUAGUAUUUAUCUUCUCUCCCGUGAAUCUAUUCUCACCAGUAUGCUGAUAUUAGCUUCAUGCAUGCAUGAUGAGAUUUUAUUCAUAUGCAUUAAAAUUGCCCAACUGUGUAAGUACAAGGCACCCCUCUUCAUAUUAAUUAUUAUGUAUAAUGAAUAAGUGAAAUUGAAGUUGAUUCAUAUCCUCCAUAAUUAUUCACAUGGAACCGGGCAUGGAGUUUCUUCUUCAACUCAAAUAUUCCAUUAUCUAUAUAUUCGUAAGUUAUAAGUUCUACUAGGGCCGAAUUGAACUCCUGAACGUUGUUACUUGACAUUAUUAUAAGCAUCGAUCUGAUGGUAAUCGGAUCAUUCUCGACUAGUCGUACAUGCUUUCCAUGCACCCUGAAAGCUUGAGAAUUUGAAACUCUCUGCGAUUGAACAUACAGUUGUACAUGUGAUCCCUCAUUUGUAUAUGACUGAGGAUCAUAUAUCCAGUUUUAGUCGAAUUGAGGUAAACGCUUCCUGCAACUCACUUCCAGUCUCCAAAUUGUUACCAUUCUUGAUCAGUAUCACUUCAUUUAUAUCUUCCUUGUUCAGAAUCUAUCAGAGUCGAUCUAGAAUCAAGCACAAAUUAUUAUCACUUGAUCGCGUUCAACUCCAGCCGUCAAAAGUGGAAUUAGACUAGAGGGUAUUACUAUACACUAAUUAUUAGUUUUACUGGCUCCAAAUUUACCAUCAAUCAAUAAUAUUUCAUCGUGACCAUCAUGCAAUUUACGGAUAGUCAACCGACAUGAACCUCUAGAUGGACCUAGUUUGCUUUACAAUAAUGCUAGUCAUGAAUUGAAGACAGUAAGUAGGUAUCUAUCUCAAAGAAUCUUUCUCAGCGACUUGGGGUCGAUUUAUUUUUUAGUCAAUGAACAAAUGUGCUACUCAUCAUUCAUGAAUGAAAAUAAUUGCCUAAAAUUAGUGAAAACCCGAUUAUGUGUCCACCAAUAAGUUAUAAGACCCAGAGACUUUCACUAUGACAGGGGUACGUCAAACAUAAAGUGUGGAUUGUAAAAUGGAUUCGAAUUCCAUUCUUUUAGAAUUUAUACUUAUCAAAUCAAACGGUCACGCCAUUUUGGUAUUAUGCGGAAACUCUACCCUUUUUAUAAUCAUUCUCGUUCACUAAUUAGCGCCUAUUAAUAAAGUAAUUUGAGAUUUGCAUUAAAAAUCAAUUGAUAAUGGAUGACGUACAUGACAUAAACUCAUAUAAACUUAUAGGCAAUGUCCCCAUUUUACAUGUGUGAUAUAUAUAUAUAUAUUGGCCCGACAUCAUUGAAAUAGGUUUAUAAGGGGAAAAACCAUGAGUUCAAUUGGUAAUUGAAAUUCUGUUUUAUAAGGGGAAAAACCAUGAGUUCAUGUCCUAGCCCGUUGAAUUGGUUGUUAGUUGGUUAGCAAAAUACAACGGAAGGCAAUAUUGGUUUCUAUACAAACGAGAAUACGUUCUAUGCAAUUUUAGUCCGGACGUUAGAGAAAUGAAAGUACUCAUGGAAAUAGGUUGUGAUCGAUCUCAUUUUGUGAUAUACACAUUAUUUCGUGUAGGGAAAAAUGAAAACUGCAAGUCUGCAAUUACUGGGCAAAAGUUUACAAUAACGAAAAACUCGAAAAAACAAUAUGUUUUUUUCUUGAUCUAAAUAAUACUGCACUGCGCACUUCUAGUGAAAUAGUUAGGUCGAUCGAGUGCAAUCUCACAUGGGGUUAGUCAAACUUAUGAAGCUACCAAACAAUAGGGAUCUUGAAUGUUCAUCACUGCAAUUCAAAGUAACAGAGAUCGAAGUACUAGUAGUUCAUAUGUAGCAACUAUAGCAAGCACUGGGGCACUGCCGCACUGGUUGGAAUCAAAACGAAGUAGCAGCAGUAUGUGAAUAAAGCUGCAAAGAUUUACCUUCCCCACGUGUUCUUAGCUGCAAGCUAGUCUGCAUAUAUAUGCAUGAUUCAAGCCUGUAAAUCUGUGAUUGCUGCAUCUCUGAAGAAAAGAUAGCUAGCAACCAAGGACUACCAAACACCAACACCAUGUUUCAAUCGAGUCGUUAUUAGCUAUAGGUCUGCUGCCUUCUUUGAAAAGGUGAGAGUUUAUUGAUUGUGUUGUGCUUCUCGUUUUCGUUAAGGGAGGAUAAUCAUGACUGUAGAUUCAGAAGUUCUUAAUGGUUCUGCUUUUCCAUACAUGAUUAGAACGAUGUUUUCGUUGUAAAUGAGCUGAUCGAUCACAUUAUUUAGAACCGAAACCCUAAAUCUUUAGGAGUCGAUCAACACUAACUCACUCUUAGGAAUUCGAUCAACACUAACUUUCUAAUCUCUACUUCAUUAGUUAAUUCUCAAAAUAAUUUGAACUCGAACAUAACUGUGUUUCGAUUCUCUUUAAUUUGUUAGUAAACGCAUGUAAAAAGGUGGAUAUAUUUUUAUAAACAACCUUAAAAGCUAAACCCUUUUUUCUCGAAAUAUUUAAGGGGUUAAACCCUACGUCUUCGAGAAUUCAACACUCGCUCUAUAAUCUCUACUUCAUCGUAUAUGUAAUCUUCAAAAUUAUUUUAGUAAUAAUACACAAUGCGAAAGGUUUCUAUUAACGACGUCAUAAACCCUGUGGUACGAGAAUCCCGCGUUCAACGGUCAAUCCUCAAUCAGGGCCGUCCAACCGUGCACCCUCACGUGCACACCUGUCUCUCUUUGUCGUGUCGUGGUCAAUAAUAUACGCUGCUCCGCUGUUGGCGUCAGUCAAAGACAGCAUCUCCACCGUACGAACAGCACGGGUGCCUUUCGUGGCAUCAUCCUAGCGACUCCGCCUGCGGCCUCGUUCACGGUGCACCCGUACGAGAUUUGCGUCCCGUCACAAUCUACUAGAACCCUAAAUGGCCCUCUGAUUUUGCCAGCUGAAUGUGGGUCCCAAGAACUCAAAGAUAAUAUAAAAUAAAAAUAAAAAUAAAAAUAAAGUUGAAUCGUUGAAGGGCACGAGCGUCCGUACGGACGAACACCAGCACGGUUUGAUCCAAGAGGAAAUUUUUUUCCUUGUUUUUUUUUUUUUUUGAAACUUUGAAAAGAGAAAAGAAAGUGAUAUUGGUGAAGACGAGGACGUGGAUAUGUCUUGUCAUGUCGCCUUCGAGGGUGAGAGAAGAAAAGAUGCUGUGGGGUACAUAACAACCCAGAAAAAUUCCAUUCAAAAUGAAAAUGUUGCGGAAUAAUGGUCCAUUUUUGUUUUUGUUUUACCAAUUACCAUACAUACAUGUAUCUGAUUCAGAUGUUGUUGAGUGUAUAACGAGCUGUUUGAUUAUGUCUAGAUGGAUUAUGUUGUUAGUGUAUAACGAGCUGUUUGAUUAUGUCUAGAUGUUAAUCCAUCUAGACGCUCACAAUCUGUCUGAUUCUUAUGUACGUAUUUCACAAUAAGGUUUAGGAAUGUAUUUAAACUGGUUUUUAGCUUAUAAACUAAUAGAUCUUGCCGUUAAUUUGUUUUUAAACUCAAACAUCUAAACAUUCUUCAGUACUGUUCGAAUCUUAUACAAUCACUAUGAAUUGUUUUCUCCAAUAAGGCAACAAGCCAAAAAUUUCCAAAAAUUUGAGAAUGGAGUGAUCGAUAUAGAGAAAGAUCGAUGUAGCUAGUGACCCAUAUGCAUGAUACUACGAAUGACAUCGCCGACUGUUUGAAUGGUCUUGUUUUAGGCUCGAUGUCUUUCCUUUUGAUCCACUUUUGCUCUUCGUAAAUUAUGUUGUUGUCAAGAGCUCGCUUAUUAUCGUUGUUGCUCUUUUGCUUUGUUCUUCCGGCCUGGAUGUGUUUUGUUCUUGUUCCAUCACAGUUUCCGGAAUUUCAAUUACUCGGGGAAACCACCAAUGAUCGAUGUAAAUUGCUCUGUAAGGGGCAGUCGGCUUACAUAUAUGAUUUUAAUCAUACAUAGCAUAAUUACUGUGUGAGUUGAACGACCAGCUAGCAGUGAUGUAAAUUACUAAAAGCUUGAAUCGAAUUCGAAUUCCAAACGUACGUACACACGUUCAAAGUUCAGGACCGAAGAACGGUUAAUUAAUAAUUACUGCAUGUCUUCCCUCAGCAAAUGUAUCUAUUUCAUCAUCACAUGAAAUUACAGCAGUGUAGUUGAUCGAUCAGUAAGUGAAUCAUGCAACUAAACCUCUAGCAGUCUUGCAUGAAUUUCGAGUCACUUUUCAGUUAUCCUACAUUUAUAUAUAGUCUGACUGCUAGUACGUUUAGUAUAACUACUACGAGUUAAUUGGCUAGCAUACAUAAAUUCUUUUCAUCGAUCAAGCCUCAGAUUAAGUUAUGACUAGCUCUACGUCUAUAAUUUUGAAUUGCCUGACUGAUUUGCGUAACGAAACAACCAGACUCUGUGUAUCAGUAUUUCUGUAUAUAUAUGUGUAAGUGUAUUAUAUGCAGGACCAGCAUGCAGGCUAGGGUUUGCAUGAUCGAUAUAUCUACCCGUAGCAAGCUAGCUGUUAAUUACAUGAUCGACCUAAAUGCAGAUGCAGGGCUAGGGUUUGACUGAAGGACGCCAUAUAUCCAUGGUGGUUCGGUAGCUUUCUACUCAGAGAAAGUUGAAAGUAUUGAAUUGACUGAUCAGAAAAAGAAAGAAAGAAAGAAAGAAAUCAAGAUCACGUACGUUGCAGAAAUCAUGGAAAGGCUAGAGCUAGGCUAUCAAUCUCUUUCCUCAGGUGGACUAUUUGUGUGUCGUCGUCGUCCCUGAUCGCUUCUAUAUCGCAUAUAUGCUCUAUAUAACAGUGUUCUAAUUAACUGUGGACUGUCUGUAUGUCUCUAAAUAUAAAUAUUUAUGAACGCGCGUACCAUUCCACUGCAUAAUGAGGUUCUGAUCAUAUAGAUGCUGGGUAGAAUUAAACCACUGUGUAACAAAGCGCUAAACUUCUAUUCACUUCCCACUUUUGCCCGGCCUUUAAUCGUCUCAAGAAUUAGUUAUGAAGUCAUUAUACUUGCUUCUCCAAAUAUCAGUGUCGCUAAUUUAUUCAUGAUCUUCUCACUAGCGAGCUAUUUGGUUACUCUGUAAUUUCUGUCUUUGAAAACGAUCGACUAGCUUAAGUUUCUGGUUCUUCGAUCUCUCUAGUAAGUGCUAAUUAAUCUCAUAAUCAUGUAAAUUUUUGUAUUGUUUUAAAUUUGUACUGGAUUGUCUUCGCGCAUUUCUUAAUUAGCUUUAGUUUGACAGACAAUCUAAUUAAUUAAUCAAUCAAUAACAAACAAUGAAAUUAUUGGGACCCCUAAAACAAAGUUCAAAUUUAUAAAGAGAGUGCCUAAUAUCUCAUUUUAGAGGGGAGGGAUCGAUUAUUAUACUCAAUAUUGAUCCUUUUUUAUAUAUUGAUCAUGGAGAUAGCAAAUUACAAUUCUGUUUCAAUAAACAAAUUGGUUUAUAUUGAUGAAAUGUUAGUUCGUAUAUGGCUGGACAAUUUAAACUGAGGUUUCUUGCAUCUUGCUGGUGCAGCCGUGCAGGUCAUGGAAAUACAUGAUCUACAUAUCGUCGAUAGAUGGUGUAGGUCUAGAUGUGAUUUGAUGAGUAAAAGGAUUGUAUGAUGAUGAAGCGCAUAUCGCUACCCAACAUCUAGAUGCCAUACGGAUCUGUUUGAGACAUGUGCCACUAGAUUAUUGCAUUGUUUUCCUAAUAUGCUUCAUUCUUGUGAAUUUAAUUGAAUAUUUCGUAUUAAAUUAUGUUAUUGUUGAUAAUUAGGAGGUAGACCGUAAAAAAGACUAGUGACUAUAGGAAGUUUUCAGUUAUGGGCCUGCAGGUAAUUGGGUUCAUUUUACGUCUAGGACCAAACCAAAGGCCCAAAGUUGUAACAAUUUGUAGUGAGAAAUGGAUAAAGAAAAGGAGCGAAAUGAUCCUUUGAUUUCAGAUUUGAGCGGCACCGACAGAAACGCAGAGAUCGUUCUCUUUCUAUCUUUCUAGAUCCUCCUAAACCAUGGGGUCUCUUCCGCCGUCGUCGUCGUCGGACCUCCACCUCCACCCACAUUCUUCCUCCAAAUCCGCAAUUGACGAAACUACCCUCCUAAACCUCUUCAAAUCCCAGCAGAGCCACCUCAACUUCUUCUUCCAGCACCUGGACCUCUCUCAGACCCUCGCCUUCACCACCACCCUCCUCCACUCCUCCGGCACCAUCUUCUUCUCCGGCGUCGGCAAGUCCGGCUUCGUCGCCAACAAGAUCUCCCAGACCCUCGUCUCCCUCGGCAUCCGCUCCUCCUUCCUCUCCCCCCUCGACGCCCUCCACGGCGACAUCGGCAUCCUCGCCGCCGAUGACGUCCUCGUCCUCUUCAGCAAGUCCGGCAACACCGAAGAGCUCCUCCGCCUCGUCCCCUGCGCCAAGGCCAAGCGCGCCUUCCUCAUCUCCGUCACCUCCGUCGCCGGCAACGCCCUCGCCUCCGUCUGCGACAUGAACGUGCAUUUGCCGCUGGAGCGCGAGCUCUGCCCCUUCGAUCUGGCUCCGGUCACCUCCACCGCCAUCCAGAUGGUCUUCGGCGACACCGUCGCCAUCGCCCUCAUGGGCGCCAGAAACCUCACCAAGGAGCAGUACGCCGCCAAUCACCCCGCCGGCCGCAUCGGCAAGUCUCUCAUCUUCAAGGUCCGGUUUCGAAUCCCUAAAUCCCCAAAUUCUAGGGUUUCUUUCUUAUUUUGAUAAUUUGAUAUUUUUGUGUGGUUCAGGUGAGAGAUGUGAUGAAGAAAGAAGAGGAAUUACCGGUGUGCAAGGAAGGGGACAUGAUAAUGGAGCAAUUGGUGGAGCUAACAAGCAAGGGAUGCGGCUGCUUGCUUGUGAUCGACGAUGAUCGUCACCUGAUCGGCACAUUUACCGAUGGAGAUCUCCGGCGCACUCUCAAGGCCAGCGGAGAGGCCAUCUUCAAGCUCACUGUUGGGGAAAUGUGCAACAGGAACCCAAGGACUAUCGGGCCGGACGCAAUGGCCGUCGACGCAAUGCAGAAGAUGGAAGCUCCUCCUUCCCCUGUGCAGUUCUUGCCUGUCGUCGAUGAGCAGAAUGUUGUGAUUGGCAUUGUUACUCUGCAUGGAUUGGUUUCGGCUGGCCUUUGAUACGUCUUUACCCGCGCUCACUGUCUAUGUCCAUUGUUGUUCUACUUGCUCCAUUUUUGAUUCCUGUGUUUAGCAUUUGUAUUCAUUGUGAUCGAUGAAACGAUGAUGAUGAUUCCUUUGUAUACUAAAAUCUGAAGCAACCCCUUAGGGUUCAUUUGUACUAGUGCUACUAUUCUUCUUGGUGUUGUAGAAGGAUAUGAGCUUUUCAUAUGAUUCUUUGUAUGUCUUCACUAUCUGGUUGCAAUUACACCAGUAUUCUUCUUGGUGUUGUAGAAGGAUAUGAGCUUUUCAUAUGAUUCUUUGUAUGUCUUCACUAUCUGGUUGCAAUUACACCAGUAUUAAUAUACCAAAUUUCAGUGCCAAUGUUCCAGAUUUGAUUUCAGUUUUGUUGAACAGAUUUCUGCAGUUAAACGCAACGAGAUUAGUCUUUCGACAGAUGAGCUUUGUGCAUAUUGAAAGAAACAUGAAGUGAGGCAAACAAGCUAUCCGGCUACUGUAACAAAGAAAGCUCUCAUGCUUUGAAAAGAUCCAAUAACAUGAUAGAAGACUUGGGUUUGAAGGAAACUAAAUUCAAAUUUCAAUUACAAUAUGGACCAACAAGUGUUAAUUCCUAGUGUUACACUGUUAUUCUUCAAUAAGUCCAUAUGCAUAUAAUGACUAAACUAGCUGACUAAAAUACAACAGAAGCCAUCAGAAGGCCAAUUUAUCACCUAAUGCCUAAGGGAUGGAUAAUUUUAUUGGGUUCACAAAAUGAUACAGUUCUAGCAAGAUUAACCAUCACUGUCAUCACUAAGAACAUGAACGCAAUCCUGAGGUGCCCUACUUUCUGCUUGAUGACUAGAUUCUGAAGACUUGCCAAGAUGUGGUAUUAUAUCAUCAGAUUCCGAGGAUGAUUCACUUGAAGUUACAGAGGAAACAUCAGAGGCCACCUCUAUCGGCAGAAUAGGAGUUCCUACCAUUGCCACUGGCUGUUGCGGAGUGCACAUGCCUUUAUGUUCAUCCGAGAUUGUUGAUUGGCUAGAAACAAAAUUUCUACCAUUGCCAUUGGCUGCUGCAGCAUCUAGCGGAUUAUCAUUUCCUGUCAAUGUCUUGGAGAUUGAAGACUGCAGGAGACGUGCCUUUAAUUCAGCCCUGAUGCUAGAAGCAGCAUCAGUGGAUGCUAUUGGAUCACGGUUUGCUUUCAACAUGUUUGAAAUAGUGGAUUGCAGCAUACGCGCCUUCAAUUCCGCCUUUAUGCUAGAAGCAGUGUCACAAGUGCUAACUGGUGAAGAUGCAUCUUCCGAUGUGUACUCUUUCAGCUUUGUUUUAUCUGUCAGAGAGAUGGGAAGAUGUUCAUGCAAAUAUAGGCCAAGAUCAUCUUUCGCCCAUUUGAUGACUGCACUUAAUUUUCCUUCCAAAGCUUCAACAAGUAGAUUUAACUCCUUGAUUUCAUGACGGUAGAGGACAAACUUGUUACUCCAAUCACAAAAACAGCGCUGCUUUGCAUGAAAUAGACACGAGUAUCUGUCUACAGAACAAGGACAACCUACUGCAGAGAAAUGAAGAUCGCAGAAACAAAUGCUGCAUUCCCUUUUUAUGGUAGCAUCAAAAUCUGAAUUCAUCUUUUGUGACUUCAAAGAGGUGCAAAAAUAUUUCCUUCGAACCUCUUCAGACUUGAGACGCGUCUAAGAAAAAGUUAUGAAGUAAAGAUUAUCAGCCACCAGGUUAAAAGAUAAGAGUCUCACUAAGUGCAAAAUAUCAACUAGAAAAGGGAAAGGAAAAAGCACACCUAAAUACCCAAUAAUACACGCAUUUGAUUAGAAAGAAACUGCUAUAUGCUUAAAUAAAUUAGUGCAAACUCAUUUUAAGGCAUGUCGGUUACAAGCAAGACCAGCAGAUGACUCUAAAAUAAUGUUAUGGUGUAGAAAUCACCUUGAGUAGUUCUGUUAAAAUCCCAUCCUUAAAGCAGGCACUUUUCCAGCGUAAACCCUCUGAGGUUUUUUUGUUCUUCAACAGUGAAAUUUCCCAUUGUGCCCUUACAGCUUCCCUAGCUGCUCCAAGCAACAGCUUAUCAUAGGAUAUGGAUGUUUUCCUUUCCCGUUCAGAGUAAAGUUCAACAGCAUUCUGUCCAUAAGGCAACCAGUCUAGAGGAGCAAAACAUGCACUUUCAGAAAAAUUAAAGCCACAAUCAAAUUCUGAAUGAUAAGCUCCAGGGAAGACAAGAACAAACUCUCCAGGACGCUGAAUGCAACAAAAGACAGGUGUGCCCUCUGAUUUCAAUGCGGAGGGGGAUACUUGCUUAACCUGUACCAAAAAAAUCUAUGAAAUGAAAAAUCUAUAAAUACUAACAAAGGAAAAAGAGAAAUGAUCAUCUCGUCUAAAGACAGAGUAACCUUUACCGAAAACAAAAGGAGGAAUAAACACAUGCAAGUAACUGAGCUUUAGUCUUUAGUAUCGCUCACCAGCCUAUGCUGUUUUAAUAAAUCUGGAAAGGACUUCGUUUUGGCUGCCUCAAAACGUAUACGGGAACUCCCAGGGACACCAUACCAUACUUUAGGAGCACCCAGAUGAUUGUAACACAAUGAGUAUAAGUGGUGCUCUUCAACUCUCUAUUAAAAAAUGAAUAAAAAUUGAUCAAAAUAUUAAAGAAUAAAAUAUAGUAGUUAGACAAACCAUAUUAUUGUAAAAAAUCGUACUUCAAAGUGUAUCAAUAACUCAAUGAAACUGCAAUCUGAAACACAUGUAGCUGGAGAAACAUUAUAAAAUAUCAAAUCUUACCCAAAGACUAGAUGAAAAACACAUUCCUACACGAGUCUGAGGCACUAAAAUAUGACAUGUGUCAUGGCUUUCAAAAGAAAGAAGAGAACCAGGCAGUCUGGGUAGAUUAUUUAAAUUCCAGCCAGAUUGCAAGCAUUCAGGGGUAUCAGGUGAUACUAUUGGAAAUCCACUCCCAAGCCCUUUAGUGUCCAAAUAAUUUCCACAAAGCACCUAAAACAGUACACCAAGAUAAAAACUUUCAUAAGUUUCCCAAUAAAAAAUAAGAAAAGAAGUUAUUCAAUGAUCAUCUCAAUUUUUAUAACAAACCUCGAUUCCUUCAGUUGGGUUUUCAACGAUACGUGUAUAUUCAGCUUCGAUAUUCUCCACUGAUGGCUCCCACUGCUCUUGAUUACCUAUGACGUCACUUUUGCGGAAAUACUGACGCUUGAAAUCAUCUGCAUACCUCUUAAAACUGUCAAGAGUGAAUUCUGGACCACGUUCCGACUCAAAGCAAUUGACAUCAGACUGUCCUGCUUCACCCAUACUUGAGGUAAAUUCAAAUCCACAGUCCAAACCCACUGUUGAGAUUCUUCUCUUCUUUUUUCUGCUCUCAUCAGAGCCGUCCAGUUUACUCCGCAACCCAUCAAUCCGCUGAAUAUGGGAAGCAAAUGUGGAACUUCUCCAUAUGCUGUUUUCCUCAAUAGGAGGUGGAGGUAUCCAGGAAGGAGGAGGACUAAUACGACAGAUACCAAAUUGCGCUGCUCUUGCACUUAUACUUGUGAUAUACGUGAGAGUGUCCUUAAAUUCCUGCAACAGAACUCUCCCUCAGAUAAGAAAGACUAAAAUCUUAUAAGCAAGACAGUUGAUAUUCAACAAAAGAUUAAAAUACAAUCUCUGUCAUGGAAUGAAUGCAUGAAGCAACCAGUAAGAAAAAAAAAACCUCAUGUGUUGGGUAGAAAACAGGAGCCUUAUCAAGCUUCUCUAUUAUUCCACCCUCAGGACGCCACCUUUCUGUUACCUAUUCCAAAAAUUUAAUCACAAUGACAGAAUUACCAAGUGAAAGAGUGACCCUGACAUAGUAAUGCUUUUAGAAAAUCAAAGACAAACAAGGUUGAAACGAGUACCUAAUAAUCAUACAAUUCAAAGAGAAAUGAAGCAACUAGUGGAUUAAAACCAACCUUUACACAGUAACCGGAUUCUGGACAUCCAUGAGUAACACCUUUCGGGAGGCGGGGUUCCUAAAGAUAAAAGGUAUAUAACUUUCAACCAUAUAAAAAAUAAUAAUAAUAAAAAAAAACAAAAAAAAACAUAAACAACUACUGUAAACUUCCAGCAAUUCUAGAAUUGCUCUCAGCAAAGAGAAGACAAGCAACUGAGUGAAUGAAAAUCAACCUUUAAACAAUAUUUUGAAGAGGGUUCCUAAAAAGAAAAGGCAUUAACAGCAUCAAACGAGAAGCGAAACAUAAACAACUGCAGUAAAUAUCCAGUAAUCCUACAAUUGCCCUCGGUGAAUGAAAAUAGAAAUGUUCACACUAUUACCUUUUAAUUAUACAAUUCAAAAGAGAAGAGAAGCAACUGAGUGAGUGAAAAUCAACCUUUACACAAUAAGUGGAUUCUGGGCUUCCACGAGUCACACCAUUUGAGAGGCAAGCUUUUGGAGGGGGUUCCUACAAAGAAAAAGUAUUAACAACUUCUAACCAGAAAUGAAGCAGAAAGAACUGCACUAAUUUUCCAGUGACCCUACAAUAACUUUCAGCUCUUUCUCUUGGAAACAAUAUCACCAUAACAAAUGCACCUGCAUGGGAUAAAUCACCGUUCAUCUAUUUUAAGGGGUAGAAAUACUAUUAAGCCCAGAGAACAUAUUCUGGUUCUCAACAUGUUGGCCACAGAAAGCAGUAAGCAUAUAUGAGAAUAUUUAUCGCCACAUAACACACAUGACGACAAAUGAAAAGAGGUUCUUCAUUUCUGAUAUAUUCUUGCUUAUAUCUACUGUUUUUCGUACUCUCAUACAAGAUUGAAGAUGAAACAUAUACAUAAGCUCCUCAGUAAAAUCAUUUGCAGAUGCAUAACCAAGUUGAAAUUCGAGUUCAAGGUAAUUUCAUGCUUUACAUAAUUAGAUAUAUACAACAUGUCGAAAAAGAAGAGGAGGGAAGAAUAAACCAUUUGAAACUGUUGUGGGUCAGGCUGCACUGAAGUGUGAUCAGUUUGGUCGAAAAGCAACCAUGGCCUUUGCUGAAGAAAUGUUUUGACCUUCUCCAAGGCGGUCAUUUCAGAUGUUGAGUCCAUCUGGGUUGACCCUUGUUUGGAAGAAUCCACAACAGCAUUGGACCUAUCGGUUCCUUCAACUCCCACAACUGAGACUUCUGCCUUCUUCAGCUUGAAGGACGUCCUAGGCGCAAAACCAGGUGGAACCGAAUUGUUUUCCAUAUUCUCCCAAUUGAGAUUCAAGCCUUACUGCAUUCUGCAAUGGAUGGUACUGCAAAAGGAAAAACAAUAGAUUAUAAACAAGACAAAAACAUAUGCACACACUAGCAAUCCAGAACUGGCAAACACUGAAAAUAUUCAAGAUAUCAACACGUCAAGACACGAGUAUAACACCCCAGCAAGCCAACAAGGAAAGCGAGUACGUAAAGGUAAAGUGAAAGAAAAGGAAAAACACACUCUCUUCCAAAGAAGGAAAGAAAGAAAAUCAUAACCAAAUCCCAACAAUCUGGGAAAAUUGAGAAACAAUUGAAGUGAAUGCACAUCCUUCUAAUUGAAGGCACACACAUAUUGCGCCCAACAAGAAAAGCAAACAUGUGACUAUCAUGUUCAAUCCAAUAAAAUCUGCAUCUGCUUCAAUUGUAUGAUUGUGCUAGAGUUCUAAAGAAAAAAGAAAACCCAGAAACUGAAAGAAUACAAGAACUCUGAACUGAACAGAAAGAACUCAAAAAGAGAAAGAAUUCAAAUUAAUUUGAGAGCUCAUCAUUCCCAAUAUAAAGAAACUAUUUGCUACCCAUGUAAUCAUUCGGAAUGACACAAAUGGAUCUGUUGCAGAUUUGGUAAACAAGAAAGGGAUACCCAACUGUUUCACUUGAACCACCGAACGGUUCUGCAAGAGUGAGUCUUGAAUUUGCAAACAGCUUCGCGCUUACCCUACCUGAACUGGUUUGGUUUGUUGGUGGGUAAAUAAGAAUUUGAAACACAAAGAGACGAUGUGGGGAUUAAGAAAGAGAAGAAGGGUCAAAGUAAAAAGUCAGGUCCGGAGUUUUUACCAAGGAACUGGUUACAAAGUCAGGUCCUUCUUCAGGUUCCAAACCGACUGAUGGACCCUGUUUGCUAAUAAGGAUGGGCUUCUUCUCUCGAAGUCCCUGAUUGUAGCCCAUAUGAGAGUUUCUACGAUGUGAACUACAAAAUUUCCGAUACUUUUAUGCAAAGAAUUUCAUAAAAAGAAAUUUUUUAUUUUUUAUUUUUUAUUUUUUAUUUUUAUCAAAAUGUCAUACGAUUCAAUAAUGAGCAAGCAAUACAAAAACGACGUACCCCAAAAGGGUAGUCAGAAAGCAUCGUUUCGCAGAAUCCCCAAUCCUACACUACCCAAAGCAUAAGCCAAGACAUUCCUAGUACACCUACUGUUUAGCUCUUAAGCACCUUUAUUAUACAAGUAAACUAGGUUUCGUAGAAAGAAAUCAAGAAUCUACGAACUCUACCAGUCUACCUGGACCAAAACCAAAUUAAACAGAUUUUAUGAGAGGGACGCCAAACGCAUCCUCCUCACCCUUCUUAGCCUGUACCUUAAUCAUUAGCACUUCUAUCUCUGGAUCCUGAGUUAGUGCCUCCUUGAGCAUCCCCACCUCAACAACCAUACCACCAGAAACCUCUUGCAUCUGUACAGAUGGGUUGCCUCUUGCUUCCCCUUCCAGAUUCUUCUCGGUGACCAAAGGAAUCACCAAACCUACAGAAACAAGCCCUUUAGUAGUAGUCUUCUCGGAGGAGGAAACUUUCUUGUGACUCUUCCAUUUCUUGAUCACAGGAGCGGGCUCUGUUCUAAGUUUGUUCUUGCUGCCAUAAGGGCGACCUAACUUCUUCUUCUUCUUUGGGGAUACAACCAAAUGGCCUUGAUGAUGAACCAAAGCCACAAAUCCUGUCUCAGCAAUAUUCAGAGAUGGUUCAGGGAAAUUGAGAAAGCUUUUACCUGUACGCUCCAACAAGUCCACAGCCUUACGCUUACUCCCAACAGUGCGCGACUUUUCUUGCCGCUCCACCACCAUAGGGGCCGAUAAACAUACCUCCACCACUACCUUUCACCGGUGAUACCACUGAGUUAGAGCUGCCACCUGUGUCGACAGAGAGCAAAGAAGUUGUCUGAGACUUCAUUGCAUGGGCAGACCUCGGGCCACCCUCAAGAACCCUAGGAACAAAAACCGAGUUUGAGAAUAGAGAGAGAUUGCCUAACUCCUCCGUCGGAGGGGCCUUGAUAGCUGCUCUCUCAAGCUCCACCAUUCGGUCACAGCCUGUAGCAUCAUGCAUGAAUAGACCACACCUCUUACAAAAACCUUUCACCUUCUCAAAAGUGAAAUCCAAUUCCACCACAAUCUCAUCAGCCUCAAAUUCAACCUCUUGCCAAACCCUAAUACGGCGACGAACAUCAAACUCCAACCGAAUGCGUUGAAUCUCCUCCUUCCGCUUCAAAGCUUGUGGAUCAAAUCGAAUGACACGGCCAAGACCUGUGCCCACCAUUCUCAAAGCCGUAGGGUUUCUAAGAAGGUGCGGCAGUCCCUGAACAUCCACCCACGUCUCAAGCAUUGUGUUCCUAUAGUGUCACGGACCACCAUGGAGGACCUGAUUACGAACCGAAACUCGAUCAAAUUGGAACACAUAGCGAUCCCCAACAUCAGAGAUGGACAACCCCUUCUUCACUCUCCAAAUCGUGGAGAUGGUACCUUUGAAGCCUGGAAACUUGUCCUUAGGGCCCAACAAUCGACCUACCAGGUAGGAAUGAUCAUCUUUGGUCGCCGCCCCCCUUUCAAUUCCGAUCUUGAGUCGGGAAGAGUUCGAGAGCAACAGAUUGGAUGUCGCGGCUUGAAAAGCCGUUGACAAAGAUGCAAUAGCGGAAGCCAUGGAUCUGGGUUUUCGAAGGUUGAGGACGAAACCCUAGCAGAGCUUUUGAGAGCGGCUAGGUCGAAAAAAAAAUUUCAUAAAAAGAAAUUUAGAGCAACUCCAACAGUUUCUUCUAAAAAAGAGUAAUUUUAACGGUUUCUCCAAAUCUUAAAUUUUCUCUAUUUGCUCCAACAAAUUCACUAUAAGAGAGGAAAAUAUUUAGAGAAUCUCUUAAAAAAAUAUUUAAAGGAUAAAAAAGGAAAACAAAAUUCACAAAAACAAAAGGAGGUAUACAUAGCACAUUCAAUAAUGAAUUCAAGGUAAAAGAACCUUCCUGGAGAGGAGUGUUUUCCUGGGUUUUUCUAGAGGAAGAGUUGAACAACUGGUGUCAUUCUAAUAUGAGCAUAUGAAAGGACGUUGCUCUUUAUGUGGUUUGAUCACUCAAGCGGGUAUUGCAUGCGACCAACCUCCGCUUGUCAAUCGAAUGGAGGCAAAGGUUUUAGGGUUUGCAAGAUAUUCUUCUCGAAAACCUAAUAGCAAGUUUAGGCACAAACCUGGCAACUGAAGAGAGUGCACCGUCAUCAGAACCUGACUUGGAGCCUCCAACUGAUGAGGAGGUGACUACUCCUUUCAAGAAGCGUACUCGAGAUAGGGGAGUUACACAUGCCCCAAGAGAUUCAAGACUAACUUGGGAGGUAAGCUUCUAACCUUACAGCCUGAAUCAUUGGGACUUGUCGAAGAUGAGAAGGAUGGUGAACCAGUGACCUACAAAAUGAAGCUGGAACACCCUUUAGUAGCAAAAACAAGAACCCUAAACUCGGUAAGAUAUCUUCUGCAUCUCCACUGGGUAUUGUGCUGCUAGACACUUCUGGUGAUGUUGCUGACCCUUUUGACAAGGGCAAAGGCAAGCUGUAAGUAGCUGCCCUCUAUGCCUAUCGAAUGAAGCUAUGGUAUGAUUCACUGAUUCUUAGUUUUUCUAGUUGUACACCAAUUGUAGUCUCUAGGCAAUUAGAUUUACUUUAAUGAGAAUUAGACAGUAUUCAAGUAAAGUUUUCAUAUGAUGUAGGCUCAAUAGUUGGGCUAAACCCGAUUGCAAUGAGGGUAGCCAUCAAUUUUUGUUGUUGUGUUUAUUACUAAAGCAUUAUGGUGUAAGCCAAGAAUUAACGUAAGUGUUGUCUGACUAUGAAUAAGUAAUGAUAUUAUUUAUUUUCCCUUUAAAAAAAAAGGCAAAAGAGCCUUCCAAAAAGAAUAUAUUUGUGCGUGUAAAUAUUUAUCUUCCAUUUUUUUUUCAAAUGUCCAGGGACAAUCAAGACUAUUACAAUAAGUUCCUUUCAUUAGGACUCUAAGCACUUUUGUGCCUAAGCACUUUUUUCUGUCUCAUGGCGUCUUGGCGAUAUGAGUCUAUUUUCUUAUUAGUUUUUUUUUAGUUUUUUAGGGGGGAUCUUAAGCCUAUAAUAUAUUUUCUAUUAGAUUGUACGCUCACUUGUAAGCCGAAAUGUAAAUGAGGAUAUAACCCUCAUACGAAUCUUAUGAUCUUGCUUGUCCUCUGUACGCAUGACAACGGAUCAAUUUAUAUUGUACCUUUUAUUUGAAUAUAAAUGACAAAAUUGUCUUUGAGUUAAAAAAAAAAAAAUCAAGACUAUUUAUGGCUAAAUACUAAAAAUUUGGCAAUUAAUUAAAAUUCAUAAGAACAAUAUUUUAGAAAAUCUUGUGAGACAAACUUAGGAAAUAUGAGUGAUGGUGCGUGAUAUGCGCUUCAAGAUAACGAUAACUACACUUGUAAAGUUUUUAGUUUUUAACAUUCAUGAGUGUUAGGAUUACAUUGAUAUUAUUAACAUGAUGUAUCAUGUCAGGUAUGAUGUCUUAAAGUAAUUUCUCUUUUGAGGUUGAUCCAUCAAGCAUUGGUUUUACUGCUACUGAUCGAAUGGCGGAAGAACUGAAACAUGUUUGAUUUGACUUAAAGGGUACAUCUCAAACUUCAAGACAACUUCAAAUUUUCUAUUUACUAGAUAACCCGCCAAAAAAUGUAGCUUAUAGCUUGUGUAAAUGAUAAAGACCUGGAUGUACAACACUGGCGGUCCUAGCUUUGGAUGUGAUGAUGCCCCUGCCAAUAAGCAUAUGACAUCACCUUACAGUCCAGAUGAUAGCUGAAACAUUCCCCUGUGAAACAAUAUAAAAAUUGACACUCUUGUAGUUCAAUGGUGUGAGAGUGAUGGAAUAGUUAAUGAUGGAGAAAAAUAGAAUUUAUUUUGGGUUUAGUAAAAAAUAUGCAGGUGAUUCUAAUUUGAUAUUACUGCAAGGUAUAUAAAGUUUUUGAAGCCAGUAGACAACAUUUUAUUAAAUAGGAAUAAAUUCAUUGACCAUUACAUCAUUAAUAAAAUAAAAUGUUACUGGAUUAAAAGACCCUAAACACCACCACCCACCCGCUGCCUCACCACCUAUUCAAAAAUGGGUCGGAAAAGCUCCGCGCUUUGGAAGAGAAACAUCCCCAACCGUUUCGCACUUCCAACCAUUAGUUAUGAUUCCACCAAGGGAAUCCUAUACAAUUUUUCAGAUCGGGCGAGCCUGAUCUUUAGCGGCGACACUGCUUGGGGGGGGGGGGGGGGGG